UAGUGAUCUUCAUUGUAGAUUAUCAUUAAUUUAAUGUUUGGCGCCCUUCUCUUAUAUAGGAUCACACACACAAUUACCACACACAAUUACCAUUAGAAAUUUGCAUUUAUGCAAGUUCACUGGAGACUGCUCCUGCAAAUCUCUCUUAUUCUCGUGACUUCAAUUGUACAACUAUAUAUUUUUUUUUUUUUUUUUUUUUUUUUUUUUUGGUUGGUAAGCGAGGUUGUGGGGACCCCUACCCCUUUUAAAUUACGUGUGGAAACUUAUAUCAACAAUCUGCUGUUGACGUGUUUCGAACCCACGACCUCUCCACUUUGUGAGAGGGGUGCUACCAUUGAGCCACAGGCUCAUUCGCGUACAACUAUAUUUUACCAUUCCUUGUAUUAUGAGCUGUAUAAGAAAUUUGCAUACCUGCCAGUUGAUGACUUCAUUUGUUUUAUGAUAACUGCCUUUAAACAAAGUUGCAAAAAUUUGAGCAUGAUUUGUAGAUAUUGUAAAUUAUAACUAAUAAUGACUAGCACUGGUUAUUGCAAUCAUCUGAAGUAAACCCCAUCGUAUAAUCUAUUAAAAAAACAAUGCAUAAUACAAUGUAGGUUGCAGGCAUGUUACUUCUCUCUAAUGUAUGUUACUGUACACAUAAUUAUACCAGUCUAACCCCAGAAGGCAGAAACAAAAAAAAUCUAUAAUCUUUUAAUUAUGAUGCCAUAUUGCCAUCACAUAAGUACCCAGAUGGAAAUUAUGUUCGCUUAUAUUCGCACUUUCUAUUAAGUAUGAAUUUUAGCUUAGCAUAUCAGAUUACAAGUUGACUGAUGUAUGCUGCAGGAUUAUGUUCCUGAAGACCUAGAAAGUGUUGCUGGCUUUGAACCUCCUCAAUCCCCAGAUUCAAGCUAUAACAACUUGCAGCUUGGUUUGGAGGAUUUUGCAAAGGAGCCACCCUUGGUCCCACAACACCUACAGAUGACACUGCUCAAUGCGCCAUCGUCCAUCAUGGACGGUAACCAUUCUCUGUCGAGACCACCACACGUGGUACUUAACCAUCUCUACAUGCAGAAAGGGAGCAGUGGUCAAUCUGUAUUAGCACUUGGAUCAACUCACCGUUUUCUAGCGAAGUAUGUUACUGUGGUUCUUUACAAGGCUCCGCCGAGGUAAUACAGUUAGGGUUGGCAUAAAUUAAUAUUUUCGCUUGUAAAUGAUACAUUAUUAUAAAAUUAUGUUGACAUUAGCUAAACAAAAUAGAGGGAAAACCCCUAUAGGAACAAAUUCAACUUGUACUGAAUUUCAUAAGCCUUUUUUUUUCACUAUAUUGAAUUCAGGCAUGUCUAUGCGAAAGCUUAACUUGUUUUGCAUUUCACGAGCCAUCUCAUUUACUUUCAUAUAUACGACCAACCAGUUUUUCCCCAUUUUUUUGCUAUAAUUUGAUAGGAUACCAUGUAAAUUGUGAUAGUGUUAUUGUUGCAUAUAGGUCAUUGUGUCUUUUCUCUGUAGCAGUAAUACUGAAAAUCUCCCUUGCCCCCAACCCCACAAUACUAUCAAUAGACAAACACAACAUCCAUCCCAACCAUUAAACCAUCUGUUUUAACAUGUAAGUCUUGUUGGUACGGCUAUAGCUUAUACUGGCCCCCUCAAGAGGUUCCUAUUAGUGGACUGGUCCAACUUUGUAUGGUUCAGAAGUAUGAUAAUGAUGUCCACUAUAGCUAGCCAAGUGAGUGAUCAUUGAAUGAAAACAAAUCUUUGUCACUCGGAAGAGAUGCCCUUGCUAAAUGUUGCUAAGACUUCUGAAGGGGUAUUUGUGCUAUUUCUAGCGAUGUAUUUAUUUUGGUUUUUCUGAACUUUGCACCAAAAGAAGUCUUACCAGUUUUUUAUAAAUUCUCCCCAACUUUAAACUUUAUUAUGAGUGCGGUAUGGUCACCGCUAACGUUAAUCAGUCGAAUUGUGUUCAUCAAUCUUUAGCUUUAUACCAGCUUAGCCAUAGUGUCCAACAGUUCUCAGUAUAGAAUUUUUCUUUAGUUCCCAAAAAUUUCACAUUAGAUGGUGGUCCUUAUGCAAGGCACGCGUGGCGUGGCGUGGCUGCCAAAAGACAUCUUGACCUGUUGACCCUGACUUUGAUGAUUUGAAUUAUGAACGUUCAGUGUUGGAUCAAUGUGUCUUUUGUAAGCCUUUGAUGUGAUUUAUGCUUGUAGAACCUUUGAUGGUCCUUAUCAAAGAAGUUUGGAACUAGUGUAGCAGGUCAAUUCUGAAAAGACUCGAUAUCUGUGGUUGAAAACAACUACUGAUCUUAAUGUAUAUAUUUCUUGGUAUCCAAACAAAAUACCUAAAUAUGGAUCAGGUUGGCGCCUGCAUAGCAUUCUGUAAUAUUUUUAGAUGGAUAGUUGAAAAGUUGGGAAGAGGUUGGAUCAUCUGCAAGAAAGACCAGAUAUUGAUCAUGGUCCUUUUGACGUCAUAUGACUUCACCAUUCUAUUGUUUCGGAUGUGAUGGUGUUAAAUAUUGCAGCAGUGGUGUUACUCAUUUAAAGGGAAGAGCACUCUACCACUCUCUCUUUUUUUUAGUUAAAACCAUUCUACCUCUCUGAAGACAAGGAUUUUGUAUAUCAAGAAAAUGAAAUGUUUGCCUUGGCAAUAUGAAAAAACAUGUCUAGAAGGGUAGCUCAGUGCCACCUCUUCAGCACUCUUUGUGUAAGAAGGGACUAAAGCCUUGCAACAGAUGAUCCAAUUUCUGCAGAAGCAGAUCAUUGUUUGCUGAAAGAUGAUCUUAUGUAAUUGGGAACUUUCCAUGAUCUCACAUCUAUACGAAAAACAGGGAAUAUACCUUUUAACAAAAUUUACUAGAACAUUUUGCUUCAUUUAAGAAAGAAACUCCUAAGUCUAGUAUAACCAUAUCUAACAUCAUCACCUUCACUUCUCUACUGUAUCUGAAUAGACUGCCAAUUUUCAGAAUUAAUUGUAAGGUAAUCGUUUUAGGAUGACUACUUGAAAACAGGACAUCCUUCAACUGAAAUACCCGGCUGUGUAGGGCAUGUAGCCAGAGGACAGUGGUCGAGCUGAGUCCCCCACCAUUUCAAUUCAUGACCCGGAUUCUGCAAUGUGAAGAAAAUUAAAACACCCAUGAAUGCUGUCCCAGCGUCCAGUGCUGCAGAUAAAACGUAGUUGUAUUUCUGCCACCAUCUCUUGUGGUACCUAAAAACAAAGAAAUUGAAUAUGGUCCCGGUUACUAGCCAACUAGCUAUGUUUGUGGGAGUUGCAGGUGGCAUUCCGGCGAAUCCAUAAGAAAUCACUGGUAUGUUAAUGAGAGGGAUCCAUUUCUUCUGUGGAAACAUUUUGCUCAAUGCCCAUACAGGCACUGGCAAGACAGCUCCAACAAGGAAUAACCAUAUCAAGUUCCUAUACAGCCCUCCAGGACCAAAUAGCCUCCUUGGUCCAAUCAGUCCCCAUAUGACAGAAGCAUCAAAUUGGACUCGGAAUUUUGGGCAAGUCCAUGGGCUGUCCGGAUGAAGACUUUCGAUGUCACAGACGUUCUCGACAUUCUCUAGCAUCCACCACCCAACUGCAAGGUUGACAACGCCGGAAAGAAGGGUCCCGGCAAGCUUCAAAAGAGAGAAUUCAAUUAAGUCUAGAAUUGUGAAAUGUGAGAGGCCGAGAGCCAAAACAGCUAUGACAAGUCCAUGAGUUGUAUACCUGAGCUGUGAACAUGCAUCUAGGUGGGAUUUUCAUAUAGUGCCCAAGUUUCAGAUCAGAUAAGAAGGCGAGCGCAUGAACAGUGCUGAUUCUGCCGUAGAUCUUGAAAAGCAAAUUUGCAAUAGGCUUUCCUGGUAGUAUGUAUCCGAUUAUAAAUUGUGCGAUAAUGUCAUAUCCGGGUUGCUGUUACAUACAUGAGAACAUCAAAUGAUUAGCGAAUAUGUUUAUUGCUUUAUCAUUUGGUUAAAGGUAUAUGAAGCUGCUAAUGCAGAUGGCAUACCUGGUUUGUAGUUGCUUGAAUGACUCCAAUGGGCAACGUGACCAGCCAAGCCAAUCCAAAAGCGAAGAGCAUUCCCCACCAUGGAAGCUGAAUGUCAUCCUUCCAGAUAAAUGACAUCAAAAGAGCGAGCACAAUGCUGCCAGCUAAUAGGCUGAGAAACCACCAUUGUGGAACUUGUUUGUAGUUCUUCAUCAAUUUUGCAUGGAUGUCCAUCUUUGCAUUUUUCACUGCUGAUCUGCUCUGUCUCAAGAUAUCACUACAAGAAGGAAGCUGAUCAGCGUUCUUUAAAUCAAGUAAUUAACUACAACAUGUUUUACACUGUAGGACGGUAAAGCCCUGGGAUUUUCCUCAGGGUGAUACAGCAGGAGGGUAUUCAUUUUCUACACUACGCGGAAUUGUAUGAGCAAUUUGGUUUGUGAUCGAAUCCUUUCGUCACAUACCACAUAUUGAAAUAGAACAGUAGUAUGUUAAUGAAAUUCAGUCUUUUGAGUAGUCAAUCAUGGUAGAAAACAACAUACCGGCCAUUAAAAAGGGCUACAUGAGUGAGUGUUGCUGUGAAUCUUGCAAAUCCUGAUCCAAUGGACAGGGCAAAUAGAGGACUAAGAUAUAGCUUCCCAUAAGCAUCAUAAGCAGCAACGUUGAGAUCAUAUUGUGGUGUCAAGAUCUUGGUGGUAUCAUACUUGUGCCCAGUAGUUGUAAAGAGCUGAUUGGAAAAUAUUGGGAACUUCCGAGCAUCAAAAGUAUUGAACUUCCAGUAACAAAGAGGGACUAUUAUGUAGAUAAACAUAACGAACCCGGCUGCGACAUUAAGAAUGGAGAACCAUGGUGAUACUAAUGGACUGCCAUGGUAAGCUGAGAUACCUGCCCAAUCAAGGGUGAAUGCUCCUACACCAAGUCCAUGGUACCCUGAACCAAUCUGCUGAGCUGUGAUGCUCUUUGGCCAUACCCAACAAACCCAUGAGAAGAAUGUCAAGAUUGGGAACAAAUAACCAGGCAAAGCGUAGUAUAGGAAACUCGCCGUCAAGAAUAUAAGAAAGAAUUGCAUCCGAGUGAGCCCUUUUGACCGAGAAUCCUUCUCAUGAAGUGCUCUGCGACAUUAAGAAUAAUCCAAGUUAAAGUCAUGGUUUGUAUGUGAAAGAAUCCUAUCUAGCUUCUUGGUUCCUCACAGUCACACACACUUAGUUAUGGGUUCUUUUAACCAGAAUAAUCACAUUCUUUACUUUUUCCAUUUUUUCAAAAAAUUAUUCUUUGUGCAUAACUAGCUUUAGCAUGUAAAUUCUAUAUUAAAAUCAGUAUAAUUCAUCCUGCAAAUCCAUUUAAACCCAAAAGAUAAUAUUUUUUUUUUUUUUAUUCAUUUCCAUGAUCUGAAAAAACCCUCUAAAGAGAGAGAGAGAGACCUGAACAAAGAAACCUGAGCAAGAUUUGCAGGCCACCACAUUUCAGCAGGAUCAACUAAAUACCUCCUCAACAUUCCUGCCCAUCCAUACCCCAAUACCUGCAACACCAACACAACAAAAUCCCAUUAAUUUCAAAACAUUUUGAUGAGAGAUGAAAUGAAGAAGAAAUUAAAGAAAAGGGUUAUUAGAUUUAGUACCUGAGUAGUUAUAACAAUGAGCACAGCACAAAGAAAAGUUACAGUUUGUUUAUAAUAACCUUUCAUAAUAACAAUAGCACCAAUAGAAUAAGCAUCACCACCACCAUACCAAACUCCACAAUUAGCAAAAAUAGUGAUGAUCACAUGUUCUUUCAUAUUAAAAGGACCUGGAUUCAAACUAAAACUCCUACCAAACAACUUAUAUUCCUUCUUUGGCAAAGUUUUAGCCAUGAAUUUACCAAUGGGUAAAACUCCAAUUUGCAUAAGAAUAGCAGAUAUAGUUAAAGGUUGAGUUCUGAAAAUGAAGAAAGUGUUGAAGAAGAUAAGAAGUGUACAAGAAGUAAUUCCAAGAAACCAUGCUCUGAAAGUUAGUACAGGUAAUGAUGGAUCAUCUGUUUCUGGUACUACUAAACGUACUUCUUCAACUGGAGUUACUUCUUCUUCUUCCUCUUGAUGAAGUUUUUCUGGGUGGGUUUUUGUUGCAGAAGUUGCCAUUGUUACUCUGUUUCUCUCUCCUCUCUCUGUAAAGUGAAGAGUUGCUCUGUUCUUUGCAAUAGAGUUCGGUAUUUAAAAGGCUGAAAGUGCAAGAGUGGUGGUUAGAGCUAGUGAUAAGAAAAACUUAUUAUUUUCUACAAUUUAUAUUAUCCAACACGGUUGGACUCAAAAAUUGUCCAACAGCAACUAAUCAUCGACUCAACACAUUCAAACAAGGCCUUCUGAUUACAAUGAUCAUGAUUUUGAAAAUAUUUAAAUGUGUUUCGAUUUUCGACCGACCGAUGAUUUUACGAAUUUUUUGAUUGGAGGAUUAUUGAUGACCAUGAGAAUUAAGACUUUGAAUCAAUACUCCAUUGCUUGUGCCUAGUAUAGAAGCUGUUUAACACUUUGUAUGAAAAGAUGUCGGACACUGAAAUGAUCCUAUAAUUAGUGACAGUUUUGGUGUUUUAUUACAAAAAAGGAAUCUGCUAUGAGCCCAUGAUUUCAUCAAAAAAGGAGAAAGAAAUUUAAUAAUUUAUGUUUAUAAUUGUGCACAUGCGACCUAUAAUCAGUAAAUACAUUAUUCCAAGAUGCAUUAUUGGUUCAAAUCUCAAUAACUUAAAUUCUUUUGAAUAGUUUCUCCAUUUUUUUCUCCAGUGACUUGAACCAUUGGAGACCAAGCACAUCACAUCAUUUCAAGAAGUUCAUCAUCUUGAAUUGAAUCGGUGUGUUUGUGAAAAAAUAUCGUAGAAAAUAAUUUUAAUUUCUCAUACAUUUUUUUUUUAUGCAUAAUAUAAAUAUGUCCAAAAACAAGCUUUUCAGUAAGUACUCAAUCCUGUGAACCUUGGGCGAUUAUUAGGUUUUAUGGACUCUAUGUCUCUCUAGGAGCACAAAAAGUUAAACCCAGUUUUACUUUCAAAAAAUCUGUUUACUCUAUAUUCAGUGCCGUACCUGAGAUUUUGGGGGCCCUAGUUUUUUUUUUCUUAAGAACGUCAAGAUACCUAAGGCCCUUAAAUUUAUUUAAAAAUGACAAAAAAAAUUUAAAUAAUAAUAUACACAUAUCUAUGAAUUUGAAGUUAUAUUAGAUUGAGGUUUUUGUUUGAUUAAUUGAGAGAAGGGGAAACAGAGAAAGUGAAUUUAAGGUUUUGUUCUAAGGGAGAUAGAGCCAUGGAAGUGAGAAAGAAAGCUAUUACAGUAUGUCAAGAAGCCUAAUUAAUGAAGUGAACUGGGCUUCAAUUGAAAGAGAGAGUCUCCUCCCAUUUGGUUUAUUAAUUGUAUUGGGCUUGGGCAGUAGACUUUAUUAUAGUUAAACUAAGGAAAAAAAUCCAAAGCAAUAUAACAUAUGUAUGGGCUUGGUGAGCAGGAGGCCCCUGAGAUUUGGAGGCCCUAGGCAACCGCCUAGCUCGCCUAGCCCCAAAUCCGGCCCUGUCUAUAUUUGUCAAGUAAUUAUCACUAUAUAGUAUAUACACAAAAAAAAUUAAUAAUACACAAAGAAAUUUGGGGGGGGGGGGGGGGGGGGGGGGGGGNNNNNNNNNNNNNNNNNNNNNNNNNNNNNNNNNNNNNNNNNNNNNNNNNNNNNNNNNNNNNNNNNNNNNNNNNNNNNNNNNNNNNNNNNNNNNNNNNNNNNNNNNNNNNNNNNNNNNNNNNNNNNNNNNNNNNNNNNNNNNNNNNNNNNNNNNNNNNNNNNNNNNNNNNNNNNNNNNNNNNNNNNNNNNNNNNNNNNNNNNNNNNNNNNNNNNNNNNNNNNNNNNNNNNNNNNNNNNNNNNNNNNNNNNNNNNNNNNNNNNNNNNNNNNNNNNNNNNNNNNNNNNNNNNNNNNNNNNNNNNNNNNNNNNNNNNNNNNNNNNNNNNNNNNNNNNNNNNNNNNNNNNNNNNNNNNNNNNNNNNNNNNNNNNNNNNNNNNNNNNNNNNNNNNNNNNNNNNNNNNNNNNNNNNNNNNNNNNNNNNNNNNNNNNNNNNNNNNNNNNNNNNNNNNNNNNNNNNNNNNNNNNNNNNNNNNNNNNNNNNNNNNNNNNNNNNNNNNNNNNNNNNNNNNNNNNNNNNNNNNNNNNNUAAACAAAAAGGGCCAUUUUGCUGAUACACCCAGAUGUACCAGCCGGAUUUGUCAAAUACCCACUAUGUUUGCAAAGAAUUGGUCCAUCCACCUUUUAACUGUUGACUCAGUUAAAGACCACAGUCAACAGCAUUUGACCAAUUCAUAAUUUCGGAACUUAUAAUAAUACCCUCAUUUUUUAAAAUUCCAAAACUGCCCUUUUUUAAUCUAAACCGUAGAUCUACAUUAAAUAUCAAGAUGUAAUCUGUGCCGUCGAUGGUUGGUAGGAAUAGACCAUUUUACCCUUAUUAAAAUAAAACUUAGAAUACACCCCAUUCAUCUUCUUCUUCACUUAGCUAGUUAUCUCUCUCCCUCCAAUGCUCUGUUCUUCCCGCCAAUAAAACCAUAGAAUUCUAGGGUUUUGUACAAUCAAAUUUGGGGAUUUCAACAAUUGUUACUAAUCCUUGAAGUUUAAAGUAUUUUCUUACUUGAUAAUUAAGCUUACGCGCACCAACACUCAAUUUCGCAUCGAUUCCGGUAACACACUUACCCUUGUUAUACCCAUCUUGCAUGUUUAAAUCAUGGUGCAUAUUCUUCGAAUCUAAUAGUGAAUCUGUUGUUAGUGAUGAAUACUUGUUAGAUUCAUCAUUUAAGAGUGUUCAAAUGCUCCAAUUUUACUGAAUGUUAGUUAUAAAUUUUAAUUUUUUAAUAUUUUGAAAAAACUGGAUGUUGAUGCUUAAUUUUGUAUAGGAUUUAUAUGUUUGUUUGAACAUAAAUGAAUAAUAUGUAUUAGUGUUAAAUUUCAUCAUAAAAGUUGCACCAAUGAAGGUAAUGUUAUCGCUGAUCAUCAAUGAUGUAAUGUUGUCACAGAUUACAUCUUAAUAUUUAAUGUAGAUCUACGGUUUAGAUUAAAAAAGGGCAGUUUUGGAAUUUUAAAAAAUGAGGGUAUUAUUGUAAGUUCCUAAAUUAUGAAUUGGUCAAAUGCUGUUGACUGUGGUCUUUAACUGAGUCAAACAGUUAAAAGGUAGAUGGACCAAUUCUUUGCAAACAUAGGUGGUAUUGACAAAUCGGCUGGUACAAUCUGGGUGUAUCAGCAAAAUGGCCCUAAACAAAAAAAAAUUAGACCUUAUUGAAUAUUCUAAAGUGUACGUAGAUGACAAUAAUAAAUAGACUAAAUUCACAAAAUGAUUUUUGAUAAAGAACUCACACAAAGUUGCUGGAGAUCUUCUUUCAAUCUUCAACAUUCAUAAAACACAUUCACCAUUAUCAAAAAUAAAAUAAAAAAUAAAACACAUUCACAAACCUUAAUUAAUUUAAUUAAAUCUUAACACUGUAAGACAUUAUAUAAGAUUCCAUAUAUUUUAAUUUUUCUUCAAAAACAAAACAAGCAAGCUAGCUAGUUUCCAUGAUCUAAUAAUGCUUGAAGUAAGACAAGAGAUUCUAAUUACAUGAUCUAAUCAUGCUUUAGUGGCCAUUCGGUCUUACUACUCAUUAUUAAUGCCUAAGUAGGGAUUAUGGUAAUUUAAUAUUAGUCGUUUUUGGUCAAAAAAUGUACGAACAACCACCUUUUUCAAGCGUGUGGAGAGCAGGUUGCAUUGUGAUCUUGGCACGUGUGUCAAACGAUCUUUGACCCAUUACUGCAAGUGAUGACGUGUACUGAGCCAGUAAUAUCGUGCUUAUGUCAGAUUUACCGAGUCCCACUUUAACAGAACCUGACGUUUUAUCUUACGUCGUUAAGUGUUACCGUUACUUUGGCUAAUGUGUCUGCCACGGUGGACAAAAGGCUCGUGUACUUCUUGUGCAUGCAAUUGAAUCGUACGUGUUUAAUGGAUUCCACGUGGAUGAAGAUGAGCCCAUGAGCUUCACUUUUUUGAUGGCUAAUUUAAUUUUUUAUAUUGAAAACGGACUAUCUUGGUGAGUUGGUCUAUCUAUGACCCGUUUACAACCUAGGAGAUGUAGACUUGGAAUUUUGGGUGGGCCGGUGGGCCCAUUUACAGUUCUUUCUGCAUGAAAUUUUUGACACAAAAGUCACAUUCAUAUGGACCAUAAGGCUUUGACUUAUGAAUUAUGAUUGUAAUCUAUAAUAAGAUUUUGAUUAUUUGAUCAAAGUGAUCAACUGAAGUUAUAUAUUAUGACCAUCUUUACUGCCUUGAACAUUCUCUCUUUGUAACUAAGAGCCAUCAGUUGACACUAAAGUGUUUGAAACUACUAUAAUCAUAUAGGUGCACCUUAAAGACCCAACAAGAAGAUGGAAAUGGAAAAACUGAUACAGUAUUCUCAAGAGCAGAAUCUGCUUGGGUGAAAAGUUUUCUAGCUCCCUCAUUGUACGUUCGAGUUCGAAACACCUGUUACAUUGACUUUGCAUAAGUGGAAAUCGGAAUUCUGUUCAUAGCAGUCAUUUCAUGGUUUCUUUUCCAAAUUUGGAUAAACUCAUCUAGAUACAGUUUGUCCCAAUUUGGCAUACUUAAAGCUCUCUUUAAUUAGGGUUCGAGUCCCAGAAUUGUGCGUCGUACUGUUCAGGGGUUCGUUCUAGCAAUCUAGCAUUCUUUUACUUUGUAUAGUAAAUCAAAAUUGUUUAUGUUAAGGGAUUCGGUCCAUUUUUAGGUUGUGAUCAAAUUUUUUUGCAGAUAAUUAAGACUAACUUUGUAAAAUGUUCUACACAUCUAUAAUGCUAAAAAUACAGUGGAAACGGAUGGUUGUAGUCUUGUAGACAUUGAGAUAACAUGUGAUAAAUUUCACUAUAUAUAUAAUAUAUAGGUCCACCAUGUUACAAAGUAGAAUAUAAUUCACUUCUGGUAUACUAUUGUUCCUCUUUCAUGUGAAGUAGAGAUGAUGGUUUUCUUGUCACAACUUGUUCUGCUCUGUAUCAGAUUUAUCUUUUCUUGUUAAAUUUUCCAUGACAGAAUAUUAAUUGUGGACCAUCUGUGUAAGAGAAUAAAGGAUAUUAUCAAUGGACCUUAAGUCCACUCAGUCAGUCUUCUUCAAAGUCUUCAAACUUGUUACUUGUCUUCUACUCAUCACCUAGCCAACAAGUUGAUGUAAUUAGUUUUAGAGAAUUUUCUUCACUUUGUUAUGUUAACUAACAAGUCAGUAGUGUUUCACAUCAGUGUUAUAGGCUUGUUGUUUAAAUCUGGAAGGAAAAAAUUCCUAUAGCAUGUCUUUGUUAUUAUUGGUUUCACAUUACAGGAAUUUAAGAUAGAAUGAGACUUGUUGGACUCAUUCUUACUUCAACAGACAACAUUUCUUGAGGUCUAUCAACCCAUCAUCAACCACAAGCAAACAAAGCAAUAUGGGUCUCACUCACAAAGUCACAAUAAAUGAUGUUUCCCCAGACCCCAGUAGAAUGCUUACUACUGUAUCUUGUGUCACUCUUUCAUUUGAUAGCAGAUGGUAGGAAUUUGGGCCCAAACACUAUGGCCUAUCAAAAAGUCCAAAGGUUAAGUCUGAAAAAUCAAUAUUAAUCCCAAAACAAUCUUUAAAAAUCUGUAAGAAGUCCAUCAAAUAAUCAAAUGGCUAGCUAGUGUUAAGAGAAUCAUGUACAUAAUUGCCGCUAGUCUUAAGUUUGGUUGGUCACCAAGGAGACUUAAAAGAAAAAGGAUGUUGUACACUCAGAAUGCAACUGCAUGUUGUGAUGGCGCAGGCGCGCAACUCAUGAUAUUGGGCAAGUUACAAUGUGUCGAUGAUCGAGCUACAUGACUACAUCUUACAUUAUUUUUGGGACAAUUCAGCACAUAGGAAAAUUCCAAUUGAAGACCAAAUUCCGUUUUCUAAACAAUCAAAAGAUAAACAUGAUUUUGACAAUACAGUAGAUUAAAUUAAAGAAAUUUGGCUAUUCUCAUUUCUCCAGCACAUCAAAUAUGGAUAUUUGGAAACUUGAUAAGAAGUGUUUGAAAUGUUGCAUCUGAUUCUUGCAUUCCAGCAAAGUUUUGUAUUGAUCAUGCGGAAAUCAUGAAAUGUUGUUGUUCACUUGUUCAUGCGUCUCAAGGAGUGUUGAACCCAAGGCUGAAUCCAAGUGCAAUGCAAGACUUCCAUCGUGUCGUAGAUGUCAUUCCUAAGAAAAUCUCCGAAAGAAGACUGCCAUUUUUUAGUCUCAAGGCAAUAGAACACAAAAUUGUUCUUGUCAUUGAAUGACAAAGGAAAGUAAAUCUUGUUCCGCAUUUGUUUAUUUACUGCCUUCAAGGAUAGAGAAGUAGUUGGACUAACAAACAUCACUUGAUCUUCCAAACUCUUUAGAAGCCUCCAUUUCCAAGUGGUAUCAUCUAACUUGUACACAUGAACCCAUUUUCCCAUGUGACCGAUAAGAACUGCUAACAUUUCUCCAUUGCACUCAACCAAAUAACUUUGGUGGCCGAUGGAUGAAUCAGAAUUGGGUGUUUGAAUAGAUGAACCAGGACAGGGUGUCUGACGAACAUUCCAAUGACAUUUCGAUAGGUCAAAGAUUCCUAAGUGUCCUUCAAGUCCCAAACAAUACAAUGCACCAUUGUAGAACACUGGAUUGUUAUUACAAAGGGCAAUUUCGACGUUGUUUGGACAUUUCCUAUAAUUCCAAGCCUUGUCUCCAAGAUGCAGAAAAUAUAUCUCAACAUAUGACACAAAGUAAAAGAAACCAAAAACUAUACAACUUGAUGAAUUUGGUGGGGCAGUAAAAGAAAAACCAUUGAAACCUAGAUUUUCUGGCAAAUCUGGAAGUCCGAUAGUGGCCUUAGUGAAGGGAUUGAAGAAAAACAUAGAACACAUACCUUUCUUCAUAAGUAACCAUCCAUCCUUUGAAGAACAAAUUCUGGCACCCAAUAGCUCUGGCAUAUCGAAGCAAGAAUCAAUGUUGUACAUAGGAUCUAGAAAGCUGCAUUUGCUUUUCAGUCUAUUUGAAAACAUGAGCGAAGGAUAUUGUGCUCUAGUCCAUUGACCGCGAUGAGGAACAAGCAACGCAAAUAUCUUUCAAACUAGACGGAAAUUCAUAUGAUCAACCGGCAGUGAGAGACAUGCUGUUAUGGAAAGAAGAACAUCCCUGGGGAGUCCCACUGAUGACAGAACUUUGGAUUCCGCACUAUCAGCAUUUCCUAUUGCUUUUGCAUUAUCCAAUAUCUCCGUCUUGACCAGUUUCUCUUUGGUGGUUCUGCUUUCAUCUUCUUUAUGGAUUUCAAUCAACCUAUUUCAACAUAAAAUAUGUCAGCCUCCUCAUAAUUCACGAAUAGAAAAUAGUGGUAGAAAAAACUAUCAAUUUUGACAAUAUUUAAGAACACAAGAAAGUGAAGUGUAAGCCUGGCAACUUCGUAUUGUGUACCUACCUGUUUGUAGGCAUCAACCAAAAUGGCAAGGACCAAACUGUUGCUAAAUUCGGACAAGAUAAAUGAACUGAUAAACUCUCAUCUUGUAGAUAAAAAACAUAGAGAUUAGUAUCUUGCCAGAGAGUGAAAUAAACCUUGUUUCCUUUCAUCCCUGCUUUGCUAGCAGAGAAUGACACACAGUUGGUAUAUGAUAAGCAAAAGAUGCUAUCUCCUAGACAUUCCACUUUCACCCAGACCUUUUUUAACAAAUCUAUCUUACAAAACCUCAACAUGGUUGAUUUUUUCUUCACUCAAGCAUACAAAAUGCACAAGUACGUAAUAUAUCUCACCACAAGAUUCCACGAGAUAAUCAUUACAUCUAAGGAUCUCAGGAUAGUAUUGAGGCCUUUCAAAGCCUAACAAUUUUACCGACAACACACCACAAGGUUUUCUAUCAAUAACAGCAAGACAGUGACAGUUCGUACAAGCAUAGAUGUCUCCAUUUGUUGGACAAACGAAGACGUUGCUAAUACACUGAUCUGUUUCAAUACCAUCCUUGAAAAUUUUAUAAGUCAGCUUAGUCCACUUUUUAUCACCUUGUUUCCAGAACAGAAAAAAACUCUCCCCCCAGAACAAAACCAUACAAUCUGAAUUGCUUGGAGGAGACAAUAAGAUGCAUCUGGUUUCCUUUAUAUCUUGAAAGUCCUUCCAAUUUCCUGAUGGUAAAUUAACAAUUUCUCGUGUAGUGGGAUUCCACAAAAAAUACUGAAAUUGUUUUGAUGUUACCUGCUUUACUAUGAACCAACCAUGCAUUGCUGCCAAACAUUCUUUUUUAUGAAGUUCAUGUCUAACUUUUCUAACACAAUUCGACUUGUUUGGAUCAUCAGAUAUAUUAAAAAAAGUUAGCUGAUUUCUAUGGCUUCCAGUUGGGAAGACAAGCCAAGGUACAGGUGCAGUACUACAUGGUAAAAUAUUGUUUGAUGCCUUCAUCACAAAACUACAGUAUGAACUUAUGAAGAGACUAUGGGAAGAGUUGCAGGUUAUAUGAUGACUGUAAAGCUUAAACUGAGGUUUGCAUCAAUUUUCAAACCUUGAAUAAAGGCCUAACUCAGGAUCAGGGUGCACGCUUCGACAACAAGUUGGCCACCUGGUUACACUCCCUAUAUACAUGCAUAUAAGUCACAGACAUAUAGUCAUUAAUAAUAAUUAGCUCAAACUUCCGCGCACACCACCAUCUUCCAUUGAGGGCUUGUGCAGUUGUGCUGCAAAAAGGAAUCUGUCUCCACCUCAAGUUUGGUGAUCCCAAGCAGUUUUGCUAACUGCAGUCUAUCAAGGAUGGCCCAUAAUUCAGCCAUUGAGUUUGAGCAAUGUCCCGCCGAAAAACAGCCACUCAUUUUUAAAUUUCAAUCCAAUACCUAGUACCUACAGCCAACAGCCCCAUCAACAUUUUACUUAAUCCAGUUUUGUCGGAGGAGGCUGCCAAGCCACAUAUCUGUAAUACUACUGCCUUGAACCAUCAUUGAAAUAUAAGAUAAGACUCAACUUUAAAUACUACCCAUCUGAAGAGAUGAUAUGGAUAAAAGAGCAAAUGUAAAGAACUUAUUCUUUCCGGAUUUCAAUAUACCCCAAAAGAGAAAAGAUAAUGGCACAUGAAAAAUAAAAUAAAUUUGUUGAUUCUAAAAAUUAUUUUUUUUUAGUAGAAAAAUUAAUUUUUUUUCCAGUAGAAAAAUUAAUUUUCAUUGAUACUUGAAUAUACUUGAGCCCAGUUUGGAUUUAUAAAAAAAACAGUAAAUUCUCUAGUCAAUCAAUUUUGACUAAAAUGUUUGGUCUCAAUUACAAUAGCCCAACUCAAAUACAAAAUCCCAAGUUCAAAAACUCAAAUACAAAAAGCCAAGUCUCCAAACUGAACUACAAAAGCCCAAGACCAAAUAUUUUGGGUCAAAUUUUUUCAGCUAUAGAUUAUGCCUAACCCGGCCCAUGUUCUACCAUCCACACGAGUCACGACCACACGAACUGAACCUUUUUCUUUUCUUCUUCAAAGUUCAAAGAGAGAAAGAAAAGGGUUCUUCAGUUGCAUCUUCAUCAAUCAAUCAAUCAAUCAAUCAAUCAAUCAAUCAAUCAAUCAAUCAAUCAAUCAAGCAAGUUUCCAUCAAUCAAUCUUCGCCAGUAAGUGAAGAUUGAUUCUACCCAUCUGAUAAAUACUACCCAUCUGAAGAAAUGAUACGGAUAAAAGAAGCAAAUGCAAAGACCUUAUUGUUUCCGGAUUUCAAUAUACCCCAAAAGAAGAUAAUGGCCCAUGAAAAAUAAAAUAAAUUUGUUAAUUCUUAAAAAUUAAUUUUUUUAGUAGAAAAAAUAAUUUUUUUUCAAUAGAAAAAUUAAUUUUCAUUGAUACUUGAAUAUGCUAAAGCUCAUUUUAGAUUUAUAAAAAAAACCCAGUAAAUUCUCUAGUCAAUCAAUUUUGACUGAAAUGUUUGGUUUCCAUUACAAUAACCCAACUCAAAUACAAAAACCCAAGUCCAAAAACUCAAAUACAAAAGACCAAGUCCCAAACUCAACUACAAAAGCCAAAGAUCAAAUAUUUUGGGUCAAAUCGUUUCAGCUAUAGAUUAUGCCUAACUCAGCCCAUGUUCUACCAUCCACACGAGUCACGACUUUUUGUUUUUCUUCAAAGUUCAAAGAGAGAAAGAAAAAGGUUAUUCAGCUGCAUCUUCAUCAAUUAAUCAAUCAAACUUCCAUCAAUCAAUUUUCACCAGUCAAAGGAAGAUUGAUUCUACCUAUCUGAUAAAUACUACCCAUCUGAAGAGAUGAUACGAAUAAAAAGAGCAAAUGCAAAUACCUUAUUGUUUCCGGAUUUCAAUAUACCCCAAAAGAGAAAAGAUAAUGGCCCACGAAAAAUAAAAUAAAUUUGUUAUUUCUUAAAAAUUAAUUUUUUUAGUAGGAAAAUUAAUUUUCAUUAAUACUUGAAUAUGCUAAAGCCCAGUUUGGAUUUAUAAAAAAAAACAGUAAAUUCUCUGGUCAAUCAAUUUUAACUGAAAUGUUUGGUCUCAAUUACAAUGACCCAACUCAAAUAUAAAAGCCCAAGUCCAAAAACUUAAAUACAAAAGGCCAAGUCCCCAAACUCAACUACAAAAGCCCACGACCAAAUAUUUUGGGUCAAAUCUUUUCAGCUAUAGAUUAUGCCUAACCCGGUCCAUGUUCUACUAUCCACACGAGUCACGACCUCACGAACUGAAUCCUUUUCUUUUCUUCUCCAAUUUUUUAAAGAGGAAGAAAAUGGUUCUUCAGCUGCAUCUUCAUCAAUCAAUUAAUCAAGCUUCCAUCAAUCAAUCUUCAUCAGUUAAGUUAAGAUUGAUUCUACACAUCUGAUAAAUACUACCCAUCUGAAGAGAUGAUACGGAUAAAAGCAACAAAUGCAAAGACCUUAUUCUUUUCGGAUUUCAAUAUAAUCCAAAAAAGAAAAGAUAAUGACCCAUGAAAAAUAAAAUAAAUUUGUUAAUUCUUAAAAAUUAAUUUUUUAAGUAGAAAAAUUAAUUUGUUUUUAGUAGAAAAAUUAAUUUCCAUUGAUACUUGAAUAUUGCUAAAGCCUAGUUUGGAUUUAUAAAAAAAAAAACAGUAAAUUCUCUAGUCAAUCAAUUUUCACUGAAAUGUUUGGUCUCAAUUACAAUGGCCCAACUCAAAUACAAAAGCCCAAGUCCACAAACUCAACUACAAAAGCCCAAGACCACAUAUUUUGGGUCAAAUCUUUUCAGCUGAGGAUUAUGCCUAACUCGACCCAUGUUCUACCAUCUACACGAGUCACAACCACACGAACUGAACCCUUUUCUUUUCUUUUACAAAGUUCAAAGAGAGAAAGAAAAGGGUUCUUCAGCUACAUCUUCAUCAAUAAAUCAAUCAAUCAAUCAAGCUUCCAUCAAUCAAUCAAUCAAGUGAAGAUUGAUUAUACCUAUGUGAUAAAUACUACCCAUCUGAAGAGAUGAUACGGAUAAAAGGAGCAAAUGCAAAGACUUUAUUGUUUCUGGAUUUCAAUAUACCCCAAAAGAGAGAUAAUGGCCCAUGAAAAAUAAAAUAAAUUUGUUAAUUCUUAAAAAUUAAUUUUUUUUAGUAGAAAAAUUAAUUUUCAUUGAUACUUGAAUAUGCUAAAGCCCAGUUUGGAUUUAUAAAAAAAAAACCCAGUAAAUUCUCUGGUCAAUCAAUUUUGUUUGAAAUGUUUGGUCUCAAUUACAAUGACACAACUCAAAUACAAAAGCCCAAGACCAAAAACUCAAAUACAAAAGGACAAGUCCCCAAACUCUACUACAAAANNNNNNNNNNNNNNNNNNNNNNNNNNNNNNNNNNNNNNNNNNNNNNNNNNNNNNNNNNNNNNNNNNNNNNNNNNNNNNNNNNNNNNNNNNNNNNNNNNNNNNNNNNNNNNNNNNNNNNNNNNNNNNNNNNNNNNNNNNNNNNNNNNNNNNNNNNNNNNNNNNNNNNNNNNNNNNNNNNNNNNNNNNNNNNNNNNNNNNNNNNNNNNNNNNNNNNNNNNNNNNNNNNNNNNNNNNNNNNNNNNNNNNNNNNNNNNNNNNNNNNNNNNNNNNNNNNNNNNNNNNNNNNNNNNNNNNNNNNNNNNNNNNNNNNNNNNNNNNNNNNNNNNNNNNNNNNNNNNNNNNNNNNNNNNNNNNNNNNNNNNNNNNNNNNNNNNNNNNNNNNNNNNNNNNNNNNNNNNNNNNNNNNNNNNNNNNNNNNNNNNNNNNNNNNNNNNNNNNNNNNNNNNNNNNNNNNNNNNNNNNNNNNNNNNNNNNNNNNNNNNNNNNNNNNNNNNNNNNNNNNNNNNNNNNNNNNNNNNNNNNNNNNNNNNNNNNNNNNNNNNNNNNNNNNNNNNNNNNNNNNNNNNNNNNNNNNNNNNNNNNNNNNNNNNNNNNNNNNNNNNNNNNNNNNNNNNNNNNNNNNNNNNNNNNNNNNNNNNNNNNNNNNNNNNNNNNNNNNNNNNNNNNNNNNNNNNNNNNNNNNNNNNNNNNNNNNNNNNNNNNNNNNNNNNNNNNNNNNNNNNNNNNNNNNNNNNNNNNNNNNNNNNNNNNNNNNNNNNNNNNNNNNNNNNNNNNNNNNNNNNNNNNNNNNNNNNNNNNNNNNNNNNNNNNNNNNNNNNNNNNNNNNNNNNNNNNNNNNNNNNNNNNNNNNNNNNNNNNNNNNNNNNNNNNNNNNNNNNNNNNNNNNNNNNNNNNNNNNNNNNNNNNNNNNNNNNNNNNNNNNNNNNNNNNNNNNNNNNNNNNNNNNNNNNNNNNNNNNNNNNNNNNNNNNNNNNNNNNNNNNNNNNNNNNNNNNNNNNNNNNNNNNNNNNNNNNNNNNNNNNNNNNNNNNNNNNNNNNNNNNNNNNNNNNNNNNNNNNNNNNNNNNNNNNNNNNNNNNNNNNNNNNNNNNNNNNNNNNNNNNNNNNNNNNNNNNNNNNNNNNNNNNNNNNNNNNNNNNNNNNNNNNNNNNNNNNNNNNNNNNNNNNNNNNNNNNNNNNNNNNNNNNNNNNNNNNNNNNNNNNNNNNNNNNNNNNNNNNNNNNNNNNNNNNNNNNNNNNNNNNNNNNNNNNNNNNNNNNNNNNNNNNNNNNNNNNNNNNNNNNNNNNNNNNNNNNNNNNNNNNNNNNNNNNNNNNNNNNNNNNNNNNNNNNNNNNNNNNNNNNNNNNNNNNNNNNNNNNNNNNNNNNNNNNNNNNNNNNNNNNNNNNNNNNNNNNNNNNNNNNNNNNNNNNNNNNNNNNNNNNNNNNNNNNNNNNNNNNNNNNNNNNNNNNNNNNNNNNNNNNNNNNNNNNNNNNNNNNNNNNNNNNNNNNNNNNNNNNNNNNNNNNNNNNNNNNNNNNNNNNNNNNNNNNNNNNNNNNNNNNNNNNNNNNNNNNNNNNNNNNNNNNNNNNNNNNNNNNNNNNNNNNNNNNNNNNNNNNNNNNNNNNNNNNNNNNNNNNNNNNNNNNNNNNNNNNNNNNNNNNNNNNNNNNNNNNNNNNNNNNNNNNNNNNNNNNNNNNNNNNNNNNNNNNNNNNNNNNNNNNNNNNNNNNNNNNNNNNNNNNNNNNNNNNNNNNNNNNNNNNNNNNNNNNNNNNNNNNNNNNNNNNNNNNNNNNNNNNNNNNNNNNNNNNNNNNNNNNNNNNNNNNNNNNNNNNNNNNNNNNNNNNNNNNNNNNNNNNNNNNNNNNNNNNNNNNNNNNNNNNNNNNNNNNNNNNNNNNNNNNNNNNNNNNNNNNNNNNNNNNNNNNNNNNNNNNNNNNNNNNNNNNNNNNNNNNNNNNNNNNNNNNNNNNNNNNNNNNNNNNNNNNNNNNNNNNNNNNNNNNNNNNNNNNNNNNNNNNNNNNNNNNNNNNNNNNNNNNNNNNNNNNNNNNNNNNNNNNNNNNNNNNNNNNNNNNNNNNNNNNNNNNNNNNNNNNNNNNNNNNNNNNNNNNNNNNNNNNNNNNNNNNNNNNNNNNNNNNNNNNNNNNNNNNNNNNNNNNNNNNNNNNNNNNNNNNNNNNNNNNNNNNNNNNNNNNNNNNNNNNNNNNNNNNNNNNNNNNNNNNNNNNNNNNNNNNNNNNNNNNNNNNNNNNNNNNNNNNNNNNNNNNNNNNNNNNNNNNNNNNNNNNNNNNNNNNNNNNNNNNNNNNNNNNNNNNNNNNNNNNNNNNNNNNNNNNNNNNNNNNNNNNNNNNNNNNNNNNNNNNNNNNNNNNNNNNNNNNNNNNNNNNNNNNNNNNNNNNNNNNNNNNNNNNNNNNNNNNNNNNNNNNNNNNNNNNNNNNNNNNNNNNNNNNNNNNNNNNNNNNNNNNNNNNNNNNNNNNNNNNNNNNNNNNNNNNNNNNNNNNNNNNNNNNNNNNNNNNCAUUAUGAUUUGGGUCGUGCCCGCGUAGUAGUUAAAGCGACCCACCACCUUAGAACCGACAGUCAACUAAUUAAGUAACUAUCACACACACACACACACACACACACACACACACACACACACACACACACACACACACACACACACACACACACACACACACACAGACACACACACACACACACACACACACACACACACAAUCAAGCUUCUAUCAAUCCACCUUCACCAGUCAAGUGAAGAUUGAUUCUACCCAUCUGAUACAUACUACCUAUCUGAAGAGAUGAUACGGAUAAAAGGAGCAAAUGCAAAGACCUUAUUAUUUCCGGAUUUCAAUAUACCCCAUAAGAGAAAAGAUAAUGGCCCAUGAAAAAUAAAAUAAAUUUGUUGCUUCUUAAAAAUUAAUCUUUUUAGUAGAAAAAAUAAUCUUUUUAGUAGAAAAAUUAUUUUUUUUUUCAGUAGAAAAAUUAAUUUCCAUUGAUACUUGAAUAUGCUAAAGCCUAGUUUGGAUUUAUAAAAAAAAAACACUAAAUUCUUUGGUCAAUCAGUUUUGACUGAAAUGUUUAGUCUCAAUUUUAAUGGCCCAACUCAAAUACAAAAGCCGAAGUCCAAAAAACUCAAAUACAAAAGGGCCAAGUCCACAAACUUAACUACAAAAGCCUAAGACAAAAUAUUUUGGGUUAAAUCUUUUCAGCUAUGGAUUAUGCCUAACCCGGUCUAUAUUCUACCAUCCACACGUGUCACGACCACGCGAAUUGAACCAUUUUCUUUUCUUUUUCAAAGUUCAAAGAGAGAAAAAAAAAGGGUUCUUCAGUUGCAUCUCAAUCAAUCAAUCAAGCUUCUAUCAAUCAAUCUUUAUUAGUCAAGUGAAUAUUGAUUCUACUCAUCUGAAGAGAUGAUACGGAUAAAAGGAGCAAAUGUAAACACCUUAUUGUUUCCGGAUUUCAAUAUACCCCAAAAGAAAAAAGAUAAUGACCCAUGAAAAAUAAAAUAAAUUUGUUGAUUCUUAAGAAUUAAUUUUUUUUAGUAGAAAAAUUAAUUUUUUUUCAAAAGAAAAAUUAUUUUUCAUUAAUACAAUAAAACCUCGAUAAAUGAAUGUUCGAUAAAGUAAUAACCUCGCUUAGGUAAUAAUUUCUUCCGGUCCCGACUUAGGCAUGUGUACUAAAGUAAUAUCCUCGCUAAAUACAUUAAGUAAUAAAAAAAUGAGGUAUUUAGCGAUUGCACCCCAAAAAUUAAUUCAAGUUUGCAAGACUCCCCGAUUUUUAAAUAGUUUAGCGUUGGCUCCUCUUUUGCCUCCUUUUUUCUAUAAUGGCAAUUUUGCCCUUAAGUUAGUGUUUAGCAUUUACCCCCUAAACUUGAAAACCACCUUCCAAUGCCACAUCACCACACCAAAGUGGUUUUAAUAUCAACCAUUGAUUCAAAAAAUACGUAACUCGAGGAAUAUCAACAACUUAUAAGGUAAUUUCAAUCUGGCCAUUUCAAACACAUCUCGAGGACAAUCAAUGUUAGAUAAAAACCUAAUCAAUGGUUGAUAAAGAGACACGUGGCAACAUCUUCAUCUUCUUCCAUAAAUCAAAUUAAAUGAGAAAAUAGUCAUUGGGUUUGUGACAUCAUCAUCAUUUUCUUCAACUUGUUCUAUAAAUUAGACUCUUUGAACACCUUCUUCACUUCUUUAAGCACAAGAAAAUACUUCUACUCUAUUUGAAUUCCUUCUUCCCCUAUUCAAUUUUUUAAUUCAACAUCAAAUUGGAAACCCUAAGUUAACUAAUACUUCUACUCUAAAGCUAACAUCAACAACAUGGAUGUAUGUUAAUGGUUAUUUCUAACUUGAGGUUUUAUGUUGUUUUUAAUGGAGGUAUGUUAAUGGUCAUCUUCAAUCUAUGGUUGUUUGUGUUCUGCAAUUUGGGGGGGGGGGGGGGGGGAAAGUCUACAGAACAUACUAUUAAAGGGGGGAAGCUACCCCAUUUCUUCUUUUAAAUUUUGAGUAUCUAUACAUAUGUCACCUCCUGGUGGAGGAGCAGGUGGAUAAUGACAUGGACCAGCUGUGCUGGUUGUACACCUACAUACGCACACUCUAGCUCGCGGGUCUCCUGUUCGUGCAGAUGGACUAGAUGACUGCAACAUCGGGAAGAUACUUUUUGAUUGGUUAAUGGAAGCAUACUCAAACAAGCCCCGCAAAUCCNNNNNNNNNNNNNNNNNNNNNNNNNNNNNNNNNNNNNNNNNNNNNNNNNNNNNNNNNNNNNNNNNNNNNNNNNNNNNNNNNNNNNNNNNNNNNNNNNNNNNNNNNNNNNNNNNNNNNNNNNNNNNNNNNNNNNNNNNNNNNNNNNNNNNNNNNNNNNNNNNNNNNNNNNNNNNNNNNNNNNNNNNNNNNNNNNNNNNNNNNNNNNNNNNNNNNNNNNNNNNNNNNNNNNNNNNNNNNNNNNNNNNNNNNNNNNNNNNNNNNNNNNNNNNNNNNNNNNNNNNNUAAAAAUAUUUGAAUCCCUAAAGGCCCAACAAAAAUAUAAAGUUAUAAUUAGUAAAUUUCAUACAAAAAUUAAUGGGUGUGUUUGGUUUGCAUGAAUUUGGAUUCCUAGAAAAUAGGUAGGAAUCACCUAAUUUUUGGCUGAAAAUUUGGAAAACAGAUUCCGGUGUAGUGCAACCGGAAGAAAAACGGUUUCCUUUUAUAAAAGAUAGAAACCAGUUUCCAUAACUGGUUAGACAAAACCAGCAAUAUUUAUCUUUCCCCUGAUUUCCGUUUAUUUUCGUCUAUAUUUAUCUCGCUUUUGUGCUCACUAUUUUUCUCUUAUCAAUCUCUAUUCUAACAAUACCCUCUGUUUUCUCAGAAUCUUAAUUCCCCGAACCAAACAUAGCCUAUGACAUACUCUUGAACUUUUUUUUUUUUUUUUUUCCUGAAAAUAUGCAUCUAAAGUUUUUUUUUUUUUUUUUUUUUUGUACCCAAACCAAAUUCAACCCCGUCCUUAACUUUUUGUAGAGUAAACAUAACUUCCAAAAUAUUUUGCUCAUAUUGUAGCAAAUAUUUAUAUAAUGUGAUUAAUAAUUGAAAUGUUUCUUUUGACAAAACAUUUGGUAUAACCAAACUAUCAUCUGGAUCAAGAUUAUGUUCAUCAUCAUUUGGUAUAUGACCACAUACUUUUUUUUUUGGAAAAAUUGGUCAAAACCCCCUAUAUUUUGACCGGGUUUGGCGUGAACCCCACAAUGUUGUCCAAUCUUGGCGUUAACCCCCUUCUGUUAAGCAACCCCCCAAGUUUCUGUCCAUUCAAAGUUUGUUUACCCACUAUACCCCUAAUUUAAAUAAUUUGUCUAAACCCAAAAAAUUUGCUUACCCAUUAUACCCCCAAAUUCAAAUUAGUGAAGUUAGUUUUGAUAACUAAUUUUUUUUUUUUAGGGGGGUAGACAAAUUCAUUUGAAUUAGGGGUAUAAUGGGUAGUCAAACUUUAAAUAGAUGGAAACUUGGGGGGUUUGUUAACUAAAGGGGGUUAACGCCAAGAUUGGAUAACAUUGGGGGGUUUACACCAAACCCGGUCAAAACUUGGGGUGUUUUGACCAAUUUUUCUUUUUUUUUUCUUUGACCACAUACAUAGAUUGAAAAUCUCCCUCUAAAAUAAUAAAUAUUAAUUUAUCGAUAAAAUAAUAUAUUAUUUAUUUAUCAAUAAAUAAAUAAUCUCGUUAAAAUAAUAUAUUUUUUCGGUCCCAAUGGUAUGCAUUUAUCGAGGUUUUACUGUACUUGAAUAUGCUAAAGCCCAGUUUGGAUUUAUACAAAAAAAAAAACAGUAAAUUCUCUGGUCAAUCAAUUUUGACUGAAAUGUUUGGUCUCAAUUGCAAUGACCCAACUCAAAUACAAAAGCCCAAGUCCAAAAACUCAAACACAAAAGGCCAAGUCCCAAAACUCAACUACAAAAGCCCAAGACCAAAUAUUUUGGGUCAAAUCUUUUCAGCUAUGGAUUAUGCCUAACACAGCCCAUGUUCUACCAUCCACACGAGUCACGACCACACGAACUGAACCCUUUUCUUCUUCAAAGUUCAAAGAGAGAAAGAAAAGGGUUCUUCAGCUACAUCUUCAUCGAUCAACCAAUUAAUUAAUCAAGCUUUCAUCAAUGAAUCUUCACCAGUCAAGUGAAGAUUGAUUCUACCCAUCCGAAGAGAUGAUACAGAUAAAAUGAGCAAAUGCGAAGACCUUAUUGUUUUCGGAUUUCAAUAUACCCCAAAAGAGAGAAAAGAUAAUAGCCCAUGAAAAAUAAAAUAAAUUUGUUGAUUCUUAAAAAUUAAUUUUUUUUUGGUUAAAAAAUUAAUUUUUUUCAGUAGAAAAAUUAAUUUCCAUUGAUACAGUAAAACCUCGAUAAAUGAAUGUUCGAUAAAGUAAUAACCUCGCUUAGAUAAUAAUUUCUUCAGGUCCCGACUUGGGCAUGUGUACUAAAGUAGUAUCCUCGCUAAAUACAUUAAGUAAUAAAAAAAUUUGAAUCCUUAAAGGCCCAACAAAAAUAUAAAGUAAUAAUUACUAAAUUUCAUACAAAUAUUUAUGGCUGUGUUUGGUUCGCAUGAAUUUGGAUUCCUAGAAAAUAGGUAGAAAUCACCUAAUUUUUGGCUGAAAACCUGGAAAACAGAUUCUGGUGUAGUGCUUUCUGGCAACCGGAAAGAAAGCAGCGAAUGAGCCUGUGGCUCAAUGGUAGCACCCCUCUCACAAAGUGAGAGGUCGUGGUUCAAAACACGUCAACAACGGAUUGUUGAUAUAAGUUCCACACUUAAUUUAAAAGGGUAGGGGUCCGCACAACCUCGCUUCCCAACCAAAAAAAAAAAAAAAAAAAAAAAAACCCGGAAGGAAAGCAGUUUUCUUUUUUAAAAGAUAGAAACCAAUUUCCAUAACUGGUUAGAUAAAACCGGCAAGUAUUUAUCUUUCCCCUGAUUUCUGUUUAUUUUAGUCUGUAUUUAUCUCGCUUUUGUGCGCACUAUUUUUCUCUUAUCAAUCUCUAUUCUAACAAUACCCUCUGUUUUCCCAGAAUCUUAAUUCCCCGAACCAAACAUAACCUAUGACAUACUCUUGAACUUGUUUUUGUUUCCUGAAAAUAUGCAUCUAAAGUUUUUUUUUUUUUUUUUUGUACCAAAACCAAAUUCAACCCCAUCCUUAACUUUUUGUAGAGUAAACAUAACUUCCAAAAUAUUUUGUUCACAUUGUAGCAAAUAUUUAUAUAAUGUUAUUAUUGAUUGAAAUGUUUCUUUUGACAAAACAUUUGGUAUAACCGAACUAUCAUCUGGAUCAAGAUCAUGUUCAUCAUCAUUUGGUAUAUGACCACAUACUUUUUUUUUUCUUUGACCACAUACAUAGAUUGAAAAUCUCCCUCUAAAAUAAUAAAUAUUAAUUUAUCGAUAAAGUAAUAUAUUAUUUAUUUAUCGAUAAAUAAAUAAUCUCAUUAAAAUAAUAUAUUUUUCGACCCCAAGGGUAUGUAUUUAUCGAGGUUUUACUGUACUUGAAUAUGCUAAAGCCCAGUUUGGAUUUAUAAAAAAAAAACAGUAAAUUCUCUGGUCAAUUAAUUUUGACUGAAAUGUUUGGUCUUAAUUACAAUGACCCAACUCAAAUACAAAAGCCCAAGUCCAAAAACUCAAAUACAAAAGGCCAAGUCCCCAAACUCAACUACAAAAGCCCAAGACCAAAUAUUUUGGGUCAAAUCUUUUAAGGUAUGGAUUAUGCCUAACCCGACCCAUGUUCUACCAUCUACACGAGUCAUGAUCACACGAAUUGAACCCUUUUCUUUUCUUCUUCGAAGUUCAAAUAGAGAAAGAAAAGGGUUCUUCAACUAUAUCUUCAUCAAUCAUUCAAUCAAUUAAUCAAUCUUCAAUCAAUCAAUCUUCACCAGUCAAGUGAAGAUUGAUUCUGCCAAUCCGAAGAGAUGAUACAGAUAAAAGGAGCAAAUGCAAAGACCUUAUUGUUUCCGAAUUUCAAUAUAUCCCAAAAGAGAAAAGAAUGGCCCAUAAAAAAUAAAAUAAAUUUGUUAAUUUUUAAAAAUUAAUUUUUUUUAGUAGAAAAAUUAAUUUUUUUUCAGUAGAAAAAUUAAUUUUCAUUGAUACUUGAAUAUGCUAAAGCCCAGUUUGGAUUUAUAAAAAAAACAGUUAAUUAUCUGGUCAAUCAAUUUUGACUGAAAUGUUUGGUCUCAAUUGCAAUGACCCAACUCAAAUACAAAAGCCCAAGUCCAAAAACUCAAACACAAAAGGCCAAGUCCCAAAACUCAACUACAAAAGCCCAAGACCAAAUAUUUUGGGUCAAAUCUUUUCAGUUAUGGAUUAUGCCUAACCCGACCCAUGUUCUACCAUCCACACGAGUCAUGACCACACGAACUGAACCCUUUUCUUUUCUUCUUCAAAGUUCAAAGAGAGAAAGAAAUGGGUUCUUCAGCUACAUCUUCAUCAAUCAAUCAAUCAAUCAAGCUUCCAUCAAUCAAUCUUCACCAGUCAAGUAGAUUGAUUCUAUACAUCCACACCUAUAUGGAUUAAUCACAAGUCUUAAACAGUUUGUUUGCUAUACUGGAGCCAUAUUAAAUUCAUUCUUUGCUUCCUGCCACAUGUAUAAUAACUAAUCCAAGUAUUAGUAACUCCACUUCUAACCACAUUAAGAUAAGCAUGGAAUGAUGAGCUUGGGUUUGGGCUUGGAUUUGGAGAUCAACACAACUCUUUACAACACUCCCCCUUGGAUGUACAAUAUCCACCGCAUCAAGAUAUUGCCUCAUUAAAACCUUGCCAGAAAAGCCCAAUGGGAAAAAAGCAUGGCGAAGGAAAAAAAGUACAAUAGUUGAUUUCUUGAUUGGUGUUGGACGCGCUAUAUACUGCCUCGUUAAAACCUCGCAAGGAAAACCCAGUGGGAAAAACCACAGCUAAAGAAAAAGAGUACAGUGUGCUUAAUGUCAUGGCGGCUCCCCCAUGAAGGCAACUCCUCUUGAUGAAUAUCAGACUAAGCUCGACCUUUGGCGCAUCCCAAUGCCAUAUGCAUGUUUCUCAAAAGUUGGUGGAACUAGUGACUUAGUGAACAAAUUAGAGAGAUUCUCAUCAGACCAUAUCUUCUGGACAUUGAUCUCGUUACUCUUCUGGAGUUAAUGAGAGAAAUUAUUUUUUGGAGAAAUAUAUUUUGUUCUAUCACUUCUGAUGUAGUCUUCCCUGAUUUGAUCAAUACAUGCAACAUUAUCUUCAUAAAUCACUGUUGGUGUCUCUGUAACUGAGGGGAGUCCGCAUGUUGAUUGGAUAUGAUGUAUCAUGAGCCUCAACCAUACACAUUCACGAGUUGUUUCAUGGAGUGCAAGUACCUUCGAGUGGUUGGAAGAUGUACCAACCAAUGUUUUCUUAGAAGAUCGCCAAAAAAUUGUUGUACCACCAUAAGUAAAUACAUACCCAGUUUGCGAUCUUUCUUUGUGUGGGUCAGAUCUAUAUCCAGUAUCUGCAUACCCCUUUAGUUGGGAACCAUUUAGUGGUUUUCUGGAAUAGUGUAAGCCCAUAUCCGUCGUUCCACGAAGGUAACACAUAAUCUCCUUUAAGCCAGUCUAAUGUCGUCGGGUUGGAGCUGAGCUAAACCUGGCUAACAAAUUCACUGGAAAUGAGUGUUGUUGGUACCCUUUCCUUUAUCCUUUUUAGGCUCAGUGUCAUCCCACUUCUGGUGGUAUGGGGUACUUGUGGGUGCAAAAAUUUGAUCCACAAACUCGAGAUGUGUAUUGAUUAGAAUGAAAGCCUUGUAUAGACUGAGAUGGGAUGGGGGUAUACAAUUAGACUGGACCUGAUGGGGAUCAGGCUGCCUACAUAUUCAAUGUGAUGAACUUGGAAUCAAGUCUCUGCUUCCACUAAGCUCUAAUGGAGUUGCGCAGUGAAAGAGUCGUAGUUCAAGAGGUUAAAAACUCCUACAUUUAUAGUGGACCGGAGGAGGCUGGCUCAACCACCCCUCCGUCCAUGAACUCAGGUAGUUCAAAAUGUGAAGAUGUUCCCGCAGAGAUAGCGUGUAUGCUGCUUGACGGUUCUCCCUCGGUUUGAAUCUCCUUUGACAAGGACGGCUGCCACAUGGCAUCCUCUGAUAAGCUCUGGUUCAACCUGGGUCUUCAUUUAUCUUCUCCAGCGGGCUAGAACGGUGGGUUCUGUUGGCCUGGAAUCUUGCUGGACUUAUCCAGUUAGUUGGGACUUGGAUUUGACCAAGGUUGAAAGCAAAGACUUGAGCUAGACUCCUCGGACCGGAGGUCCAAUCUGCAUUGCAUACACCCUGGCUAGGUCCUAUGGAUUUCUAUGAUAAGCCUUUGGAUGAGCCUUCGUCCCUGAUGGACUUCAAUGGGCCGGACUUGGCUCACUUGAUUGAGGCGAGGCUGGUCGAUGUAUGGGAGCCCACGGUUUAACUUCUUAUACAGUAACCGGGGCUUCACCCACUAGUCGUGGACCAUCCGGUGGAUCAAGAUCCAUAGAGCAUAUGUGGGCUUCUUGAGACCGGGUUGGGCCUUACCCGAUAGUCCAGGUCUGGCUGGCUACUGCUCAGGUGCUCCCAGUUUGGCUUCUUAUACAGCCACCGAUGAGACCUAUCGGGUAUUUUACUUAGGGUACACACAGUACUUCUGGACCCUUUGUGGCUAGAAUUGUUGUGAUGAGGACCACCACUUUUGUGGUAUCGGCCACUUCUGGGGCCUUUACCUCUUUUGGGCCCAUUCCACUUUUUUUUACCACGAUAUGAUGAUGCAUGUGCUUCAUGCACAGGUGCGGAGCUAGGUGGCCCUUUGUUAGCAUUGCUCAUCAGGAGCUGCUUACUUUGCUCGGCAUGAGUAAGAACUUCAUUUAACUCCGAGUACUUCUUAAGUCGGCAUUGCCGAUACUGUUCAUGUAGGACCAUAUUUAUAGGAUGAAAUGUAGAAGUGUUUUAUCUAUCAUUUCUUCCUCAGUAACAGGAUGACCACAUAACUUCAGGGUGGACACGAUUUUCAACAACUUCGAGUUGUAUUCAGAAACAGUCUUGAAAUCUUGAAACCUCAAGUGUGAACACUCAUGUCGAGCCCUUGGGAGGGAAAUGGUCCUAUGGUGGUCAUACCUUUCUUUGAAAUUCUGUCAAAGAAUCUGCGGGCCUUUGACAGUGAGGUAUUCAGUUUUCAAUUCCUCAUGGAUAUGAUGGCGAAGGAAAAUUAGUGCUUUAGCACGGUCCUGCUAGGACAAUUGAUUUCCUUCGUUUAUAGAGUCUUCCAGACUCAUUGAAGCGAGAUGUAAUUCAAUAUCAAGCACCCAAGAUAUAUAAUUUUCACCAGUAAUAUCCAGAGCAGUAAAUUCUAACUUAAUAAUGUUAGACAUGAUUAUAAUAUGAAAAUCAACAAACUUACCCAAAUACUUACACUGGUAGCACCUUGUUGUAUUAACACUUUGUUAAUAUAUGCUUCUUGAUUUUGUAGUUGUUGAACAAGAGAGCAAAAUCGUGCUGAUAACGUCGCAGAAAUCAUAGAUUCAAAACAACUUCAAGUUCUUGAAUAACAUAUAUAUGUAUAACCGAUAGGUAGCAAGCAAGUAGGGACAUAAUGAUAUAUGAGAGAGAGAGAGUUCUUCUUAUUUCUUCGUACAGAUACAAGAAUAUAUAUCCGCACCUAUAGGAUUAAUCACAAGUCUUAACAGUUUGUUUGCUAUACUGGAGCCACAUCAAAUUCAUUCUUUGUGACUAAUCCAAAGUAUUAUUAACUCCACUUCUAACCACAUUAAGAUAAGCAUGGAAUGAUGGGCUUGGGCUUGGGCUUGGAUUUGGACAUCCACACAACUAUUUACAACAGGAAUGAAUUUAGGGUCAUGUCUAGCUAUCUGCCCCUUAAGUUAAAUUUGACAAAAAUAUAUCAAUAUUUCCCUAAGAAAGUCCCCAAAAGAAGACUCCAUUUGCUAGUCUCAAGGCAAUAGAAGACACCAUUGUUCUUGUUGUUGAAUGACAAAGGUAAGUAAAUCUUUUUCCGCAUUUGUUUAUUUACGUUAUAUACCAACAAACAGCACGUAAUCAAGGAUUUUCGUGGCAAUUAUAUUGUCAAUUUCUUUUCUUUCUAUGGAGAAGGUUCUAACAUUGUAAUUCUAGAUGGAAUCAUGCUCUGUCAAGUUUUAAGCCAUCAUAACAUUGUCAUCUACACUAAUUCUUUGUUAGCCACCAAAUGGUUCUCCAAAUACCUCCACGUUGGCACCUGGUUGUUUUGGUGGAAUAGAAUUUGGGAUCUUGCCACAUCUCUCAAUAUUUAAGUUCAUCACACUUUUAGAGAGGGAAACAAGACUGCUGACUUCAUAGCAAGUAUGGGAAUGAAGUACAAAGCAGAUGGGGUUGCACAUAUCUCCUUUCGCUAAGAAUUUAAACAAAUUCUUUAUGGAGACAAGAUGCAGAUUCCUAAUCUAAGAUAUCAUUCCUAGCUGCCACUCCACAAGGAAGUCUCCUUUCCCUUUCAUCUUACAUUACUAACAUUCAUCUUUUACUACACUGUUUAUACAUGCAUCAGUCAUAUCUAUAUCUUACAUGCACCAUGCACCCUAAUGAUUUACAUUUUCCUUCUUACUAGAUGAUAGAUGAUAAUAAAUAAUAGAUUUUUAGAUAAAAAAAUAGAUCUCUUUUGUCCUUCUAGACAUGUUCCAUAGACUAAUUCUAGCAUACUUAAUUGUUAAACCCAUUAACUCUCUUGCAUGUUUGUCUAGUCCUCCUCUGUAUUUGAGUCAGUGGGCUCAUAUUUCGGCUCUUCCUCCUGCCAAUCAUCUUCAGAUGCUGUAGUCUUCCUCAGAGUCUGGCCCCUUCAUAUCCAGCUUCAUCUCAUCAUUUCCACAUGUUAAAGCAGUAGAGGAAGAGUCAGAAAAGUCGUUCAUCUCAUCAUCUGCCUCUUCCUCUUUCUCCUCUUCCUCCUCUUCAGUUCCAUCACCAUCUGUGAACAGGGAAGUAAAAAUGUUUUCAACACGUUAUCCCCUGUGUUUACAGAAUUGAAGUUUGAAGGAUUUUUUUUUUCUUUUGAUUGCAUAUUACGGUUAUGAUACUCACCAGACACUUCCAGUGGCGGAUCUAGGAGUUUGAUCUAGGGGUAUCAACUAUUAUAUAGAAGGACGACAAAUUUUUUUUUCCACAUGUAAUAUAUAUUAAUGACGCACAAAAAUUGUGACGUCUUCGUUCAACUAAGAUAAUGCAUAACAUAAAUAAUAUAAAAUACACCCAUAGUUAUAGGUAAAUUUGAUAAUUAAUGACUUACAAGAUUAUUUGCAGAUAACGUCUUCGUUCACUUAAGUAUCUUAGUCACAAAUUCACUCUAACCUGUAUAUACAAUGAACUUCUAAUCAAAAUCAGCUCAUUAUUCAAAACAAAUAGACUACUGGAUAUAUAAAAGCCACCAAUGUACAUGAGUAAAUUUACACACAGAAAUAAACAAACAAAAAAAAAGUUGUAUCAUACCAUGAAUUCAUGCUACUUUCACAAUUGUCCUCUUCGAGUUGCCAUCUUUUGGAAGCGUUGCAUAAUGGUUUCAUCAUCAAUAGUCUCACAAAUGUCUUUCUCGAUAUAUGUAACCAAAAUAUCAUUCAUCCAAUCGUCGGCCAUUCGGUUUCGCAACUUAUUCUUGAUGAUAUUCAUAGCUGAAAAUGCUCUCUCAACACCAGCAGUGGCAACUGGUAGAAUUAAUGCCAAUGUCAUAAGCAUGUAAACCAAUGGAUACACAGUAUUCUUUUUUGUCUCAACCAUUUUUUUUUGCAAGAUCACCAAUACCCCUCAAUUCUGAAAAUGCAUUGCUAAAACGAACAUCAAGGAUAUAAGUCUCAAGUUGAUUCGAAAGUAGCAUAAGUGAUUUGGAAGAAAAAUCUCGAAGAUAAAAUUGAGCAAGUCGAAUCAAUUUUUCCUUGUCAAAAGCAACAAACAAAUCUCGUGGACUUAGGCACGCCAUGCAAAGUAGUAAUUUUGUGUUUACCUCAUUAAAACGAUUUUCCAGCUCUUGAUUUUGUAAGUCUAUACAUCCGAUGAAUAAUUGAACCCGAUAGUAAUGUUGGUUUGUAAGGACUUCAACUCUGCGCCUCGAUCUCCCUCGUUUUAUAAAUGGAUCAUCCAUGUUGGGAAUAAUGAUAUCGUUCUUUACACAAAAAGAAGACACUUCUGCAAAGAAAGAAUCCCAUCCAUCAUUUCUCAUUGCAUUCAAUCGUUGCUUGGCUACUUUCACUAAGGUUAUGGCAUUGACGAUUUCUUGAUCUUCUCUUUGUAAUGCUUUUGACAACUCACUUGUGAUUCCCAAUAUGUCUUUCAUCAAAUGUAAAUUGAAUAUAAAUUCAAAAGAUUGCAUUUGAUCUAAAAGAGCACAUGCUUCACCUCUUUGCUCUGAAGUUAGAGCAUUUUCCAUUACUACCUCAAGCACAUCAAUCACAGAGGAAUGCAUAAGAAUGAAACUAACUAAUGUCCCAUAAUGGGAUCCCCAACGAGUAUCGCCAGAUCGUUUGAGAGCAGUUUCUUGGUUCAACCCCUGUCCACUUAGAAUAUCACCACUUUGGAUUUUCUGAAUAACUUUGGAUGUGUGUUUCUCUCGAAGUAAAUCUCGACGCUUACAUGAAACUCUAACUAUAUUCAAUGCAUUAGAAGUCAAAUUAAAUAACAAUGCAAUCCGUGGAUGAUUUUUUGCAACACCAACAAGGGCUAAUUGAAGUUGGUGUGCAAAACAAUGCACAUAAUAAGCAGAUUCAUUCUCAUUCAUAAUAAGAGUUUUUAAACCACCAAACUGACCUCUCAUAUUGCUUGCUCCAUCAUAGCCUUGACCACGCAAUCUUCCAAUGCUCAACCCAUGUUUCGAAAAUAAUUCUUCAAGUGCUGCCUUGAGUGAUAAAGCAGUUGUUUCUCUGACAUGUACAAUGCCCAAAAACCGUUCAAUUACACAUCCUUUAUCAUCCAUGAAACGUAUAACAACAACCAUUUGCUCCUUAACUGAUAUAUCUCGCGACUCAUCAAUUAAAACAGAAAAGAAUGCAUCUCCAAGCUCUUUGAGGAUAACAUUCGUAGUCUCAACUGCAAAUGAGUUAACAAUGUCUUUUUGAACGACAUGUGCAGUCAACUUAUUAUUCUCAAGAGCAUUCUGAAGAACAACAUCCUUAAUGUCUUUGUUUAAAAAAGCAGAAAAUUCCAACAACUCAAGAAAAUUUCCUCGAUUGUUAGAGUUUGUAGUUUCAUUAUGACCACGGAAAGCUAACCCUUGUUUUAAAAGAAAGCGAACACAAUCAACAGAUGCUUUAAAACGAACACGAUACUCGCUUCGAGCUUGGGAAGACUGCCUCUGUAAAACUGUUUCAAUAUGUUGGCUUUGAUUUAACAAAUCUUGUCCCUUUCUAUACGCUUGGUUGUGAGCACUAAUAGGUCCUCCAACAUGAUCUCGAAGACCUUGUUUCUUUUUCCAAUUUUUGAAUCCAGUUGCCAUAAAAGCAUCACCACCCCCCUUGACUUCGAUUUCGACUCUCUGGCUUAAAAAGAUAACAAUACAAACAAAACGCUGCAUCCUUUUCUAUACUAUAUUCAAUCCAUGUGAACUCUUUAUACCAAUCAAUCACAAAUUUUCGAUUUUCGUCUUCGUUGCCUUUUGUUUGAGGGAAUUCAAUAUCAGGUUGAUAUGGUCCAUUCAAUAAGUAAGCUCUCCGAACAUUGUCCCGAAUAUUAGAAGGAUAUUCAGAAUUUUUUUUUCGCAAUCCAGGAUCCGUGGGGAGAUUUGACAAAUCAAUGUCUAGUUCUACAUAAUUUUGAUUAGGCUUUCGCCUUAGUUGUAGUUGUUCACUCUCUUCGACAUUAUCAUGAAUUCGCUUUGAAGAUUGGUCUCGAUGACGAUCACUCUUUUGUCUUUGUGUAGAUUAACAUGAAGGUGGGUUUGAAUUGAUUACUGAUUUUUUUUGAAAGUACCUUUCCAUAACUGUAAUUCUGAUUGACUGAUUCACCAAAUAUUUAUUUGUUAGUUUCAUAACAUGAAAUUGCCGCAAACUCGCAAAGACUCGACGAACCAAAACUAAAUUGAUUAAUAAUAGUGUAGUGUGAUUUAAUAAUUAAUACUUAUAAUCCUACCAAGAUCACAACUUUGUAGCAUAAUCCUACCAUUUUACCAAGAUCACAACUUUGUAGCAAAUUGAUUAAAAGAAAUAAGUCUAAGAAAGUAAUUUAAAGACUAAAAGAGUUAAAAAAAAAACCCAAAUUUUUAUACAAAAUUGUGAAUAAUGAGAAAGAAAGAGAAGAUUGAAGAACCUGAUUGAUUGAGGGUGUGAAACUGUGAAAUUGUGAAUUGCAUAAAAUCGUGUUCUUAUCCAAAAUUUUGGAGUUAGAGAGAUGAACUGUGAUUGUGAGAGAGAUCAGAGAUGAAGUCUCGAAGAGAGAGUGAGUCAGUGAGAGACGAUGAGGAAACCCUUGUGGCUUGUUUUCAUAAUUUCAUCUUCUCUGUGUAUUAGUGUAUAUUAAGAAAGUAAUAGUUUCUUAGUUAGAAAGUAAAUCUAUAUUGGGAUUUCGGAAAAGGGACAAAAAGGUGGACCAAAACUUAAUAAACAAAAUUGAGGGGAGUCAACCAACGUAUCUACCAUAAAAAAAAUCCUGAAAUCUCUCCACUAAAUUUUUUUUUCCAAAUUUUCAGGGGUAUCAAUGGAUACCCCAGGACCCCCCUUAGAUCCGCCACUGGACACUUCAACAUCACCAUCAAACAAGGGAGCAUCUGGAUCAUGAUUCUCAUCUCCUCCAUCCUGCAAUCGAGGGAUUACUGGAUCUUCAGCCAUGGGAACAUCAUUGCUCUCUAAACUUUCAACAUGCUCUUCUUUAGGCUCCACAUUUGGAAUGACAAUAGAAGAUGAUCUAGCUCCAUCCUCUACUUUGAUUUCUUUUUUCACACCACAUACUGGAAUUAGUUUCUCCACCUAGGGAUGUUAACGGGUUGGUUCAGGGCCGGGUACUCCUAUCUCUAUCCCCAUUUAGUUUUUUAGUCCCCAUCCCUGUCUGUUUCCCCACUUGAAACUAUUCGGGGAACCCUGUUCCCUCCUCCAAUGGGGAUCAGUUAUCCUGGGGGCUCCAUUUUAGUUUUAAGUAAUAAAAAAUAUCACAAUAAUAAUGACCAUUCAUAAAUUUAAAUUGUCAUAAUAAUAUCUCGAAUUACAAAUUCAACUUAAAAACUUCAACUAAAUUUAACCCAAACAAAAUACAAGCUUAAAGUCUUGAACACACUUCAUUAAAUUUAUAGUAAGCCCAUAAAUUAUUGUGUAAAUUAGCUAAUUUUUAAAUCAAGUAUAUAAUUGGGUCGGGUCUGGGUUUGGAGACCAUAAUAUCCGUCCCCGCUCCAAAACCUACUCGGGUUUCAAAAUGAUCUCCAACCCCACCCGGUUCUCAUAUAUACCCACUCCAUAUCCGCCCCAUUCGGGUCGGUUCUUGUAGCGACCCUACCUAUAUAACCACCGAUAUUGUCCCCACUUAGCCACUGCGGUCGUCCGAUAGUGUGGGGUUUUAUAGGCAACAACCUGCUUCCCAGGAGGUCACCCAUCCUGAGACUACUCCCACCCGAGCACGCUUAACUCCGAAGUUCUUUCGAACUCUGGAGCCAAGUGAGCCCAAAAGGCCUCGGUGAUAAGUAUAUGACGGAUCUAUACCUAUAUUCCAAUGUCAGGACAUCCCCCUCUUAGGUGUCAUAGAACCCACCUCCUCGGCAAACCACUUGUCGACCCAGGGUGUUACAAUCCCACCACCUUAGAGGAGAGCCGUCCUCGACUCUAGAAUAUAUAUCCCCAGAUCUCCGAUGUUCCCUGCCCCUCGCGAGACGAGUACCCAUCGCAACCGUCACCCCUUCCUGGACUAGGCGCCUUUCCAGCAUACUCUCCUACCCUCGACAAGUGAACCAUCGUUGGCUCUGAAACCAUUUGUAGCAACCCGACUUAUAUUUCACCAAUACUGUCCCCACUUAGCUAUUGCGGUCGUCCGACAGUGUGGGGUUUUAUGGGUAGCAACCUGCUUCCCAGGAGGCCACCCAUCCUGAGACUACUCCCACCCGAGCACGCUUAACUCCGGAGUUCUUUCGAACUCUGGAAUCAAGUGAGCCCAAAAGGCCUCGGUGAUAAUAUAUGACGGAUCUAUACAUAUAUUCCAAUGUCAGGACAUCCCCCUCUUAAGUGUCGUAGGACCCACCCCCUCGGCAAACCACCUGCCGACCCGGGGUGUUACAGUUCUCCGUGGGGAUCCGCCUCCAUGGUUUUUUUUUACAUCCCUAUCUCCACGCCCUUACAAGCCUUACAUGCAAAACACUUACCCUUGCUCUUCUGAAUUAGCUCAACUACCUUCUCCCAAUGCUCCUUGCAUAAGGUCUCUCCCACAGAUGUAAUCAUGAUCUCUGGGGUUUUCUCCUCCUCUUCCUACUCAAUCUUCACACUCUUCGUCUUCUCUAAGGUUCGGGCCGCCAUGGUUAUUUCCUCCUCUCUCAAGCUUUUUUAAAGUAAUGAACCAAGCUCUGUACUCGAAGAAAUCAUUAUGGCUCUGAUGGAUUGUGUUGCUUUUUUGCUUCGCGCUACAACUUCCAUAACCACUUUUAAACAACAAAGUCAAUCUUUCUCGAUUUUUGACGCUCUGUAUUCCUUCAGCACCUGGGCUCUUCUGUUCACUGAUGCUAUGUUUUCUUUUCAGCCCAAUGAGCCUUUGUACCAGGGUCCAUGCCAAACCCCCUCAAAAAAAAUUAAAAAAAAAAAUCAAAGUUGGGCCAAUUUCUAAUCUCCACCAAUAAAAUUUCUAAUCACCAUGUUUAACACCAUAUUUUUUCUUAAUCGCCACCAAUAAAAUUUCUAAUCACCACCAAAGACAAAAAAAAAAAAAAAAAAAAUAAUAGAUAUAAAACAAAAAUAAAUAAAUUCCUAAUCGCAAUACUAUAUGUAAUUUUAUGUUCAAAACUCGCAAGACAUUUAAAGCGUAAAAAACUAUAACUCGUAUAACACUGUGUGAUUCUUUACUUGGGCAAUACACAAAUUUAUUGGAAAAAUAUGCUCAAAAUGUCAUACGUGUUUUUUCAAAUUUGUCUUACAUGUUUGUACGAUUUCUCUUAUAAAAUGCACAUAAUAUUAUGCGAUUCUUAACUUUAUUCACACAAAAUUUACUGGAAAGUACACUCAAAAUGUUAUACGAGUUAUUUCAAAUUUGUUCCACAAGUUUGUGCGAGUUCCCUCACAAAAUGCUCACAACAUCGUGCGAUUAUGGUGGUGAAUAGUAAUUUGUUUGGUGGAGUUUUUGGAUGUUUUGAUGGUGGUGACUAGGAAAAAACAUGGUGUUAAAGCAGUAGUAGUUUGAAAGAGGUGAAAGGCCCAAUUUGAGAUCCAACCGGGCAACCACUAUAAAAUCAAGGCCCUCAUCAUGUAAAUGGGCGGAGUUGAAAGUCUAAGAAACAUAAAAAAGUCCAAUUUCAAGCCAAAACCAAACAUGCCUGAGCACACAAUUACACAUUUACACCACAACAUCCUGUAGUGAGUUGAUCUGAGAUGGAGAUCGAUGGAGAUGGAGAAGGUGUAAUAGAAGUGAUGGAGAAGUCUAUUUUUAAAAGAGGUAAUUUUUUUUUUUUUUUUUUUUUUUUAUAUUAUGAGCUAAUUAGUGAUACCCCCAGAAUUCAAGGCAACAGAUACCCCCCUCCAAAAAGAUUUGUGUCACACACCCCCUACCCCCCCCAAAAAAAAAAAAUUAUUUUUCGAUGAAAAAAUAGACUUGAACUGCCAUAAAUAUCCUUAUGACUCAGUCAACGCAGUUNNNNNNNNNNNNNNNNNNNNNNNNNNNNNNNNNNNNNNNNNNNNNNNNNNNNNNNNNNNNNNNNNNNNNNNNNNNNNNNNNNNNNNNNNNNNNNNNNNNNCCCAACCCGUAAUUAACCUGCUGCUAUGGGAUUCUGGGGUUAUCGCUAAUUAGCUCUUAUAUUAUUGUUGUUCACUUGUUUGAGAUAUAUUACUGUAGGUAUUAUCAAAUUUGUUUGAUGGAGCAUAGUUACUAAUAUAUAUGUGGGGCUUGUAUACUAUACAUAUCGACCCUCACUUUGAACUGAGAAUAGAUGAUUUAGGGGGCAAGGGUGAGACAAUCACCUCGAAAUUUUGCAGCCAUAGCUUAAAUAGGUUAAACACACUUUUGGGGCAUGAAGGAAACAUCUUCACUGCUAUUUAGGGUAGCAACACUAAGUUGGUUCAUGCAGUAGAACCAAAACUCCAAUCCUUGGACGUCGAAUAUUACACUGGGAUUGUCGAAGCACUAUUGCUUUAAUCCGGUUCAUCGCGUGGUGCUAUAUCAUUAGGUAAAAAGAAUGGUCCCAAGCCCCAAGGAACAAGAAAGCAACAAGAAAUAGAGAUAACAAGGGCCUUAUAUGACUGAUUGAUUAUAUUCCAAAAGUUGUAAGUUUUAUGAUUCAAGAAGACAUCCUAAGCUCAUACAUAUAAGUAUAUAACAAGGCCAACUAGCAUUUCCACAUAUAUACUUGUCACCUAGUUUACAAAGUUCAAAUCAUUGAUGGUAUCAUGGGGAGUCCAUGAUAAGGAUCGAAAGCAGUUUUACUUUUUAUUCUGGUAGCCUUGUAUGGACAAAGAAUAUUUGUAAUCUUGCAUCUCUUUCUGAGAUUCCAAUUGGCAUUUUGGCAAGGAAUCAUAACUGUGUGGUAGAGAAUCUAUGUCAAAGUUAUUGGCCAAAAAAAUUGAAUGUAAUUUGAUUUGGAAUUUGGUGAACUUGAUUUAUAUCUAUCACAACCAUAAUGAUUAAUGAAGUUGUAUGGGCACUAAGAUCUACAUGUGUACCAUCUGAGAUUCCAAUAGAGCCACAUUUUUCCUGUCUCUACCGCAAAGUCUGCAACACCAGUCCUCCUCAAUGUUAAAAAGAUUCACCCUAUGAUUGUUAUCCUUUAUGAACCUUUUUUUGUCAUGCAGUCUCACUAAUCUGACCAUCUGUUAAGGCUUUUCAGUUGAUGGAUAUGUUGUCAAUUGUAUUACCUUUGCAAGUCUUGUUUUCUAGUAUAUUUUCCUUGUUAGCUCAAGUUUUAACCUUCUUGAUCAGAAUUUGUUGUUGUAUGACAAAACUUCACAAUUUAGACACAAAUGGUUUUCCUCCAUGGAAAUUCUGCCUAUAGCUAGCCUCCAUUAUCUAAAAAAAAAAAAAAAUGAAAGAGAAUACAAUGUACUCUUGCAAAAGAGUUGUUGUGGUCUGAUGGCAGGGAUGGUUGAAAGAAGACUAGGCCCUUCCUCCCUCAAGAAAUGUUUUAGGCCUAAUUCCAAGAAGUCUUUCGUAUAAUGUGUAGUUAAUGCAACCUUCCUCCAAAUCAUUAAUCGCUAUUGUCCAUUUCAGUGAUUUUGAUUAUGCUGCCAACGAUAGGUGCUUUCCACCAGAAAACAACACAGGCACAAACAAAAUUAGGCAUCCGCGUGUUUCUUAUCUGUAUGUUCAUUUCAACAUGCAGGCAGUACAACAAUGAUAGCCAAAAACUAUUCAGCCCCAACUAAAUUCAUAAUUUAAUUAUUUAUGUCACUAGAGACAAUGGAUCCUAUACACUAAUUAUUGUAGGCAAAGAAAUUCCAUAACUCAAAAAACUUACUCGACUUCAAAAUGUACCUCAAGUCCUUCUCAAUUCCCUUAAAACCGAAACUCAUACUAGAUGAGACUCUUAUUGUAUUGUACAGGUAUACAUACAAUACAUAGAAAAUUGCUUAAGAUUAUUACUAAGUGAAAUCAUAUAUUUCACAUUAUUAUUACUUACAUUACAGAGCAGGCAUUUGGAUUUUCAUCACUAAAAAUUUGGGGAGCAUAAGCAUAUUCAACAUAGUACUUUGGAGGCCAAUACUCGCUUUUCUUGAUCUCAGUUUUGUUCUCAUCAUCUCCUUCUUUCUUUUCUCCUUCCGCUGCUGCCUCUUCCUUCUUAACCUCUUCUUUCUUUUCUUCUUCCUUCUUUUCUUCUUCCUUCUUUUCUUCUUCUUGUGGUACUAUGUAUGCUUGCUUCCCUGUUUUCUUGUACACACUCUCAACAAGCUUUUCUGGGUCUAGGACACCUUUUACGGUUACUUGAUGAUUAGCUAAAUUGGUCUCUACUGAUUCUACACCUGCAAAACAUGAGGGCUAUUAACUACUACGCUUAAGGUAGCACAACCAAACAACAUAAUUAGGGAGUAAUUGACAUUUACCAUCAAUUUUACGAAUCCGCUUUUGUAUAACUUGAGCACAGGCUUCACAGUGCAUGCUUAUCAGUAAUACCACGGUGAUAACAGGAGGUGGCUGCCAUGAAACAUAAAAAACCAGUGCGAUGUUAAGGCUACUAGGCUAGUCUCUAAUUAUGCCUAUAACAGUGAACUAAGAUAUCGAUCUGCAUAUCCAAAAAUCAAUUUUACUAUGGUAUCCCCAUAAAAAUGUGGUCACAGUUUUUUCAGCCUUGGUAUGAUCGACAACACAAAUAGUAAAACAUCGCCUCCGUACCAUGGGCAGGGCCGGAGACUGGUUAAGUUUGCAUCCAUACUUUUGUUAAAUAUAAUUUGACACCAGAGUAAGUCGGAUUUAAUGCCCAGUCGACAGACAGUUGCGACAGACUAGUUGACAGGUCAGGAUAGUUGGUGUGCAGAUGUGAACACAUCAGCUCACCCGGUUGAAAUCUCUAGGAUGCUUUAAGAUGUGGUGCUUAUUGAAGUUGUGACCUCCUAUAUAGGGAAGGAUUUAUGAUACCAACCACUCUGCCGCAUGGUUGUGGUACCAUGGUGCAGUAUAUGGUUCAGUCAUUUUCAUUUAUAUGCAAUGACGAGUCGCACUUUAAGAGGUGAAUUGGACUUGUACUUGAGCAAACUCACAUGAAUAUAAAGUUAAUCAAGGUUUUACUCAUGGUUUACUGUGAUUAACUUGUAAGUUAUCAGUUAAGCUAUAGGGAUUAAUACAAGAUAUACUGUAUUACCUCAUCUUUCUUCUCUUCCUUCUUUUCUGCUACCUGUUCUUCCUUUUUCUCCUCUGGAGGUUUGGGCAAAGGUGAAAUUAUCUCAACUUUUCUUCCACUUUUUUUCUGUAUCCUUUCACAUACCUUUAUUGGAUCUGCUGUCUUUCCUUUCACAACCACCAUGUGAGCUUUGUAAUCAGUCUUUACAUCCUCCACACCUUUAAAAUAAUUAACACCAGUUUUAUAUAUAAUGAUGAUGAUAAAAAGCAACUUUAAAUCAUAUAUUGUAAUCAAAUACUAAAAAAUUUUAAAUUGACCUUCAAAACGUCGUAGGGACCUCUCGACUUUCCUUGCACAAGCUUCACAAUGCAUGUAAACUUUCAGCACAAUCUCUUCAGGUACUUCUUCUUUUUUUUCUUCUUCCUUCUUCUCUUCGGACGGAGGACUUUCUUCUUUCUUCUCUUCCUCUACCUUCUUCUCCUCUUCUUUUGUUUCCUUCAUAAUAAAAACAAAGAUGUUACUAGAGAAAGAAAAUCUUACAUAAAUAACUUAUGGACACAAUCAUUUAGUUCCUAGCUUUCAUAUACAACUACAAAGCCGUGCGUACCAACUACCAUGCGCUUAAUGACAAAUCGAUAUUGAUAGAAGAACAAUUUGCUAAGAAAUCACUUACUUCUCCCAUCUUCUUCUAUUAAGAGUGCAAAGAGAAGUUGUGUACACUUCUUCAAUCUACUAAUAUAAAACUUGUUGCACAAAAGAGACCACAGAAUAGAGCUUAUCUUGUUUCCUCUUUAAAUUUUCAGUGAGCUCUCAUUUUCUCUCUUUCACUCAUCAGUGAGAAAAGAAGCAUUCAAGUAAUGCUGAGUUUCUGCAAAGCUGACGUGGAAAUGAAAUGGCAGACUAGACUUCCGUGAUUAAAAUGACUCAGCAUAUCAUCAAAUGCCCAUCAUUCCAUUCCAAAUUACUUAAAUGUUCUACACUUCUGUAAAGACAACUACAGUACUAUUAGUCCCUUUUACAAGAAAAGGACAAUAUGUCAUGUAAUUGCUUUGACAUUAUACAUUAGAUCAAGUCGAUGUAGCCCAAAGUUGGUUGUAUACAUUGUUACUGGAAAACCCAGUUUUCCAGUCUACUAGCCCUUUCCCACUUGAAACAGAUUUUUUUUUUUGGAGGGAAACGUGUUUUCCAAUUUUUUUUUUUUUUUUUGAGAAGGCCAGUUGCAUAAUUAUGAAAUAUAUAUACUUAUUAUUAGUCGAUUAUCUAAAAAGCUAUAUAUAUAUAUAUAUAUAUAUAGUAGCCGAUUCAUGUUACAUUUUCCAUAUCGGUGCAUCACCUUAUAUUCCCAUGUGUUUUUCCUUUCUUGAAUUGGAAAAUGUUGCAUUCAUCGGUUGCCAUUUUCCACAUGUAUAUGUACAUCGUUUCUUACGCGCUUCACUUUUGGCAAAUAUGGAUAGCGAAAAAUCUAUGGAUGCCAAAUCGCCCAGCGCAUGAAUAUAAAAAAAAAAAAUCACAGUUCUAGAAAUAGUCAAAGACAUGUUGGAAACAUUACAAGAUGCUAUGCAUCAUAUGGCUACAUCAGGGGCCUACAGCUUGAAAUAAUUCAUAAGUAAUAUCUAUAUAAUUACAGUUCAUUUUUUCCCCUGUAAUUAGGAUUAGCAUAGUUGAGAGAGUCAGAGAGAUCUGUAUAUAACCAUCCAUAUUGACUUUAGGGUUUGUGUAAUAUUAUUUAAACUAUGAUUGUGAUUUUGUUGUCGUCGCAACUCGAAAGUGUUAGAUUCCAAAGCAUAUUGAAGAUGAUAUUUUUGUGGCCAUUAAAAUUUUAUUUUUUGAUAGCUAUAUAUGUGAAUAAUGUGAUACAUCAUUCUCCUAAACACUAAAAAGUGUCUACUUUCAAAAAUGCUUGCAAAAUGUUAAAAUUUAGAAAAUAUAAUUUUCACAAAAUAAUUAUAUUGUUAGUUUGUGAUUGACCAUAAAAACUACAGGAAAAUCACUAUUAAUUUAUAUGUUUGGUGAGACUUCAUUAGGGUUGAGCCCUCAAAGUUCUCCAUAUUUGAGUUUUAUAGAGAAGGGCAAUAAAACAUAUAUAUGGGAAAUUAUCUUCUUUUUGUAAAGAUAUGGGAACUGUUUUUCAAACUCCUUUCCAUGUAAUCAAAUAGACCCAAUAGUCAUUUUCAUCUGUAAUGUAUUUAGGAAGGUUUAAUUUGUACAUACAUAAUUUUUCUUGAGAAGAAGAAAUUAGGUUUUGGCAGACAAACUUAUAGAGAGGGAAAAGCAGAUAAUACAUUUAACUUGCAGAUCAUUUGCAGUACACAUAUAGUACUUUCAACUUUCAAGUUAAAGUUAAAGCACAUAUAGCAGGCCGGGUGGAAUUAAGAAUCUCUUUCCAUACAUCAACACCAUAAAAUUUCAAUAAACUUAUGGAAAAAAAUGAUGUAUGUUAGUUGUCUUCUUGUAAUCUUGUUGCGUAGACGGUCCCAUGGCUAUCUUCUCAUCGUCCCCAUCUCCAAAGGUUGAUACUUUGAUAGAAUCAUAAACACUAUUUGGCUCUGAAAAAUAAAAAAAAAUCUUGCCUUAUCAUUGGGGCUGCCCUCACAUAUGUAACUUCCAAGCAUGAAUGGCCAGAUUCAAGAAUCUGAAUUGGUCGACAGUAUAUGUAACCUAUAUGUGAAUUUUGGAGCUGAUUGAUCGAGACGAGCGCAAACAUUUAUUAAUUGCCAUGCAUAUUGGCUUAGACCAUAUAGCUUAGUGCCACUAAAUUCAUUACAGUAGUAAAAACUUCAAUCACGCAAGCAAAAUUUAAUUUAGAGGUUGAAGUGAGCAUUUUUCUUGGUGAGAACUGAGAAGUGAACAUAAUGAGGUGGAAAGGAGUAGUGGAUAUGGCCCAAAAUUUGAUUCCAUACGUGGUGAUAUAAAAGUGAGAUCCCAACUUCAACAUAUGGUCGGUUUACUCUAUCAGGAUCUAUGACAACGAAAAUAAGGUGGGGCAUUCAUUUUGAAUAAAGAUGAACCAUCCAAUUGAUGACAUGUGUUAAGAUCAUACAUCAUCUUCUCAUCUCUAAUUUUUGUGUUGUUUCUUUUUGGAAAAGAGAAUUUAAAAUUUAUCUAUCUAUCUAUCUAAAAGGUGAUGGAGUACGUUUUCUGUCUCCAAGUAAGCAAGUUGACUGAAAUUUUUAGAUGUUGUCAUAUAUAUCUCUUUGGUAAGUCUGGUUGGAUAUAUACCUAACUAGAAGUAUAAAGGUUUAGGGUUUUUUUUUUUGGUUGGCCUUGUAUCGACUGCGCGCCAAUCUGCCAUGAUCGAUAUAUUUGAGAAGUAGAUACGUGCAUUAUCUUCUUUCAACAUCAGUUCCAUUUUCGCUUAGUUCCUAGAUACAAGAAUCAUUCAUCACCAUCAGUUAUUGUUCCCAGUUCCCACCUGGUAGUAGCCGCGAGCUGAACCAAGUGCUAGCUCCCGGCUUAACCAUGGCAUGCACAUAUGAUUAUAGAAUAAUUUGCAGCUAGAUUGCUAGGGAGGAGAUGGGUAACCUAGGGUAGGAAAUCGGUCGGUAAGGGGUAAUACUAUAUCCGAAUUCAUAUUUAAUUCGGGUGUGAUUUCAAAAUAAAACCCUCCAAAAUUCAGGUAUUCGGAUUUUAUUUGGGGUUUAACCAUUUUUAUGAUAUUUAAAAAAAAAAAAAUAACAUAAAUAUACUAUUUUAAAACAUAAAUUCGGGUUACUUGGAUUAUUGGAUUUUAUCCAUUUUAUAAUUCGGUUACAUAUUAAAAACCAAACCCUCCAAAUUUGGAGUCGUUAGUCUCGGUUUUCGGGUAAUCCAAUUUAAACCCCCAGCCAGGGAAAGAAUUGAGACAUUAUGCUUGUAAAGUUAUAUACUAUAGUAUUUUACAACAGAAAAAUGACCUGAUUAAAUUAGUGAUGUAAACUCACAGAGUUGAUCAGUUGUUGUUUAGUCGAAGGUUUCUGCAAUCUGAAUUUUAACUCAUUAAGCACAUUUAUUUGAACUUCUUCAUUAACAAGAAGAAGCCCAAUCCAACCUACUAUGUUGGGCUUGUUCUCCUACCCAAUCCAAUCUAGUCCAAGAGAAAAUAAAUGGGCCGAUCAUUUAUAGGCCCAUCAAAUGAGGAGAAAACAAUUUUGGGCUAAAGCUGCAAAUGAUUGUAAAACUGAUAGCAUAUAAGGAGAAAUCUCCUGCCUAAUUUGUACAUAGAGGUGGUAAAACUUUCCUGCCCACUGUCCCUCUCCUCAUUUGUUGACAGUGUCGUUGUGUCCUAUUUUAUCCACUGUAAAAUGUUUUCCACAGAUGAAAACUCCCACAACAAUCAAACUGACACACCCUUAAUAUCAAAACCCAAGACUGCGAUCAGGAAAUUCAGCAGUUAGCAAGUGAUUAGAACUUAGCAGGAAUUGAAAUGUACAACUUCAUGUGCAAGUCUCUUUCCAAGCACUUAUUGAUAAAUGUUCAACAUCACCGACCAACAUAGUGUAUAUGUGGUUGCAAGUCUACACUUAAAAGAUUUGAUGCAGAUACUAUUUAUGCCGACAUUGCAUUUGAGCCAUUUUUCACAAAAAUAAGGAUGUUCAAUACAUUUAUGGUACCACCACAGUUCUGCGACAGCAACGUCGUUUAUAUGCAUUACAGAUUGUUUUAUUUCUGAUAUCUCGUUAGCACCACUCAGUCUCAGUAACAUUUAUGCACAUCUACAACAUAUAUGAACCAGGAACGCCCAACAGAAGAACGUGCGCGCAACCACAAUAGACACCCUGUACUUGAGUCUGGAGAUAAGACCAUUCAUGAAACAGAGCAGAAAAUUCAGGUAUUAUUUAAGCACACUUUAAACUGAUACGUUUUUGGUAGGUAGGUGACUAGCUAGCUAGGUGUAAACAUGAUCAAAAUUUGUUGCAUUAAACUUUAAAUUCACGUAAACUGAUCGGAUAGAGUAGACGAGUAGUAGUCUGUUGGUGGUUCGAAAUCUUAAAAACGUGAAAAUUGAACCAGUAGGGACCAAUAUUAAUGGUUGUAGCUAGUUGAGGUACUUAACCAGAUCAACUUGCCUACUCUGUUCUUUCCCUUUCAUACAAAAACCAGAUAAAUUUUUCCUAAAAAUGUUUUUGAGAAAAGGGACCUCAGCACCUAGCAUCUUUUCAUUCCCAAAUCCAACUAAAGUAGUCCCAACUUUUGUUUCAAUGUGUCGACUCCACGUCUUGAUCCGUUAUUCAGGAUUAUUAUUAGUUGAGCGAACAAUUAAUAUUAAUAAUAAACAAGCUAGAUCAUGUGUACAAAUUAACAAUAAUAGAAUUCUAAAAUUUUGUUCAUUUGUUGUGAAAUAACUAUAUGGUUAUCAUUCCCCUUGAAAUAUAAAUCAUCCAAAUGCACGAAAAAUAGAAUUCAAUUCAAUCAAAAACAUUAUUGUGUAAACAGUCUGAGGAAGAAGUGCAACAAAGAUUCAAUAAAACUAAUCUAAUAUUCUAGCUAGCUAGCUAGCCAGCUAGGUACAUACAAUGUUUUUGUUCAAUUGACAAUCUAUCGAAGACGUCACUAAUCUCUAUAACCAUAUUAUUUAUCUUAUAAACUUUUUUUUUUUUUUUUUGAAAAAUUAGAAACUAAACUCUAUACCCUCACCCAAUAAUAAUAUUUUCCGAGAAAAUAAAAUUAAUCGUGUUACAUAAUGCUGCAUGUAGAUGGAUUUUCUUCAGUAAAGUACUCGCCCGGUGUUGCACAACGCCUAUAACCCCCACAACCACAACUGCAUGGUGGUGGUCCUCCGUAAUAGCAAUCAUAAACUGGUGGUUGUGGCGGUACAUAAACUGGUGGUUGUGGCGGUACAUAACAUGGUGGUGGUACAUGACAUGGUGGUGGUGCUGGAACAUGAUAUGGUGGAGAAACUGGUCUUGCUGGCAUUCCAUAGCCCUCAUAGCACGGUGCCCCGCCAUAACCUUCAUGCCAAGGUGGAUAACCUGGUACAAAAUAUGGAACUAGAAUCUUCACAGGUGGUUCUGGUUCUGGAUCCUUCUUCGGUGGUUCUGGUGUUGGUUCAGGAGCUUGAGCUGGUGGGUCAGGUUGCUUCUCUGGUUCAGGUGGAGGCUUCUCUGGUUCAGAGGUAGGUUUUUUGGGUUCUGGAGCAGGCGGGUCAGAUGGAGGCUUCUCUGGUUCUGGUUCCUUUUUCUUCACAAUUUCAAUACUUUUGAUGGCCUUACCAGCUUUGCACCGUAAUUUUUUCGCAAAGUUGCAAGGGUCAAACCAUCCAGUAACAAUCACAAUAUUGUUCUUCAUAUCAAAUGUCUUGCUUUGUAUUUCUCUUGUUCUCAAAAUUAAACAACAAAAUACAUAUACCUCUAAGUUUCAUUCCAUUGAAAAAAAUCAAAACAAAAUCAAACAUAUCGAUAUAAGAAACUUACGACAAUGAUAUUUGCAAAGAAUUUGUCUAAUCUUGUUGUAACAUUUUUCGCAACCAAGAUCAACCUUGAUCACUAUAGCUGAAAUCUGUAAUCAAAAUCAAUACAACCAAAAUUAAAUCUCAAUAUAAUUCAUCAAAGUAAAAAAAAAAAAAAAAAAAAAAAAAAAGAUUUCUAUGUAAGAUGAACAAAAAAUGUUUACUUACUUUCUCUGCCAUAGCUUGUUCACCAAAUCCAAGAGAAUGAAAGAUUAGAAGAAGAGAAAGAACAACAGAGGAAGAGAUGAAGAAAAUGAUGUACUAUAUAGUGUUGUGUCAUGGUGUGUAACAAAAGUUGGAAAGAAGUAUACUCUAAGCCAACAAGAUAGUUACACGUGUCCAACACUGAAAUAUACGUGAUGGUUACGAUGUCACAUUAUGAGUUGUGAGUUGUGACAUUAAAAUUACACGUCUUUUCGUCGCAUCUAGUGUCCCAACCCAACUAAUCUUUUUUCUUACCAUCUAGUCAAAAUUACUACUCUAUACAACAUAGUCCUUAUACUUAUUAAUCGAGUGCGAAUUUGUUCCCCACUUUGUAAGAGUGCGGAACAAUACUCUCCCCAGAUCUUGCCACGUGGCUAUAUUAAAAAAUAAAUUUUUUGUUUUUUGUUUUUUUUUUAAAAAAAUAUUAAGUAAAAUUAAUUAAAAAACUAAAAUACUAAGAUGGUGCUGUUAAAAAAAAAAAAAAAAAAAAAAGUUAGUAGUACGUGACAAAAUCCAGUGGAAACUUAACACGUGUCCUGUAUCAAAAGUAGUUUAUUUAAUUUUCGUUAUUAUUAAUGUAAGCUUGCCGACCAUGUCUAAUUUAAAUUUAAGUUGACUUCUCACAUGGUCUUUUCAUCAGAUGGAAGGGAGAAUGUGUUCAAUUGUCUGUUUUAACAGCCAACAUCGAUAGUGGUACUGUAGGACUAAUGCCGCGUUUAUUUUAAUUUCCCAUAACUAGCAUUUUUCAUGCUGUCGUAUAAAUAGUUUAAUACAAUGAAACCUACGUAAAUGCACGUCUUCAAGACCAAGAAAUUAAAAUGUCCGUUCAUUGUUGUAGGAGGGUGUAGGUGAUUAAAUUUUAAAUUGAUCUAUCUAAUUCUGGUAGUGAUUUGAUGCAAAAUGGUUAGUUGUGAAGUCACUUUUUUUUAGUGUCAUGUACAUAGUGCUUUUUACUAGAAUAAAGUUCCAUCAAAAUUUGUUUGGUUAGCAAAAUGUUUGGUUGAUGGUACUGCACUACUGCUGAUAUGAUAUAGACACAAUUAGAAGAUUACGUUAAGUUAAUUACAUAGGGGAUAAGUGACUUUUUGGGUGGAAUAGUGGAUAUUUUUACAUAAAAGGAGAAAGAAAGGGAAAGAAUCAAAGUUAUGUGUAAAAGAUGAAUAGUUGGAUUAAAGCAAAAAGUUUAAAAGUCAUAAUCAGAAUUUAAAUUGUGAAAAUGACUAAUUGAAGUGUUUUUGUGAAACGGUACGAACACAAGGAUAAUGCACACACUGAGAGCAUAUUCAAAGCAAUAAAGAUCUGAAUUUUUUGAUAUUUUUCUUUUUGCAAAUUGAAGUGUAAAAGUGGCCAUUCAAAAGCAUUGUCUAUCUUUGGUCAAUUGAAAAGCAAAUCCAUAACUUUACACUCAAAAAUAAAAGAAAUAAUAUCCACAACAAAUUUUUGCGGUUUGGAAUUUAGGAUGUUUAUCCCUGCAAGGAAAUACAUUAGGUAGUGAGAACAUGGCUGAAAGCUUGCCUGAAACACAUAUUAAUUAUGUGAAGGCUCAGGUUUGGUGAUAUGUUGGCCUAUUUUUUACAAUUUAAUCUCAUGAAUAGGACGCAAAAUUAGUGCAAUGGUGAUCAAUAUUCAAUACUCAUCAUCUAGGCCAUUCUUAUUGUAUCUCUCCCCAUAAAAGUAAUAUAGAACGUGAAACGGUGGGGUCCGAUUUUAGGUUGUAAGGGAGAAAGAUAUGUGGAAGGAGAAAGAGAGAGGAGGAGGAAGAAAAGGGUUGAAGGAGAGAGAGAGAGAGUUGGGGGAGAGAAGAAGAUGAGAGAGAAGAAAAAAAAAACAAAGUGGGCGGACAGAUACGAAUUUUGGUUCCACCCGAAGUAUAAUGAACCUCCUAAAGUCGGUCGAUAACAUGAAAUGAAAACAAUAAAAAAAAUAAAUUUUUUUAUAAUGAGUUCAAUAUACAUAAUAGCAGGAAAACAAUUACAUUUGAGUUUCAAAGGUAUCUUUUAGGUUGUGGUAUGUAAGCAACUCUUUGAUGAUGAGUUGGCUCUUAUUCCUUUAUAUAUCUUAAUCUUUAGAAGCCGACUGCACAUCGAGGCAUGUCACUCUGCACCUGCCUGCUUCACUUAUUAAUCAAAAUUACACUCUUGCCCUUCUGCCUAAAUUAUUUUUCUACCCUUCCUUUCCCAUCUCACUCCCUCUGCAAUCCCAAAAAAAACUGCAAACCUCUACCACCUUCUUCCCCAAUUUGAAAGUGAGUUCUCCAACUCCUUAUCAAUAUCAAGGUCAGUUCUCUGGUAUUAACUAUUCAAUUUUUGUCAAAACUACUCCUAAGCAAUUUUAAUUCUUUUCUAACUAAUAAUCUGAUAGUAAAAAUAAUAAGUUUAUCUAAUUCAUUCCUGUUGAUCCAAAUACCAAUUACUUUCAAUCUUCUAUUUUUAGGUCAAUCAAUACGCUAAAUUCAUCGAAUCUAAUACGAAUUAAUUUGAGGUCCUAUUUCUUACUUAACUCAAAUUUUGAAUUAAUUAAAUAAAAACUUCUAACUCCCCUCUCUAUCCCCUCCCCUUUCUUAUAUUUUAAUCUCUUCUACCUCUUCAUGAAUUUGAAGUUUAGUACUAUGUUGUUGUCAUCUCUUCCGCAAAAAAAUUACUUUUUUGGGGCUCUCUGAAUCUGUAAUUAUUUUUUUUUAUUUUAAAAAUAUAUAUAUAUAUCAACCGAGGAUUAUCAUUCAUCAAUUACUUGGUAAUGUUGUUUCUUUUGCUUAUUUCAUUCCAAGACAUUUCAUACUAUUUACGGGAUCAAUUUCUUCCCAGUAUAAAUUUGUAUUCUAAUCUAACUUAGUUUCUUAGGUUCCUUCAACUUAUAGUGUUCCCUCAAUCUUCCGCAACUUUUUGUUCAUUCAUUUCAAAAUUGUAUUCUAUUCCACUAAUGUGAUUAUUCACCUUCUAAAGAUAUUAGUAACAUUUUUGGAAAAAAAAUUGAUUUGUUCAGUCAUAUUGUUGAACCGUCUUUCUUCUGCCAUGUUGACAUUACAAAAAAAAAAAAAAAAACUUGGACUGAAUAUUGACUGACUAUUCUCUUUGCAGCCCAUGGAUGUUAAUUACAGUUGUUCUCGGUCUUCUUCUCAACUGCGCAGAUUAAGCAUGAGUAAUAAACAAUUAAGUCUUCAAAGAGAAUGUGGUCGUUUGCAAUAUAGAGUUAUAGACAACAUCGAAGACCGAAGAAGAGCUCAGAAAUAUAAGAGAACAUCAACGUUUGCAAGCUAAUGCACGUACGUUGACAAAAUAUGAUCGAAGAAGAACGCACAACUGUAAGAUAACGUAGACGAUUACAAGUUUGAACAUGACUAUUCUCUUUGCAGCCCAUGGAUUAAUUACAGUUGUUCUCGGUCUUCUUCUCAACUGCCCAGAUUAAGCAUGAGUAAUAAACAAUGAAGUCUUCAAAGAGAAUGUGGCCGUUUAAUUUGGAAUAUAGAAUUAUAGACAACAUCGAAGACCGAAGAAGAGCUCAGAAAUAUAAGAGAACAUCAAUGUUUGCAAGCUAAUGCACGUACGUUGACAAAAUAUGAACGAAGAAGAACGCACAACUGUAAGAUAACGUAGACGAUUACAAGUUCAAACACGUCGACAAAACAUGUCUGAAGAAGAACGCACAAAUGCAAGAGAACAUCAACGAAUGCAAACUCGCCCCGGUCAACAAAAUACAAUUGCUUAAAUGAAAUUGGAUCCCAUGAACAAGGUUAGUUUUGUUUCUAAUUUUGUCAUAUAUGUAAUGGUAAGAACCUCUAAUUAUAUAAUAACCUUUAACGGUAAGAACAUUAUGGACAGAGUUUUACUAUCAAUGAAUGUUAAUUCUGUAAUAUUUGAAAUGUACAUUAAAUAAAAUGAUUAACUUCAACGCAAGAGGUGGUCACAAAAUUGGAUCGACCUUAAUUAUCUGGAUAUUUUUACAAUUUCGAUUUUUACUUAGUAUUUAAUUUUUGGCAGGAUGUGUCGUCCUACACAAUUGUAAAAGUCCCGAAUUUUAGUUAUAUAUCCUCUUACAAACAAAAUAACUUUCGUGAAAUUUAUGAUUUUCUGGUGAGAGAUACUGUUGAUUAGAUAUUGUUGUGCUGGAUACAUUCCUUGGAAAAAUAUUUGACGACCUACUGAAUUUAAGUCUUGGGGUAUAACAUUUUCCACUUUGAUUAUCAUAGAUAUGUGUUUUACUCAUAGGUGAAAAUAUCGUGCGUGCCGGGCGGAUAUUCGCGAUAUUUUCCGUUUUUCCAGAGAUCGGCACGGUACGACACACAGAAUAUAUUCGGAUAUUAAAACACCCCAUGCCGGUCGGCAUAAAUCGGAUAUUCGCGGCAUAAAUCGGCAAAAACCGAUAUUUAUCGAAAUUUUGGAAAUUUUCAAUUUUAAAAUUAACACAUUUAUUUUUAAUCCCCCCGAAGUAGAAUUUUCGAUGAGAUUAUCAAAAAAAGGUCCAAAAGGCCCUAGACGUUUGGAAACUUUCGCGACGAACUUGAUGGCCCUCCAAGAGCAAUAUAUCAGAAAGAAACGAAAAAAAAGCACGCCCAUGCCAAAGUGAAGUUCUCUCUCACUUUUGGCAAACCAGUAUACUGUUUGUAUCCAAGGUUUGUUUUUGUGUAAUGAAUAAUUGGUAUCCAAGGUCGUACGAGCAAACAAUGUCAUGGGAAUAUUAUUGUACUGAGUUCGUCCCCACACGUAUGCGACUCGAAGCUCAUCGGUUUGACAAGGGGCGUCUAUCAUUCUGGGGUUAGCAUGUCUUUUAUUUUGAUUAUUAAAAUAAAACUAUGGGUUGAGUUGUAAUGAGGUUGUUUGUGUUUAGUUCUUGUAUUGUAAACAUAUAAAAUUUCUAUGAAUAUCCGCCCGAUAUUUACGAUUUUUUCACGUAUGAGUAAAACUAUCUUGUGUAAUACUUCCGUCUUAGCUUCCUUGUAUGAUUUGUCGUGUGUUUAAUUUGUAAUGUAUGUUUUUCUUUUAAUUAUAUGUUUAUAUAUCGAAAAAUUCAAAAAAUCACGGAAAGUGCAGAAAACCUCCCAAUUUGCCGAAUUUUUCGCGAAUAUCCGCGAUAUUUUCCGGUUUUUUGAAUUUGCCAAACCUUUAUAAUCCGACACAUGAGGUCGGAUAUCCGCGGAAUUUUCCGUUUUUUUGAGGAUCGGAUAUCCGCCCUUUACUGAUAUUUUCACCUAUGGUUUUACUCUAUUUAUCCCCAUUUUGUAUUAGAGUUUUUUUCUUUCAUCUGACGUUUUAAUCUUUUGCGUCGCUCAUAGGCUUAUAGCUACUUAAGCUUAAUUCGUUACCUUAAUUAUCUAUAUUUCAUUCUAACAAAACUUUCUUUCAACUACACGCAGUUUGAUGGAGACAGAGCAGUAAAAUAAACUUUGCAGGAGAUCGUUGGAAAAAAGGUCAAAUUUGAAAUAAAGAUCGGAGAUUCCAACCUCGACCAUCCAGAUGCACCGUUUACUGCACCAACUUACUCAGAAGUAGAUGGAACCAUGCAUAAAAAAUCCAAGCAUGUUUUAAUACCUGGCAUUUUCUUAUGUAUAGUUUUCUCAGUGUUCAGUUGACUGAGGUCCAGUUGACUAGAGUCUAGUCGACUGGGCAUUUGUGCACAGACGGGUUAUAGUUUAUGAUGUUUCGGAAACCGACCCAUAAUGUUUAUAUAUAAAACAUGAUAACAAUAGUUAGGGUUUUAUCACAAAAAUUAUCUUGUUUAACUCUAAAGAAGAGGCAUAAGAAGAAGAAGAAGAAGAAGAAGGUUAAUCAUCAUCUAGGGUUUGAUUUGGCUUGCUUGGUUGGAUUGCUUGAUAUUGAAAUUGGAUUAUCUAGAAUUCAGAGUUGAUUCCAUUGCUUGGAUUGAGGCAAGUUAUCUAACUUGCGUUUCCAUCUUGAUUGUAGGUUUAGAUGAAGUUAGUUUGUGUAAUAAUAUGCUAAUAAUAAUAUACAUAAUCUUUUGACAUGAUAAAUAUUAUUGUACGUUGAUGGUUAAUUUAUAAAGAUGAUAUCUUGCUGAAUUGGGAAGAUUAGUAUUGCUGUAAUUUCUACUUUGAAAGCAUGUUAAGUUGAUUAAAAGCAUGAUAAUGAAUUUUAAUUGUAAAUAACAAUGAUAUAUGAUAUGAAAAUAUGUUUAGAGAUGAUUUACAUGCCAAAUUCAAGUUUAGAUAUGUUUAUAUGUUCUGGAGUUCGUGUUUGAAUGAUUAGGGCAUCAUGUUAGUGUGUGUUAUAUGUUACGAUCGAAUUUGCUCUUUUAAAUUAAGACUAGAGUUAACUGGAGCCCAGUCGACUGGAGUCCAGCUGACUGGAGGCCAGUCGACUGAACACUAAACUUACUGGACAUGUUAUAGACCGAGACCCUAAAGCAAUUAUUUAACAUUUAUAUGGAAAAUGGACUUGUAUUCAUUAAUUAAUGAACAUGAUGAAAUGAUGAAUGUUUGUUUGAUGGUUGUGAAAUAUAUAUAUCUGGCGAUAUGAUGUUGAGACUCUUUGUGUAGAGUUUAGUGCAAGUGGCACACGGCUAUAGUGUUAGCCAAUUUAUAUCCAUAGUGUUGGAUGUGGUACGGUGGUACCUAUGGUUGGGGAUGUUGAUCCUUUAAACCUGAUAGUGUCGAUGGACACAUGGUGCAAAUGGCACAUAGUUGGUUGGUCAGCGAUGGUACGGUGGUACCUUUGGCUAGGGACAUGCCUUGUGCAUUCUCUAGGCCUGGAGAGUGUCGAGGACAUUGGUGCAAGUGGCACAUGGCUGUAUGGACAGCAAUAUUGGUGCAAGUGGCACAAGAUUGAUUUGUUUGGUAAUGUGUUGGUUAUAUAUAUAUAUAUAUAUAUAUGUAUGAUGUGUGAUAUGAUACAAGAUUUGAUUUGUUAGAAUGUUAUUUGAUAAACUCUCAGGUGCGUAGCACAAGUUUUGGAUUUAGCAUGAACUAAUCAUGUUGGAUACAGAUAUUAAUUUAUGGUUAUAUAUUGUUCAUCUUAUUGUUAUUGAUUAUAUAUUAUUAUUAUAUAUUGGGUGCGCUGAUUCUACUCCUGCAAUCAAGAUCGAGACCCAAGUUCUAUAGCUUGCUUAGACUUUAUGUCUAACCCUUUUUUCUUUUUCAAGUAACAGAUGUUUUAUUGUUAGAAUGUUCGUUGAGAUGUCUGGUGGAGGUUGUCUUGAGUUGCUCAUAUAUCUAGUUGGAGUUUUGAUGAGUUGUAACCUUCGGGAAUGACUCUGGUUUAUGUUUAUAUUUAUAGAGUUUGUAUUCAGUUUAGUCUUCCGUUUUUAGUUUAUUGUUUGUGUGUUAUUUUAUUAUGUUCUUUUAUGGUCUAGAGGUGUGAUGUCAUGUGACAGUAGUGUGAACCUACGGUCCAUGGAGGACAUAUAGUGAUUAUGACUCUGUUGUCCGGUUUUGGCCUGACCAGCUAGGAUUGGAUUUCAGGGGCGUUACACAUGUCUAAUCUUGACAUCUUUGAAUAAACUUUUUUGGGGUUCAAACUUUGAAAGAACUUUCUUUUUGGGUUUUUGUCGCACAAUGUACAUAUGCUAUUGUCAAUAUAACUACAUAUGGUUGGCUUCACUACUUUUGUUGCACAUACCGUACAUCUGCUACUUUAAAUAUAAAUACAUAUGGUUGUUUGUACAAUUCUCUGUAUUUCUAUUCAGUUUUUAGUUUUCUUUUCUAUCUACUGAAAACACCUGACCUCCCCCAUCAUACCUUAUUGAUCAUGUUUCCUGCAUUCAAUUUUUAUUUAUCAAUAUAUGUUUUCUUGCCCAACACCUUACCAAACAAAAAGCUAAGCAAAACAAGAUUUACAAGGUCCGACUAUCACGUACCAAUUCCAAAUCAUUCCUACCAACAAAUACAUCAACAAUUUCCAAAUUCUUUCCCUAAAUAUUCCAACCGUAUGAAGCACGGACACUUCUGCUAGUAUAAAUAAUUUUUCCAAUGUAUAUACCAUUAUAUUCAAGCUCGCCAACCAAUACUUUAAUCGACCUAACUCGACGUGAGCCUCUUUUUAUUCGAGCUCACUCGACCUCAGCAUUUUCAUAUGUUGUCCGACCUAAAUUGUUUUUAUCUCGAGUUCCCUCGAGAUGAACCUUAUUUCACUCGAGCUCAAUCGACGUGAACCCUAUUUCACUCGAGCUCACUCGACCUUAUUCAAACCACAUACGUUUUGAUUCUCUUCAGUUACAAUAUCUUUUUAGAUUAAAAAUAUCCGCUCAUUAAUUGACCCCACCGUUGUACAAUUAAUGAGCUAUCCGUUGUCCCAAUUCACCUAUAAGUAUGAACUACGUAGGCUUAAUUCUGGGACUUGGUCAACCUCAGAUACGUAGACAACUAUCUCUCUAGAUAGCUCAGCCACUUCCACACUCCAAAUUCUAUCUCCUCCACUCUCCGAUCAUCUUCUCCGACAUCCAAACACUUAACAUUUACACCCAAUAUCAUGAUUUGGAAAUUGUCAGUCAUGCAUGUUAUCAUAUCCUAAGGAAUAAGGUCUCCUACAAACACAUGGACCCUCAACUUGCAGUUUUUCUUAGACGAUACAAGAAAAACAGGGCAUGCGCAGGAACUCGGUCAGGACAAAGUAUUUCUAAAAUAUAUUGUUCAUUUUUUGUGAAUUGAAAAGUAUAUACUUCCUCUUAAUCUGUUCAUUUUAAAUGUACAUUCAUAAUGAAUAUUUCCAAAAAAUAUUAAACCAUGACCAUAUUUUACGUACCUUAAAUGUUCAUAGUAGAUCGAUCUAGGGAACUGAAGGCUUCGGCUUUUAAUAAACUGGGUUCAAGCCGUAAAAGAUACCAACCAUCUUUAAAGGGUAUACUGAGUUGAGUAGGAUGUUUUGCUUGGUUUAUUAUUUGUUUUUCUUUAUUGGAAUAUUGUAAUCAAAGUACUAGUUUCUAUUUUGAUAUAUAUCUUAUUUAGAAGCAACAGUUUAAACUACUGCCCCAAGCCCCCAAGGAUUCCAGUUCUAGGUUGAUUUGGUAUUGUCCUAUAAAAAGACAUGUGUUGUUUGUGAAGGUUAUUCUAGAUUAGUUGUUUUUCUCUCUAUUUGUGUUUAUCUGUUUCUUUAAAAACUUAAUUUUCUUCUUUGACUAAACAAAGAGGACAUGGUUCUUAUCCGCAUGCAGUAAAUAUGAGAGUGAAAAGUCUGCCAUUAAUUGGAUGUGUGAAACUGGGGUAAAACAAAGAUGGAUGCAAAGAAUGGGUCUUCUUCCCAGAAAUAUAUAGAAACAUGAAACACCUACGAAUGGCAGAAGACUUGUAGUAUACAAUGAGGAGUUGCAAUAGAAUAAAAAGUAGACACACUAGGAACAACAACAAAAGGCUGAGGGAGAACUCCAAUGCAAUUGCAGACCGUAAAAGAUCAAGGACAGAGAUAGAGGAUGCUUUCAUCCUCUUCUCGCCAAACUGGUCAGGGCUACUAGAUGUUCUUAUAGAGGUGAUACUGCACAAGCUGACAAGCUAGCAUCUGUGAUCGCAUUCGGUUUGGCAGUGUCUGCACAAUCGUGGCAAAGUGUCUAUAGUCAUAACUGUCCCACUAAUCAUCUUCCUUGCCAACUUCCAAUGCUUAUGAUUCCAAAUUAUGAGAGGCACACACUUAACAUACUCAGCCCUUUUGCUGGGGGAAGAGGAUCAAGAAGAAAUAUGUAUUACUAGGACAUACAGAUACCAAGUUACAACCGAUGUGUUGGUUCCACCGAGGGGUGGCUCAUAAUUGAGGAGAGGAAGGACUUGGCCAAUAUAGUUUGACUACUGAAACCAUGCUUGUCAUCAACAACAAGAUCCUCCUGCCUGUAUACUGGCAUUGCAGUGUGGUUCCUACACUUUUAAAAAUUGUUUUGUCAGCGAACCCAUCAACCUCCUCAGAUUAUGUAGUUAUGGUGGAAUCCCAGAACUUUGGUCUUUUGUAGAUGUGGUGAUAAGGCUUGGACAAUGCUACAGAAAUGCGCAGGCGGAUAUCAUGAUAUAAUAUUCUAUAAAAUCAGUUCUACAGAUGUGAGCGUCUAGGACAUCUCCACCCCUCACCUCGUUUAAGAGAAUGUUAAUUGAAAUCCCAUAUUUUGAUAAUCCGAAAAAAUAUCUCGUUGAAGCAUUGGGAAAUUUGUUUUUGAUUUUUAGGAUGGUUCCCGGACUGAGGAUGCAUUUACCGUUGGCUUUACUGUUUUUAAGAUGGAUCCAGAUUAGUUUGUCUGGAACAAGGUGAAGACCUUGGAUGGCCACACAUUGUUCUUAGGGGGUAUUUCUUCGAUGUCUGUCUUAGCUUCUCAUUUCCCCGGUUACUGUAACUGAAAUUGCAUAUAAUUUGGUUCUAAUUUUAUUUCUACAAUAGUACGUUUUCUGUCUUUUGACACCAUAGUCUUCAACUUGGAGGAUGGAAGCUUUUAACGACCUUUUCCAAACAAUUGCGAGCACAACGUUAUUUGGAUUGAGCCAAAACUGUAGGCCUAUAUGCAUAUAUCGGAACAUGGUUAUUGAUCGAUGAUGCAACGAUUGUGAUCAUAUUGGAACAUAAUCACGGUUGCCUAUUGUAUCGGUGGACAAAUGAGUUGGUUGAUUCCUGCUCCAUUCAGUCAGAAUCUUCAUACUGUCACCGAUAGGGAUGGCAAUGGGUCGGAUCCGGGACGGGUUUCACUAAUCCCAGUCCCAUCCCAUUUAACAAUCUUUAAUCCCAAUCCCACCCAGAACCCAUCCCGGGUUCUAAUAUCAAAUCCCAAACCCACCCAUUACAAAAAUACUUAAUCCCAUCCCAACCCGUCCCAUCCAAUUUAUUUAAAUGGGACGGAUCGGGUCGGGUCUUUUACAAUUCUAUUAAUAUUGUUGAAUUAGUUUUACACUUUCAAAACUAAAUUUAAAUUACUAACCCAACAAAAACCAAUAUAAUGGAAUCAAGAUCAUAACUAAUUAAUCUUGAGGUCUUAUGUAAUUGAAUAAUAAUCUAUUCCGUAGCUUCCAAAACUACUAAUACAACUUCAUAAGAAAAAAAUUAGUAAUUCCUAUAUCCUAUUAGGGUUUAGGUAAUAUAUAUGGGCGGGUUUGGAUUGGGAUGACCUAAUCCCACAUCCCGUCAAUGACCCGACCGGGUUCUAAUUUUGAAUCCCAAACUAAACCCUAAUCCCUAGUCACCGAAUUAAAACAAUGGGCCGGUUAACCCAAGCCCAGACCAUGAUUAAUGUAUCUGCGCCGCUAAAGGAAACCUAUAAAAUCAGAACGCAAUCUGAAACACUUUUUCAUAGAAAUAGAAAUCUCUCUCUCUCUCUCUCUCUCUCUCUCUCUUUCCUCUGCUUCUAGUUUCUAAUUAUAGUAAUUAGGGUUUCGAUUGCAGAAGAUGAAGCCAUUGCGAUUACCACCAGGGUUUCGAUUUAUUCCAUCUGAUUCUGAGUUAAUUUUGCAAUAUCUUAAGAAGAAAAUCAAUGGAGAAGCUUUACCUAUAUUGAAUUUGAUUAAAGAUCGUGACUUGUAUGGUAAUGAAUCACCUUCUCAGAUUUUUCAAACUUGUUCUUCAUGUUUUGAUUCUUCUGUUUUUGAUAAUUGGUUAUACUUCUUCACUAAGAUUAAGAAGAAGUCUAUUAAUAAUCCUUCUACUAAAAGAAUUGAUCGAAUUGCUGGUAAUGGAACUUGGAAACUUCAAAAGACUUAUGAUGUUUUUGAUGAAAAGAACAAGUCUUUACUUAUUGGAUAUAGAUCUGCUUUCAACUUUGUUGCCAAGUCGAAAUUAGAAACCAACAACAAUGAGGAAGAGCAACAUAGUUGGAUUAUGCAUGAGUUUACUAUGAAAGGUUCAAUUUGGGCUCUUUGUAAACUUAGAAAGGGAAAUUUACUCAGAGAGUCUAAAUAUAAUGAUGAUGUGAUACCUUCUACUGCUUUAAAGAGGAAAAGGGUUGUACUAGAGGUUGAUGAUGAUGAUGAUGAUGAUAAGAAGAAGAAGAGGCGCACCUGUUGUAGAGGAUCAUCAUCGAAAUCGAAUACCACAAUGUGUGAUGAUGAUAAGACGAAGAAGAAGAGGCGCACCUGUUAUAGAGGAUCAUCAUCGAAAUCGAAUACCACAAUGUGUGAUGAAGGAUUAGUAGUGGUACAGCAGCAACCACAAUGUGUUAUUGAUCAACAACAAAAAGUAGUAGUCAAUCAAUGCGUCACUGCAUCAAUUUCUUCAUCCUAUCCAUGGCAUUCGGAGAGUGAAUUCUUUCAACCUGAUCACCAACAAGGGGAUGCCUGUGACAACAGUUUUGAUUAUUAUAGGUACUGUAAUCCUAGUGGAGAUGACUGCAAUAUGGCAUCAACAUCAUAUCCAUUGAGUCCACUAACGACACUCCAUGAUCUGCCUAGUUUUUAUGAAGCCAACUCUCAGCAGCCUCAUCAGGUAUGCGCAGACAUUAAUUUAACAACUUCUUCAUGCUUGAACGAAUGUGGAAUCACAUCGAUGGGGGCACCAACACUAACAGGGGUAUCAAUACCUGAUGUGGAUAAUUUUCUUUAUGAAGAUAACUCUCAGCAACCUCAUCAGGUGUGCACAGACAAUAAUGUAACAUCAUAUUCAUUGAGUCCACAAAGGACUGUUGAUGAUCUGCCUUCUUCUUAUGAAGAUAACUCCCGGCGACCCGAUCAUAUAUGCGCAGACAGUAUGGUAACAACUACUUCAUGCUUGACCGAAUGUGGAACCACAUCGACAUCAUGUGUAUCAAAUGGAGCACCAACACAAACACUAACAGGGGUACCGAUACCUGAUAUGGAUUCAAUUCUUGCUUCUCUGAUGGACAAUCAGUUUGCCUACAAUACUGUCGAUGAAGAAAAGGUAUGGGGUCCUAACGAUUGGAAAGAGUUAGAACUUAUGUUGUUAAGUGGAAUUGAAAGCUUCUGAUUAUUUACCUUAAGCUACAAUUAUUUAAUUUGUUUAUUGCUAAUAAUACAAUUAAUGUAAUGAUUAUUGUUCUUACUUAUUAUAUCUGGUGUUCAUGAUUCUUAUCAUUGUUGUUUGUACUUUGUUUCGUUUGGGUUAAUGCUUGGUUCUUACCAUUCUGCUAAAGCUUUUUUGAAACACAUGUUAGGCUGGUAAACUACACAGAGGCAUUCCUUUGUGGAAUGGAAUCACAUCGAUAGGGGCACCAACACUAAAAGCGGUAUCAAUACCUGAUGUGGAUUAUUCUCUUUAUAAAGAUAACUCUCAGCAACCUCAUCAGGUGUGUGCAGACAAUAAUGUAGUAUACUUCAAUUAAUCUCAAUCACUACAUAACAAGUCUCUUAUUCUUCAUCUGUUUGCAUAAAUUAGCCAGACCAAUAAACAAUGUUGCAUAAAAACAAUCAAACCAAUUUAAUGGUAGCAAUACAUUGCUUCUAAUCAGCCCUUAGACUCAUUCAUCUUGGACUGUUAACUUAACUUGGUUUCUUCAAUUAACUUGGACUGCAGAUUCACACAAACUUAACAUGGUUUCUUCAAUUGCUUGGACGGGUAAUUUGGUUUCUUCUAUUGCUCGUGAUUGUUCUAAUACUCUUAUUCUGUUUCACACUUUGAUAAAUGCUUAAUUAAAGUGUUUACUGAUAUACCUGUUCUCUUAUGCAUUUGUUAAGUACCAUGUUCUUUUCAUAAUUUUUCUGUUAUUGUUAACAUCUUCUUGAUUUUGUUUUCUAUAAUCAUUCUUUCUGUUAUCCAAACUGUUAAUGCUGUCCUUUCAUACAUGUGCCUCCAUUAUUUUGGGUCCCGAACAUCUUCAUUGAAUCAUAAUGGUGCCCAUCAUAUUGAACAAUUGGAGAACGAACUGGCUGAAAUGAGAAGGACAAGACAAGAAUGAGAACAUGAAAUGCAACGUGAAAUUGUCGAAAUGAGAAGGCAAACACAAGAAAAGGAAGAGCAGGGACAGCAAAACUUUGAUCCUUCAAUUGAGUUUUUUGUUUUAGUACAAUAGGUAUUGGCUUUGCCAAACUUUGUUCAUUCAAUCGAGUUUCGUACACUAUUAUUAUUAUUUCUUUUCAGAGGAUUGCAUAAAGCUGAGACUUGUUGAUGUGGGACUUGGAGGAGGAAAAGUAUAGCUGGUACCAAGUUAUGCACACUUUUGGAACUUGUAGGAAUUAGGUGCAAAGCAUUUUGAUAUGUUUUUACUUUAUAGUUGGUAUUUUAUUUUAUUGUAUCUGAAAAAUAUGUGAUUGUUCGAAUUUAUGAAUAAUUUUGUUAAAUGGAAGUAUAUUACGGUGUAACUACUUUGUAUAAUUGUAUUACUUUUUAAGUGCCAAUUACAGGCUGUAUUGUAACAAUGAUUUAAGGAAGGAAGAAAUUUUUUUGCCAUCGCCAUAAACUAAAAUCUGCCCAUAGGCAGAUCUGCAGAAAGAAAAGAAAAAAAAUAAAAUAAAAUUAAAAUCUAAAGUAACUUUUGGCCACGGCCAAUACCUGUAGCAAAAAGCUGAAAAUUUAAAUUCAAAACGCUAAAAAUAUAAAUUUAAUUAAACUUUUGGCCAGCAAUGCAGCAGCAACAAGUUAAAAAUUUUAAUUCAAAUUUAACUUGUUGCCACUUCUAGAGCAAAAAGUAAAUACUCAGAAUAAAAAAUUUAAAUAUAAAUUAAGUUUUGGCCGCACUGCCACGAGUGCAGCUAAAUGUUUUUCCGUGGCAAGAAAUUUAUAGUCAAGUAUUUUUUAACCUUUGGCCACAGCCUAUGACCGCGGCUAAAAGUCAUUAUUUUAGUAUAACAUCAUAUUCAUUGAGUCCACAAAGGACUGUUGAUGAUCUGCCUUCUUCUUAUUAAGAUAACUCUCGGCGACCGAUCAUAUAUGCGCAGACAGUAUGGUAACAAAUUCUUCAUGCUUGAACGAAUGUGGAACCACAUCGACAUCAUGUGUAUCAAAUGGAGUACCAACACAAACACUAACAAGGGUAACAUGUUUCUGACACUAUAAAUUCCACGCACCAAUCAGAUGAAACAGACUGUUACAGUAACAUAAGUAGAAAUUCCUAUUAAUAUAUACUUUAAAAAAGGUAUAGAGAAAUCACAUCUGUUGAUAAAAGCAUGGUAGAACCAAUUUAUCCAAAACCAUUUCAGGGAAACAAUAAUGUUCAGGGAAAUUGGUCUGACCAUAUUGAUGAACUUCUUAGACUAUUUACCUGCCAAAAGAAAUUGGUCUGAACAUGUUGAUGAACUUCUUAGACAUUACAGUUUGAACUAUGUGAUCAUGUAAACUCAAAGCACUUCAAUUUAUUUGCUGACAUAAAACGCUCUACAAAUGUAGACAAAUCAUAAGACCUAGCAUUUUCAUCACAAAUGAUAUUCUUCAGUUUGUAACUUGGGCCAAAAUACGGCCCAAUGCUUUGUUCUGCAAUUUUCAUUUCAUUUCUUUGCAAAAUUCAAACUUCUCUCGCUCUCUUCAAUUCCUUCUUCUUCUUCUUCUUCUUGGUAUACAAGCUUUCUUACUCUUUCUCUCUCUUCUUUCAAUUUCUUGAUAGGGUUUUGCCUAAUUUCCAUUACAAUGAACACAAACAAGAUGAUGAAACCAUUCCGAUUACCACCAGGGUUUCGAUUCACACCUUCAGAUUCUGAUUUGUUGUAUUACCUUAAGAAGAAAAUCAAUGGAGAAGCUUUACCCAUAUUGAAUUUGAUUAAAGAUCGUAACUUGUAUGGUAAUGAAACCCCUUCUCAGAUUUUUCAAACUUGUUCUUCUUCAACAACUUCAUCUAAUUCAUCUGCUACUGCUUCUGAUGAUAAUCAUCACUACUGGUUAUACUUGUUUACCAAAAUCAAGAAGAAGUUUAAUACUACUGAUUGUAAAAUGAUUGAUCGGAUUGUUGGUAAUGGAACAUGGAAGAUCAGUAGGAAAUACAAGAUUCAUGAUGAAAAUAACAAGUCUUUACUUAUUGGCUACAGAACUGUUCUCAAUUUCAUCGUCAAGAAUGAGAAGCUUCCCCAUAGUUGGAUUAUGCAUGAGUAUACAUUGAAGGGUAAUAGUGCACUUGAUAAAGAUUCAAUUUGGGCUGUUUGUAAGCUUAGAAAGAGAAAACUACUCAAAGAUUCUGACGAUAAUCCUCCUCGUCGUUCUUUAAAGAGGGUAAGACCAGUGGCAGAGGAUGAUGAGUGUUAUGUUCCAGAGAAGAAGCAUACCAGCUGUUACAGUGGUUCAUCAUCUGCAUUCAAGAACACGUAUGAUGAAGGAUUAGUAGUGCAAGUGCAACAACAAUGUGUUAUUGAUGAUCAAGAAAAUCUUGAUGAUUGGUUGUGCAUUCCAACUGAGGAUGAAAGUGAGACUCUGUCAAUUUCAUCAUCCUAUCCAUUGAAUUCGGAAAAUGGCGACUACUUUCAAUCGCAGCCCCAAUCUGAUCAACAACAACAUACUAGUGCUAACAAUUUUGAGGAGUAUUGGUUCUGUAACCCUAGUGGAGAUGACUGCAAUGCAGCAUCGGCAUCAUAUCCAUUGAGUCCACUAAUGACACUCGAUGAUCUGCCAUCUUUUUACGAAUAUAACUCUCAGCAGCCUCAUCAGGUAGGCGCAGACAGCAAUGCAACAAUAACUUCAUGCUGGAACCAAUGCAGAAUCACAUCAACUGCAUCAAAUGGGGCAUCAACACCAACAGGGGUAUUGAUAUCUUGAUGUGGUAUCUAAUGAUGAUCAGCCUCAACCUGGUCAUGGUACUUACCUUCACUUUCCAUCCUUCAGCACAAUGUGUUCUUGUUGGUCCAAAAGAUCACUCUAGUACUACUACAGAAAUUAUUGUAACAAGCUUCAUUCAAGCUCGCGCAACUUACUUCUAUUGCCCCAAGCUUAAUAAUUGGAAGAAAGUAUUGAUGCCUGAGAUUUUUGAAUAUUUCCAUUCAAAUUGUGUUGUGGCUGUGGAACAAGUUUUGUUUAUCGCUGCUGAUCACAAUUUAUAUGCUUAUGAUCUUGUGAAUGGUCCAGAAUCCAGAUACUACAGGCAAAGUAGGUAGUACUCGUGCAAACUAUAAAUGUCCCCUCAUUCAUCCUAUGGCUAAUCUGAUAAAGGGUUUGGAGGAGGUCUACCCCUUGUGCAAUGAUUACCAACGAUUCUUAUUUCAUCUUGGUAAUAUGGAUUUCUGCUUGGUUUGGGCUGCCGUGAAUCACGAUAAUGGUUCUGUACGCACCAUUCAUUGCUUAAGGUUUUGUGCUGACAGAGAUCAGUGGCUUGCAUCUAUCCUUGGCCAUCAUCGUUAUUACGUUGCAAUGCAGUAUAAACAUGGUCGUGCCACUAUUGAACAUUGCGUCCAAGUCAUGUAUGUAGAUUCUUGAUUAGCUUUCUGUUAACUUUGCCCAUACCUGUCUAUCUUCGAUUUUCAUAUUCUGGUGUUGCAGAUGCCGUUGUUUAAUGAUAGUAUCUACUCUUUCAUCAAUGUUUGUGUUUGUCCACGCUCUGUAGUGUGCCUGAGUACUUUAAAGAAUUAGAACUUCUAUGUUGUUAGGUAAAAUUGCAUAAAGCUUCUGAUUUACCUUGGGCUAUAUGUCCCUCAUCAUGGAAUUUGUAUAAUGUUACUACAGUUCAGUUACUAUUUUUUGGUGUUCAUGAUUCUUGUCAUUUUAUAAGCUUUUCUACUACAAGGCAAUUGCAUAUUUGUGUGUUUGAUCCGAUGGCACCUAUCUAUGCGAAAGAGGAAAUGAUACUAUAUGGCUAUACCAGUAUACUAGACACCAUUCCUGUGUUGGGAGGAUGGAGGUUUUGAUUCUGAAUUGUCAUGCAUUUUUUCCGCUCAAACCUUUAAUGAACCAAAUGGUAUUCCUCUGCUUCAAGUAUGCCUCUUAUACUCAUUCUAAUUUCAGCCUAAGUGGAUUUCCCUCACAAAAUCAGAUUUAGACUAGCGGGGGGUCUUUUGGAGUGGGGGAAUGGGGAUAAUGUCUUAGCAAGAGUUUUCCUAGGUGCUUUUACAAGGGUAAUUAGCGUCAACAAUGUUCUCUGUAAUGUAGCCAUAUUUUCUCAACAGUACAGCUCUAUAAACGCUAACUGAGGGGAAGGGUCAAGUAGCAAAUCCAAAGUUGAUAAACUAAUAUCGACGUAAAUUAGCUAGCUGCUAGAGUGUUAGAUUAAUAUAGUAGAAUGAUAGAAAAAGAGAUAAGCUAUUGUCCAUCCAAAACGGUUGAGUUGAUCAGAAAGGCCAUUGUGUAUCCAUAAUUCCAUAUUGCACCUUCCCUAAAUUGAUCAGCUACAUUUGGAAUAGAUACAGUCAUGAACUCGUUAACUCGUAUACUUCACGUGCUUUUUUCUUUUUGUUUGAAAGAUUGUAGUCUGGAGAACAGGAAAAAAAAAAUGCUCAAGUAAUAGUCUAGAAUACCAGAAAUGCCUGGCUACGUGGACUGACAGCAUACCUCUUUUUCUUCCUAGUCAGGAGAAUUCACAAAAUUUGGUUCCAGUUGCAUUAAACUGGUUAGACAGUAUUGAAGGGGAGUGUUCAAAUGAGGGUUAGGGGCACAGAAAUGCCAACCUAGCUGAAAUUGCUUGCAUCUAAACUGAUGCAAUCCCUUCACUACUCUAUCCUCUGUAUUAUGUUGCUACAUUUUUUCCUAAACAUCAUAAGCUCAACUCUCGCAUCAAUUCUCAAAAUGUACAGGAAUUUACAGAUACAAAUGUUAUCAUUACCAUACAGAAAAGGCAGGUUUUGCAAUAGAAUCAAUAAAUCAACCAAUUCUAUUCAAGUAAGCAAACUUUGCUGAUGAACUCAACUACAUUGAGCAAAAAGCAAUUUAGACUUUGCUUUCUACCAUGUUGGAAACCCAACUGGUAAUCAGAAACAAAGAAUCAAGAGUUCUCUAAAAAGUAAAACAAUAUGUUUUGUAUAUAAUAUACACCUCAUAUACAUCACACACAAAAAUUUGUACGAGUAAAAGGAAAUGCAGCCUUGUGAAACUCAAAGUCAGCAUGCAACUAAUAUUUCCUACAGGAGAGCUUGGUAAGGAUGCUUUCCUCGCAAGUCAACGUCUGGAUCACUAGCUUUCCUGCGGGCAUCUGCAAACAAACAAGGAAUGUGUAAGUUUACAACAGCCCCUGGUAUUGAUUGCAGAAAAAUAUAUACUGUACUUGUUACUUAAAGCCUUAAACCAACUGUUUUAAGGUCACCACUUGCUUUACUUCAUGUUGCAAUGCGGAGGGGAAAUUUGCAAAGAUCUGUAACUAGGCAAGCCUACAUGAUGAGUCAAAUUAGAAAAUGUCUUGUACAUGGUCUAUCAAGACAAGAUCCAGUUCAAUGAAAAUGAUUGAUAUAUGCUGUCAAAAACUAAGGCCAAAUAAAUUUCCGAAGUGACUAAUGAAUUGCAUUAUAGGUUCAAGUAUUACAUUUCUAGAUUAUACAGAAUUGCGACUCAUAUAGUGGUAAGCCUGUAACCGACUGCCUAGAAUACAACACUCAAAAUAAGUCGGAAUAAAAUGAUCAUAUAACUCACUUGAUGACCAAUAAAAUGAGUUGCAUCUGUUCCAGAUCUUCCAGGUAUAGAACCAAGCUUCAAAAUUUUGUGCAAAGAACUAACUGAAGUUGAGUUUCAAUAGUGUCUUUUAGUCUUGUGGUGUGUAUGUAACAUUUUGCUAACCUAGAUGAGCUUAGCCAGUUUCCAGAAAAACCAAUUAACACUAACAUACUAGGGGAAGGGUGUCUGCUCAAGGACCUGUUAUGGAUCGACCCUGGCUCCAGAGAAAUGUUCUUUUCGUCCUGUAAUCUAGAGUGGAAGAGGAAAUAGGCAAAGGUGCAUGGUUUGUGGAUUGCUCGCAUGCUAGACCUCCGCUUAUACCUACCUAGUACCUAUAUGCCAUUUUUGUUCCAGUUAUCAUUAAUUGAAGUUGUUAAUUGGUGUGAUUAUAUUGGUUGUAGUAAUGAGCAUAAUGAUCCCAGCCUAGUUUUGCAGAUAAAUUGAUGUCGCGCCCUUGACGCUAAUUCGCUAUAGACAUUACAGUUUCAGCUAUCUGAUCAUGUAAACUCAAAGCACAUUGAUCAUUGAUGUAUUUGCUCACAUAACACUUUCAAGCCCAUAACAUUACUGUUGGUUUAAGAAUGACAAUUUAAAGUAAAAACAAUGAAACAGAGAACUUUGAAUGACAAUUGAAUACUUUGUAUUGAUAAAACUCAACUCAAUUAACUUUAGGGUCUGUUUGAUUCGAGUCCGGGAAAUAGAUUUUCCGGGAAAUUUCAAUUUCCCAUGUUUGAUUAAAUGGAAAAUAAGCGGUAAAUAUUUAAAACAAAAUGAUAAGUUAAAAUGUUGGGAUAAAUUGAAGCUCAAUUUUGUCAAACUCUCACUACAAACAUAUUUAAAUGUUUUGUCAAAAAAAUUCAUGAUCAAUGUUGCAUUAUAACUAUUUUAUCAAAAUUUUAUUUCCCGAAUAUUUGCACAUGGUAAAUCUAUUUCCCGGUAAACUCUUUUCUCGCUCGAAUCAAACAGACCCUUAUAACAAAUGAUCUGAUUACAACUAUUUAUAGACUAAGAACUCUUAGUGGAUAACCCCACUUCACAGACCAUUAAUCCAUAACUCCACUUCCCUCAACUCUAAACUGUAAACUGAAAAUAAGGAACACAACUCUUGUAGCUAAUACACUACUUAGACUUAGUCAUAGGACUAAUGACAUGGACUCUGACCUGGACAAAUAACUGACUAGGACUGACCUGUAGAAACUAAUCUGACAUGGACGAUGACAAUGCAUCAAUUCUCAACACUCCCCCUUGAUGCAAAAUCUGAAACUCCAAGAGAACAUCUGAAUAUAGGAAAUUUCGGAUAUGAAAGUGCCUUAGUGAAUCCAUCAGCAACUUGUUCAUUUGUUGGACAAUACAUCAGGAUCAUGUCUUUGGAAACGAGAUCUCAAAUGUAGUGAUGAUAGAUCUCAAUGUGUUUUGUCCUGCCAUGAAAAACUGGAUUCUUUGUCAUUGCUAUGGUAGCUUUGUUGUCGCAGUAAAUCACCGUUGCAUCUUCUUGAACAUGCUUCAAGUCUUCCAAAAUUCUCCGCAUCCAAAUAGAUUGACAAGCAGCUGAAGUAACUGCUGCAUAUUCAGCUUCUGAUGACGAGAGUGCAACUGUUGCUUGCUUCUUCGAACUCCAUGAUAUAGCACCCGAACCAAGACUGAAAAUGAAGCCACUAGUGCUCUUCCUGCCAUCUACAAAACCUGCCCAAUCGCUGUCAGUAAACCCAAGCAAACUGAAUUUCUCUCCUGGUUUGUACCAAAUACCGUAAUUGCUUGUUGCCCGAACAUAACGAAGAAUUCUCUUUACAGCUCCAAGAUGAUGAAUAGAAGGAUUAUGCAUAAACCUUGACACCAAACUGAUUGGAAACAUGAUAUCUGGUCACGAGUUUGUUAAGUACAUUAAUCCUCCAACAAUACCGCGAAACAAUGUCUCAUUAGCCUUUGCAGUUCCAUCAUUCAUUGAUAACUUCUCACUUGUGUUCAUAGGAGUGGAUGAGGUCUUACAAUUCAGCAUGUUAUACUUCUUAAGUAAAUCAAGUGCAUACUUUUCUUGACAAAUAAAUAUGCCACAAUCAGAUUGUCGAACUUGAAGACCAAGAAAGUAAUGCAACAAACCCAAGUCAGACAUAUCAAAUUCAUGCAUCAUGCUCUCCUUAAACUCUUUGAUAAGAACACUAGAUGAUCCAGUGUAUAUAAUAUCAUCCACAUAAACACAAACAACCAGAAUUUCCUUACCUUUCACCUUCACAUACAAUGUUGGCUCACUAUUACUCCGCUGAAAAUCUGAUUUCUGAAAAUAAGAGUCAAGGCGGCUGUACCAUGCUCUCGGAGCUUGCUUAAGUCCAUACAAUGCUUUCUUCAAUUUGUAAACUUUUUCCUCCUGUCCGUCCACAACGAAUCCAUGUGGUUGUUCAACAUACACAUCUUCUUCUAAUAACCCAUUAAGAAAAGCGGACUUGACAUCAAAUUGAAAUACUUGCCAUUUCAUUUGAGCAGCAAAAGCCAAAAUAAACUGAACAGUUUCAAACCGAGCAACAGGAGAGUAAGUGUCAAAGAAAUCUAACCCAUAUGGUUGCACAUAACCUUUAGCAACGAGCCUAGCUUUCAAUUUCUGCACACUGCCAUCCGCAUUGUACUUCACCUUGUAGACCCACUUGACGCCAAUUGCUUCUUUUUUCGGGUGGCAAAUCCACUAGCUCCCAUGUCUGAUUUUUUUCAAUGGACUCAAUUUCUGCUUGCAUAGAAGUUUCCCAUUCUUCUUUGCCUUCAGCCUCGGCAUAACUCAUAGGUUCUACAAUCAUAAGAGCAAACGUGCAAGACUCAUAAACAUCUUUCAAAGAUCGAUACCUUAGCAGAGGUGAAUCAGUAUCAAGAGUGGGAUCGGAACUGCUGCUGCCUUCACUACUUGGACUGCGUGGAGAGUUCAUUCUUGGUGAUGAUUGAGGAGAGACAAUAAUUUCCUUCGAAUUUGGAGGUUCGCCUUCACCUUCGACAAAUGGAGCAUGCUGAAUUUUUGAGACAUUCCAGUCCCAAACACUGCCUUCGUCAAAAACAACAUCUCGACGAAUAAUCAAUUUCUUAGUUUCUGGAUUAUACAACCUAUUAGGGCUGGGCAUAGUUCGGUUCGGUUCGGUUCGGUUUUGGUCAAAACUGGCAACCGAACACCUAGUAGGUGUUUUGUAAAAAAAACCGAAACCGAACUGUUUUAUUUUUGAAACCGAACCGAAUUUUUUUUUACUAAAACCGAAACAUAACCGAACAUGUGAUUCGGUUCGGUUAACCGAAUAAAACCGAACCGAACACCUAGUAGAUGGGCUAGACUGUUGGAGUGUUGGACAAAUGGGUUGGACUGCUGGAGAGAUGGGCUGGACUGUAUACAGAAUUACAUGAUGGACUGGACUAUAUACAAAAUUACAUGUUUGGUUCGGUUUUGGGUGUUCGAAUUUUUUUGAAACUGCAACCGAAUAUCCAAAGUAGGUGUUUUACAAAAUUAAAAACUGCAACCGAACAUGUAAACAUGUAAACACCUUAUUUUCGGUUCGGAUCGGUUCGGUUCGGUUCGGUUUGCAUGUUUCGGAUCGGUUUUGCCCAGCCCUACAACCUAUAACCCUUUGUCUCAUUGCUAUACCCAACAAAGAUGCAUUUUUCACUUUUCUUAUCAAGCUUGGUGCGCUCAUUAGAACCGAUCAAGGAAUAAGCAAUGCAUCCAAAAACUUUUAAAUGACUCACAUUGGGUUUUCGCUGCCACCACGCCUCAUAUGGAGUCAUGUUGGGUACCGCCUUAGUUGGAGAGAUAUUUAGAAGGAAAACUGAUGUUGCAACUGCCUCAGCCCAAAAAUCAUUUGGAAGUUGCUUCUCAUUAAGCAUACUUCGAGCCAUUUCGACCACGGUUCUAUUCUUCCUUUCUGCGACCCCAUUUUGUUCAGGUGUUCUUCUCACUGUUAGAUGCCUACGAAUGCCAUGCCUCGUGCAGAAAGAAAUGAAAUCAGCAGAUAAGAACUCUCCUCCUCUGUCUGUUCUAAGAAUUUUGACGACUUCGCCACUUUCUUUCUCUGCAAAAGCUUUAAAUUCCUGAAAUUUCUCAUAUGCUUCAGACUUAUAAGUAAAAAAAUAAACCCAACUCAUGCGAGUACAAUCAUCAAUAAAGAGCAAGAAAUAUCUACUCUUAUUGAAUGAAGGAGUAUUUGUCGGACCACAAAUGUCUGCAUGAAUGAGUUCAAGAGGCUUUUUUGCACGCCAAGAUUUGCCAACAGGAAAUGAUAACCGAUGUUGCUUCCCAUAUACACAACCUUCACAAACAUCAUCAAUACCAGCAAUAAAAGGCAAACCAAACACCCAAUUUUUCUCUCAACAACUUCAGCCCAUUAAAAUGUAAAUGACCAUAACGCAAGUGCCAAAUCUUUGAUUCAUCAUUAAUACUAGCAGCGAAUGCACAAGCAUCAAGACAUGAGAAAACAAUAGGAAACAUUUUGUUUUGAGUCAUACGAAUCUUAAUAGGAGGCACAUCUGAAUUUCGCUUCUUAAUUUCACACAUAUCACCAUCAAACAUAACGGAAAAACCACUUUCAAUCAACUGCCCCACACUAAGCAAGUUAUGAGCUAAACCAGGAAUGUAAUAAACAUCAUGAAUUAUGUUUUUGAUACCUGAUUUAGUCGGAACUACAGCUGUCCCUUUUCCUUCAAUUUGAACUUGCUUAUUAUCUCCAAGUCGAACUUGCAACUUUACUGAUUCGUCAAGACUACGAAAAAUGCUUCUUUCACCUGUCAUAUGGUUACUACAACCACUAUCUAGAAACCAAAUGUCAAUCUUACUUUCUUGAGCCAUAAGACAAGUAAGAAACAAAUUACUUUUUUCCUGUUUUUCAUCACAGAAAUUAGCUUGCGGCUUCUCCUUUUCCCAACAAUUCGUUUCAAUAUGGCCCCACUUCUUACAGAAAUGGAAUUGCUUGCUUUUGUAAUUUUUCUUGUGAUUUUCUCUAUCACCAUAAUCUGAAUUGUGACUACCAAAAUCAGAUCUUCCACGGCCUCUUCCACGACCACGAAAACCACUUCUUCCUCGGCCACGACCUGCAAAUCUAUUAGAGGAAGAACCAUCAAAUUUCUUUUCUUUGUUAGAAAUCUCUACCUUUGACUGGAAAGCUUGCUCAAUAUUCUUCUCCGAUGAUCUGUUUUGCAUCCUUUCUUCAUUAGCAGACAGAGAACCCAUCAAUUCAUUAAGAGAAUAAUCAGACAAAUCCUUAGACUCUUCAAUGGGAGUAACUACAUGAUCAAAUUUAGACGGCAGACUCCUCAAAACCUUCUCUACAACUUUCUGAUCAUCAAUAUUUUCACCAAAACUCUUCAUUUGAUUAACAAUAGUUGAAACUCUAGAGAAAAAAUCUUGAACAGAUUCACUACCUUUCAUGAAGAGAGUCUCAAAUUCUCUUCGAAGAGUUUGAAGUUUCACUGUGGUUACCUUAGCGUCGCCAUGGAACUCAUGCUUCAAAAUUCUCCAAGCUUCCUUCGAUUUGGUGGCAUUUGCUAGUCUUAGGAAGAUAGACUCCGCCACAGCCUGUUGUAGAACAAGUAAGGCUUUUGCAUCCUUCUUGCGAUUCUCUUUCAAAUUCUCUGCACUCUUAGAACUUUCAGUAUCUGCAUAGCCAUUCUCAACCAAAUCCCAAAGAUCUUGAGAAAUAAAAAAUGUUCUCAUCUUGAUACUCCAAAAUUCAUAAUUUUCACCAUUAAAAAUAGGCACCAAAUUUUGUGAGAGGUUUAGAGUAUUCAUACCGUUUGACAUGAUGAAUUACCCAAAAACAACAAAUUCUGAAAAUACCUCUUCCACCAAUGAUCGAUACGCGUCGACUCCAAUUGAAAGAUCUUUGCUACAACAACAAAAUCUUUCCACGCCCAAUUGAAAGAACUUGACUCUUGAUACCAAAACUGUUGGUUUAAGAAUGACAAUUUAAAGUAAAAACAAUGAAACAGAGAACUUUGAAUGACAAUUGAAUACUUUGUAUUGAUAAAACUCAACUCAAUUAACUUUAAUAACAAAUGAUCUGAUUACAACUAUUUAUAGACUAAGAACUCUUAGUGGAUAACCCCAUUUCACAGACCAUUAAUCCAUAACUCCACUUCCCUCAACUCUAAACUGUAAGCUGAAAAUAAGGAACACAACUCUCGUAGCUAAUACACUACUUAGACUUAGUCAUAGGACUAAUGACAUAGACUCUGACCUGGACAAAUAACUGAUUAGGACUGACCUAUAGAAACUAAUCUGACAUGGACGAUGACAAUGCAUCAAUUCUCAACAAUUACUACAUUUGUGUCUGGCGGCCUAAAGCUUCCCAACGGUCGAAAAUAUCCAAACGAAACUUAUAAAUUGGGACGAACGAGGGUUUUGUUUUGAAUUUCAAAUAUCUUGCAAGUACAAGCUUUCCUCCUUCUUCUUCUUCUUCGUAAACAAGCUUUCGCUCUGUUUUCUAAUUUCUUGAUAGGGUUUCGAUUGCAAUUGCCAUUAGCACUUGAAUGAACAUAAACAAGAUGAUGACGCCAUUGCUAUUGCCAUUACCACGAGGGGUUCAAUUCAAUCCUUCAGAUUCUGAUUUGAUUCCUUAUUAUCUUCAGAAGAAAAUCAAUGGAGAAGCUUUACCCACAUUGAAUGUUAUUCAAGAUCGUGACUUGUAUGGUAAAGAAACCCCUUGUCAGAUUUUUCAAAGUUGUUCUUCUUCAUCUUCUAAUUCUUCUGGUUUUGAUAAUUGGUUAUACUUCUUCACCAAGAUCAAGAAGAAGUUCAACAAUGCUUCUGAUAAAAGGAUUGAUCGGAUUGUUGGUAAUGGAAAGUGGAAUAAUCUGGGGACUAACAGGGUUUACAAUAAUAAUAAGUCUAUAGUUAUUGGGUACAGAACUCUUCUCAAUUUUAUCGUCAAGUCGCACACAAAUGAGGAUGAGCAGCAGCUACAUAGUUGGAUUAUGCAUGAGUAUACCAUGAAAGGUAAUGAUGCACUUGAUAAAGAUUCAAUUUGGGCUGUUUGUAAGCUUAGAAAGGGAAGACUACUCAAAGAUUCUCAUCAUAAUCCUCCUCGUUCUUUGAAGAGGAAAAGAGUAGUAGCUGUGGCGGCAGAGGAUAGUGAGUUUUACGUGUCAGAAAAGAAGCGUACCUGCUACGAAGGUUCAUCAUCGGCAUUCAAGAACAGUUAUGAUGAAGGAUUAGUAGUGCAACAACAAUGUGUUAUUUGUUGUGCGCAGCGGAAACUUAUGCACCAAUACCCAAGAUUGAAAUAGUAUAUGAAUUAAACAAAACAAAAAGAGAAGAUGAAACUCCUACUACUAUCAAACAAACCCACACAAAACACAAGACUUACGUGGUUCGGCUAAUAUUGCCUACGUCCACGGACAAACAAAUAGAACUUUUACUAUUGGAGAAGAUAGUACAAAGCUCUCAAACAAAUGGAGAAACCCUAGGUUUCCUCCCUUUUCAAAUCCUCACCAAAUCUCUCAAAGAGACAAUCACAAAUUGAUGAUACAAACUCUCUCUCCCAUCCAAGAUCCUCACAACUCUCACAAGGAGACAAACAACAAAUAUGAAUUGAAGAUACUAAACCAAUCCCUAAGACCUUAUAUUUAUAGCCUUUAGGGUGUACAAAACAAAUUCCUAAUAGGAAUACCAAACUUAAUCAAAUUGAAAGUCAUAUUCUAAUACCAAAUUCUAAAUCCUUAAUAUGGACUUAGAAAUCCAAAUAUGAAACGGAUUCCCUUAUAGAACCGGUUUCCCAACAAUUCUCCACCUCGGUGAAGAUUUCCCAAAUCUAAGCCGAUCUUCAAAAAAACCGACGAACAACCAAACCAAAGCGGCCGGACCAUCAAGUGGCUGCCUACGUACCCUCCAUGGGAUCAAGCCAUCGUAGUUCUUCCAAACGGACAUCUUUCGAUGCCCACAAUGCCCCGAAAGGCCAAAUCCCCCUAAGGGGCCAAAUCAAAACCAAAUGCCCACCAAUGCCCUAUAGGGCUCACAAACAACUUCAACACAAUGGGGUCCAAGCUAUGAAAUACCAUCUUCACCUCAACAAAGUUCUCCAUCGAAGAUGAUCCAAUGCCCUGAAAAACUAACCUCUCAAGAGCUUUUCCUAUGAAGUUCAACCAAGUGGGGUACAAAUUCAAAUCACUACGCAUAGAUUUACCAAAUACAUCUUCCUUACUAAGCGCCAAACAAACAUCACAUGAGAGAUUACCAACAAUAGGAAGUACGUACACAAAACCCCUAAACAAAGGUUUCACGGCUUCAUAAGGUUCUUGGGCGAUAACCUUGCUACUAACAAUGGUAGCUUCAACUUUCUUCUUUGCCGUGUCACCUAACAAACCAAUCAAAUGUGGAGCGACAUCAAUCUCCACCCGAACAAAUGACGCUUCAACAAAAUGCCUACCAACUAUGCAUGCCUUGCCACCCGCAAACAAAUUUGUCUUCACUUGCAUAGUACCAUCAACGGCAUGCCCCAUAUUACUAUGCAAUUCCAAAAUCACUCGAAUCCGAAAUAUGAUCUGACAUGAUACCAAUCAAUUUCAUACACCAGCAAACCAAACAAACAAACUAAACCAAAGGAGUUCACCAAGUACCACAAGAAAAAUCCAAGAUUGGAUUUUUACCGAAAUUGAGAAAACAAAACCGUCAACUUUAAAGAAUUACUGGGAACAGAAUACUUUGAAACAGAAAACGUACCAUACACCGUUGGAAAGCAGAAGAGUCUUCUUUCCAACCCAAAAAACGGAUCAACGUUUCGAUAUCCGAGAACAGAGUUAUGGUCGUUUUACCACAGAGUAUCGAAUCUGGACAGAUUCCUCAAAACCUUUUAACCAAUGUUCUGCAAUCCCUCUUUAACCCAAGGAACUAACCUUCGGCUCUGAUGCCACUUGUUGUGCGCAGCGGAAGCUUAUGCACCAAUACCCAAGAUUGGAAUAGUGUAUGAAUUAAACAAAACAAAAAGAGAAGAUGAAACUCCUACUACUAUCAAACAAACCCACACAAAACACAAGAUUUACGUGGUUCGGCUAAUAUUGUCUACGUCCACGGACAAACAAAUAGAACUUUUACUAUUGGAGAAGAUAGUACAAAGCUCUCAAACAAAUGGAGAAACCCUAGGUUUCCUCCCUUCUCAAAUCCUCACCAAAUCUCUCAAAGAGACAAUCACAAAUUGAGGAUACAAACUCUCUCUCCCAUCCAAGAUCCUCACAACUCUCACAAGGAGACAAACAACAAAUAUAAAUUGAGGAUACUAAACCAAUCCCUAAGACCUUAUAUUUAUAGCCUUUAGGGUGUACAAAACAAAUUCCUAAUAGGAAUACCAAACUUAAUCAAAUUGGAAGUCAUAUUCUAAUACCAAAUUCUAAAUCCUUAAUAUGGACUUAGAAAUCCAAAUAUGAAACGGAUUCCCUUAUAGAACCGGUUUCCCAACAUUAUUGAUUAUCAAGAAAAUGUUGAUGAUUGGUUGUGUGUUCCAACUGUGGAUGAACGCGAGACUCUGUCAAUUUCAUCAUCCUAUCCAUGGAAUUCAGAAAAUGACGACUAAUUUCAAUCUCAGCUCCAGUCUUAUCAACAACAAUAUUCUAAUGAUAACAGUUUUGAUGAGUAUUGGUUCUGUAACCCUAGUGGAGAUGACUGCAAUACAACAUCAACAUCAUAUCCAUCGAGUCCAUUAACGACACUCGAUGAUCUGACUAGUUUUUACGAAUAUUACUCUCAGCAGCCUCAUCAAAUAGGUGCAGACUGCAAUGCAGCAACUUCUUCAUACUGGAACGAAUGUGGAACCAUAUCGACGUGCAUCGAAGGGGGCACGAAUGCCAACAGGGGUAUCUAUGCCUGAUGGUCAUGAUACACUUCUUGCUGCUCAGCUGCGCGAUCAGUGUGACUAAAGUGGCGAUGACGAGGAAAUAUGGAAAUCAGUGAAAUUGCAUAAAGCUUCUGAUUCACCUAGGCUGUAUAUGUCCCUGACUGUAAUUCGUAAUUCUAGUUACUCUUAUUGGUCUUAUUUUCAAAACAUUUUUGCCUCAUAUUGUAAGAUGAAAUUGCAUAUAAAGCUAUAAGUAACACGCAAUUAGAACCAUUCCUGUGUGGAAAUGUAUAUUUUGAUUCUGAUAUAGCUUAUAGCUAGAUUCGUAGGAUAUGGCAGUUCUUAAUCAAGUCAGAAUAAAAUUUAUCAUUUUACUCGUAUGGUAGCCAGAUGAAUGAGGUGCAUAUUCUGUUCCAGCAUGUACAGAUUGUACACCUUUGCCAAGAAUCAAAUAGAAAUAUCACUGAUCUUUCUGAAAAUGAAGAAUUUGGUUUCAGCUGUGCAAUGUGAAAAGUGUAUUUCUUCCAUAUCUGUCUUAGCUUCACACAUCACACUUGUCUUGUGAUUGCAACCCAAAUGUCUAAUAUAUUUCUGAUGAUGGUUUUGCUGUCUUUGGAUGAACAUGGUCUUUUUGACACUGUAAUUUUCAGUUUAGAAGACGAACGCUUUUAACGACAUUUUCCAAAGGAGUGCCUACUUGGAUUGAGCCAAAACUGACAGCGAGCUGCUGAGGUUGAGGGCUUGAGGCCUUUGGCUAUUGAGUUCAAGUGUCUUUUAAUCUCUUUUAGUAUUUGUUUCAUUGCUAAGAGUAAAGACUUCCUGUCAAACUUGUGUACUCACUGCAGUGCCUUUUUCUGCUAGUUUCAUUUUCAUUUUCACUGGUUUUCAAAGAAACUUCCAAGUAAACAAUAUCUGAUAAAAGACAUCACUGGCCACUGGGGACAUUUACCGAUCCCUUGCAACCUAUAGACGACAAAGAACCCUAACAAGACAGAACGUAUCUUUACCAGAACACAAACAUACCUACCAGUCAUGUUAUCUCAAAGCCAGCCCAGAAUGGUUUCAUUAGGACUAGAUUACAGCAUUCUUAAGUAUAGUUCCUAAUAACGAAAAAUAUAACAGGUGGGUGCAACAAGUAAUAUAGAGUGGGUGCAAAACUGCAAAUGUGGUCUGUAUAACAAUACAGUUCCGUGAAAAGGGGGAAUUUAUCGUCAGAGAGCAAGAAUAGGAACUACUUUAACCACUUGAGAUUGUGAGAGAUAUUCCCUGACAAAAUAAUAUAACUACCUGGGUAUUAAUAGCAUAAUAUUUGAUGGAAUCUUUAGGUGUAUUUGUAUGAAAGAAACCAGAAAAUUCCAUUAACAAAGGCUCUUCUUGUUCUUCUUCCUCCUCAUUAGGUGAUCAAAGGGUUCCUUCUGCUGUUGAUUAUAUCAAGGUGUAAGCCUGGUUGAUCGAAAUUUUACGCUUAAGGUUAGUUGAUUUAUUUUUUAUCUUGUCCUAGCUAAUUAUAUUUCUCUUACUCUGUAUCAUCAUUGAGGAAUUUAAAGGUAUCUCAUGCAUCAAGAGAUAUAUAGAUGAUCAAUGUCUUAAUUUUUUUAUGUUUUUUUCUUUUCCAAGUUAUAAAACAGUUUCUCUAUCUAUACAUAUGUUAUUGAUGAUUUGAUAAUGGUAUUUCAUACAAAUCUGAUAUAAAUGGCCUAAAUGUUAUUUGUAUGUUUAUAGUUUUGGAGUGAUAAAAAUAAAAACACAAUUCAUUGAUUUGGUGUGUUGGAUGAAAAAAAUCAGGUGAUUUAUACAUAUACAGUAGAUAGAGGAUGGAGGAAAAACACGAAGGCGCACGAAAAUUUCAAGUCCCUAAAAUAAACAUAGAUGAGAUAAAGAAGGCCUCUCCAUAUGUGAUCAUGUCGCCAAGGUCCAUGCUGCAGAAGCAGACAAGUGGAAAAGCACCCUGUCUCUGUUCCCCAACCACACACGCCGGAUCUUUCAGGUGCCGACACCACAGAAAUUCUCUGCUAAGUCGCCAUGGUGGCUCUGUUGGUUCCAACCUAUCUGAGUUAGCUAACAAGACUGAAUUUGUUCCCACUGCGACUGCAAUGAAUGACUCCGCACACUCUCACACACAUCCUUUUGGAGGCACUGCAGUGAAUGCCUCCACACACUCCCACACUCACCCUUUUGGGGAAAGGUAGAAAACUUGCUGAACCUUUGGUAAGUAGUAUUGUCACAGAAGAGGGAGAGUUGAUUAUGUGCUUUCUUUUCCAGUUUGACAAACACAGUGAUGUCUUAUUCUUGUUUCCAAGUUUGGCAUACGAAGCCAAGAUAUUUAUGGUGUCUCUGAUUGACCAUACUAAAGACAAUUAAACUUGUACAUGAUCAUUAAGGGUUGUUUGGUUGCCUCUCCAAAAUGUUUCUCCAAUGAAAGUAGAACUCAACUAUUCAUUUUAAUUCUUCUUUAUUUCCUUUAUUGAAAAUAUUGGAGUGCUUCUCCACUUUCAUCAUGUACUACAUAUUUGGUUGUUUCUACAUUUGUCACUAUUGGUACAUGCUUUCCUCAGCUACAAAGCUUGCUCAUCUAAAUUUUUCUUUGCUUUCCUCGGAGCUGCUAGUGUAGGUGUAAAUUUCGUAGUAUAGUGAAACAUUGUAGUAUAGUUCAGUUGACAAAUUAAGGUUUCCUGGAAGAUCCAUUAGAGAAACUUUUCCUAUGAGCUUUGUCAUGUUCAAUGCCUUUGUCCUUGCAACAACUCACUAACAGUCACUGUGACUGCUAUUCAUGAAUGGCACUUCUAAACAUUGUGAGAGAUAUGCUGCCAAAAAUAUUUGGCAUUUGCAUUUCUAUGCAAUCAUUCAGGCACCUCCACAGAUACUCUACCUGUCUACCUAAAAGGAAUUGACUCAUUGCAUCAAACUGUACCCUAUAUCAUUCUGUUCUCUCAGUAAGGUUUUAUUGGACAACUGACAACCUUAUUCUGUUCUAUCCUAAGAUUUUAUUGGACAACCAACAACUGAAACUAAUUCUUCAAUCAUAUGGCCCUACUAGUGUAUGGUUUUUCGAUUGUUAGAACUUGCAAGGAAAUAUAUAGUAUUCAGCAUGUACGAUGAUUUGUAUAAAAACAUCCAACUAAAAUAACAAUUGAGGAAAUAGCGGAAUAUAUAUGUUUUGGUGCAAGGAGACUGAAAAUAGUCACUCAUAAAUAUGUACACGAGGGGAAAACUAUCCACAGAAAACAUAUACCACAAACCAGAUAUAUCAAUUAAAAAACAUGUCCUUGAUAACAGAAAGAAAAGUAGGGGGAUGCAGUGUACGCUUACAAGAUGCUCACCAACAGUUGUAUACAACAUAUAACAACAGGACCCUUAAGCUACCCAAAGGAAGCUAUGUAUCUCAGACAAUGCUGAGAAGCUGGACAUAGCUGAAAAAGGUUUUCUACAAAGGUUGGUAGCAGGUAAGAGUGCUCUCAAGACACCGCGUAUCCAGGUCUCACACAGCAGAACCAUUUUUUCUGCAAAUCAGAUAUUUUGAAGAGUUAAACAUACAGUGGAUUAUGCAGUAGUUGACCAACAUAUUUAAAUAUCUAUAAAUUCUGACAAUGACUUGUCCAGAAAACACUGAUACAGAGAUGAAGCGUAUGACAACUAGAGCAGGAAGAACUAUAUCCAAAGCUAGCCAAACAAAGCAUUUUCCAAAGACGAAAGCAAAAGCUCUCCGGGAUGGCAUAAUGAUGGCAAAAAUCAAAUAAAAUCAUUGAAAUCAAACAAAUUAAUUGCAAAUGUCAAUCAUAUGAUUUGUUACUAUUCCUAACAUAAUGAAGAUCUUAAACCACCCAAGAAUUAGUUUCAGUUGUUUCCUUUUUUGUUUGUAAGUCAACAGAUUCAUCUUUCUAUUCUAAUUGCCCACACAAAAUGAUAUCACUAAUAACUGGAAGUUGAUUCGGUUUUCAAGUGCAGGUGGUGCAUCUAGAUAUUGACAUGUAAAGGUUUCCCAGAAUGCACAAGCAAUUAAAUUUACAUAAGGAUAACCCACAAUGGUGUUUGGGUGUGGGUGUGUGUGUUGGGUGUGGGUGUGGGGGGGGGAAUUCGUAGACUACUUUCCGCCGAAAAAUCAUCAAGUAAUAUACAUAUUCCUUUAACCUUUCUUACUAGCUUGAAAAAUAUUAUCUACUUUAGUUUAGAGUAGACAGUAAGUCUACUAAAGGAAAGACUCUAAACCUUUGGUAACAAUGGUAGUCAAAGUACUUUUCCCUUCCAGACAUUAGACCACCUAAGAAACGAAGAUCAUAACCAUUUUCUUUAUAAAAAUAACCAUACUAACAUCCUAAUUACAUACAGGCAUAGAGCAGACGGACCACAUCUGACGCCAAAUGGGGAUCACAACUUCCAAGUAGUUAAUCGCAGGCACAACUCUAUAAAUUGGGAUGAAGGAAGAUAAUUAAUAGAGAAUUAGGUUACCUCUGUUUUAUAGGCUUGAAUUUCACUUAGAGAACUUUUAUAUAUCAGAUUACAAAUGAUAUGAAUUAUGAAGUACUUUACUAACCUUAAGUUGAAAUAAGGGCAAUGUUAAUAUUCAUUUCCAGACAGCCCAGAGUAUUAGGUGGAAAACAUAUCAUACUACAUCAAAGAAUAUGUUCCACAACGAUGUAGGUCAACAAACACACUUCUCUUCAUCAAUGACAUACAUACUUACUAGGUGAAUGGAGUUUUAGCAUAAAAUACACAUCCAAAUCUGUAUUUGAGGUGGUUCUCUUUCCAUAGUUUCAUCUCUCAUUUCAUACUGGUAAAAAAAUCUUAGCUAAGCAUAUUUAAUGUCACAAAUAAAUUAACACACCUCAAGCCUAAAAAAACUAGCACAAAACCUAAAGUUCAUAUCUCAAGGAGUUGAACCUAAGUCUAGAACUCCAUAGAUCAAGUGUCCCCUAAGGCAACAUAUGUAAGGUACUUCGCAAACUUCAUCUUUGUGUACAAGGGGAGGUUCAAAUUCCAACUUAUUCUUUUGUGUUCAAAAUUAGCCUUUUCAUGGAUGGAGUCUCACUCUUGAAUGCUUUCAGUUCGAUACAUAUACAAUUUGGACCUACUUGCUUCACUAAUAAUGGUUUAGACUAAGCCAUUCUUAAAAUAGAACGAACUACACUUUAAGCAGAACAAAGACAUGAAACACAAGCUACAAGGUUAAGAGAGACUUACAGAUUGGGGCUUGUUAUUAUCUGUUACAUCUUUAGAGAUAAGCUCCUCCCUUCCUGGCGAGAUAAGCUUUCUGCCCGUCUUCUUCUCAUCCCUAGCCUUAUUGAAGAUGACAGUAAAUCCAUCAGCUGAAGCAGGGUCGUUCACAUCCCACUCACCAAACUUGGGCAACGGACGACCUUUUUCCUGUUAUGAAUCAUAUUUACCAUAGAAUUUAAUUAGCAGCCAGUAUGAAACAAUGAUGACGAUACUGUAAAUUAAAUUUCCCUUAACAAGUCUGAAAGAGCAAUACAGACAAGGAAACAAAGGGCACAUAUGAAUUUAUAGUACAGGCACUACCUAAGAACAACUCCCAACACUUGGAAAUGUCACUCAAGGUUUUGGGGAUCAUAGUUGUGCCAAUGUAAAUUUAUUGUAACCAAGGUGAAACUAUGUUUUUUGCUGUUUGACUGUUAUGAAAUCUUAUUCACACAAUUAUAUUGUACUUCUGUCUUGCCAGUUACCUCACGAAGUUUUGCGCCUCUUCUAUGGAACAUGUAAUUGAAUUGAAGUUGUUAGCAAAUCCUAUUUUUCAAGAAACCGUAAAUCGUAAUGGGCUAAUCCAAAGAUGUACAAAAUAUUAGCAUUUAAAUACAUACUUGUUGAAAUUUGUUAGAACUUCAAACACAUAGUAUGAAAUAUAAAUCACUAGACAACAUGCCAAACAUUAAAUAUUGUCUAACAUAUAAGUUCGCAAACAAAACUUGUUUUGAUUCGUAAAGAAACAAACAAACAAACAAACAAUUCAACUGAUUGAAUCAGAAACAAGAAAAGAAAGCAUAACAAUUAAUAUAAAUAAAAAUUGAUGAUAAAAAGAUAUUAAAGUGAGUGAGAGUUCAUUUAUUUGCAUACCAUGAAUUGAUUCUUGAGAAUUUCAAAGCUCAAACAGAAAGAAGAGAAAGAAAGAAAUAGAAAUAUCAAUGAAAACAGAAAAAGUUACAGCAAAGAAAGAGAAAUCCUGCAUAAUUUAAAGAAAGGAACGGAGAUAUACUUCAACUCAAGUGCUCUCGCCGUCCCGCGUAAGAUUACACACGUUUAGCUGAGUCGUUGGCACGUAGUUUUGUAGUAAUUGAAAAGUGAAAACCAUGACUGCCUGGUUGGCUGGCCUGGCCGGCUAUGUAAAAUUUGAGACACGACACUAGACUGCUAGUGCCUAGUGCUACUGCUGGCUUGCUCAAAUUGGAACCAAAAUCACCCAAGUGUAGUGUGAAGUCAAAGGGUUUGAACUUUUCUUUCUCCAAUUGACCUGGCACAUCUUGGCGGCUUCCACCAACACAAUGUGCAAUAUAUUGUUUAAUAUUUGUUUUUAGGUAAAAACAUAAUUUUGAUUUUUACGAUACCUUAUGGCUAUUGAAAGGCGCGAUGGAUAAAAUGCAUCGUGAUGAUGAUCUAGUCCCAAAUUUGUUUGAAGUUAUUGGAUGUGAAUCAAUUUGAGAAGACAUUACACUGCAACCGUUGAAGUGGCUAGAUGAAGAUUUAUAUAUCAAAGCCGCGCUUUUUAAGCCAAUUUGGCUUAGAAUUCUUAAUACAAAUGUUGGGUUUUAACUCUUAUGUUUUGUCUUAAAAGUUAAUUGACAAUGUGAUGACUUUAAUUUGUAUGGGUAUGAGGUAUGAAAUGUAUAUUUCUUUCAUUUUUGUCAAAGGAAUGUUCCAUUCGCUUCAUGACUUCUGGUCUUAUCGAUUGAAACUUGUUCUAAAGACAAAACUUGUACCCAACUACCAUAGAUUUUGUUGCCAAGCUUGAACCUUCAAAUUCUAUGAUCUCUUUGUCCUAGUCAAAGUAGAACCUUCCCAGUUCCCUAAGAAACGAGACUACAAUUCUUCUCAAAAUUUCUGAAGUUUUUUUUUUUUUUUUUUUUUUGUUAGCAACUAAUUUUUAUUGAAUAAUACAAACAUUAUUACAGGACUUGACAAGCACAAACAUAAAGCAAAUAACAUAACCAACUGCAUAUAUAUACAAGAAGUCAAAUCUUCCAUGCAUCCUUGAUUCUUGCAGCAGCCUACGGUGAUUCACAAUUAGCUUCAAACUCUUAUAGCGAAAACAAGAUUCGUUCAUGAGCAUAAUCUUUCGUCUGAGCCACCACUUAGUAAAGUAUAAUUCUCUCGAAGAACUCUAAAGAACCAGAAGAAUUCCUGAGAACGAAAUGAGGAUCGAAACAGGGAAGAUCCUAAGGGUGGGUACAAGUAAAUGCAAAGCAUUUACCCUGCCGCCAGACGCAAACAUAAGGCAUCCAAAAAGGGCAAACCCUACACGCUCCAAACAACAAAAGUUUGGUGUGUUUAAACCAUCGGCUAACCUGGGGAGAGAACUCACACUCAACCAAGCAAAUAACCAAAAGAAAGAGUAUACCCCUGAUGAAAAUUGUUUCACCGUGAAGACCGAAACUAAUUGAGAACGACACAAGAAUGCACACAAGAAACCAAAAGGACUCAUAGACAGAUUCAUCAUUUCCCCUAGUACAGAAUACCAGGCGAAAGGGUAUCCAAAACAACUACAAACCAGCAAAGAAAAAAAACACAAAGACAGGAGAAUGUGGAGAGAUGAUAACAAUUGAAUAAAAAUUUACAGCAAAACUACCUAAAUGGUAGAACACAAAAUCAAAUACAAAAGUAGAGAGGGAUGAGACAACCUUUAAAAUAUCAAAAUUACUAAAAAAAAAACUCACAGAAGUGCACUUGAUUUGCAAAAGAAAUGGUAAAACUCAAUAUAUGAUCACACCAUCAUCAAAUAAGGAAAUCAAAGAAGAGAUGAGCACUCAAAACCCCCAACCUGCAAGAUCACCGAUCAAAUUUUGUUUACCCCAUUUUAUUCAAUUCUACCAACGAACUUUUACCAAAUAUCCAAAUCAAGAACACCAAAACGGCGUAACGCGACCUUGAUGCUUAAUUGAAGAGAUUAGUAAAAAAUUAAGAUGAUGAAAGUAAAAAUUAUUGGUAUUAUGAUGUAUGAACUCAGGAAUACAGUUUACACGAAUUACAGAAAUGAAAAUACACUAGAACAGAAAACAAGUAAUAUAUUUAUUAAUUGAAUUCAACAAAACAGUAACACUUACUACACCGUAUGAAGGAUUAAGGAGAUGAACAGAGGCUUGCCGAAGCAAUAUCCUUAAGACAAUAUUACGUCCCUGCUACUGGUGCACACAGGUACUGGACGAUAGUCUCCCAAGAUACAACUGUUCUGCACUCUGCUAGACUGCACUGUAAUAGCAGAGUUCUGGCGAACAAACAAGAAGAUCCUUCGAAUGCUUUAGAGAGAGAGAGAGAAGCAGACUUAGUCUGUAUUGAUUGUGUGCUUACUGGCCAGAACAACACGCAAUUUAUAGGCUAAGUCGUGCCUGUUCACAACAGACACGCACCUGUUGGAAAACGUCUUUUCUCAACAGGUGCAACUCUUGGCAGACUUAUGAAACGUUUAAGGCCCAAAGGACGUACUGUUUCAUUUUGAACAGACAUAUCUGUUAAGGCAAAGAUGUAACAUGAUCCUGUGAACCCGUUCACAACUUAACUAAAUAAGUGGUGGACCAAAAAGAUAAGAUAACUUAUCAACCACCACAUAGCCCAAGCCUAAGCCCGAACCGAACCGAACCGAGCCGAGCCGAGCCGGUCGGUCGGUCGGACGGACGACGGCGGCGGCGCGCGUGUGUGUGGUGGACCACUAAGUGUAUAGCCUUGCGCUAUCGCGCGAAAACUUGGUAACCCAAAGGGCUACACCCUUAGUGUUAUUAUUUUGUAUUUAUACAUCUUUACUCACUUCCCACAACUCAUGUGGGACUAAGUGUUUUACACACUUAGUUCAUUCAAUCAAUGAAAUGGUCUGACACUGUUUCUCUAACAAUCCCCCACAUUGAAUGAACUCCGUCUACACAUUCUCAAAAAAGCUUCUUCGAAGAGUAUGUUGGAACAACAUUGCCUCGGGAUAGGUAGAUAUUUCACUUUGAACCUUCCGUAGCAUAGACCUAUUGGAUUUACUUAGCUAAUCAGUGAAAUAUUUCAUCUUGAACUGUCAGCUGUUGGUGUAAACCAAGACAAUAAGCCAUGCACAAUGUUAUCCCGAUUCUUGUUUAAUUCUCGGUUGUGUUCAUUUUGGCCCUGAACAAUCUUAGGUUCUGCGAGUGCUACUAGAGAUAUUCUGCCUUUAAGAAAUCUCAUAGAGCCGACCCAGCUCUCACUAACAUAGGUGACCGCUCCUAUUUAAGGGUAUCCUACUAUACCCCACUUGUGUUUCACAAGAUAUAGGCGUCAUUAAAAGCAUAGCUUAGCCUGAACGACACUGUAGGUUGCACUUGUUGCAUCAUGGAAAUGGGAUAGAGAAAAUUCUCCCAAGUGCUCCUGGUGAGUUACUCAGAACUGGUUGUCCUGUUGAACCUAGUCCGUGGGAUCUCCAGUCGCUAGGUUAGGUUUCCGUAUAAGGUAACUCGUGGUUAUUGAGGCGUUAGCCCCAUUCCCCUCGAUGCGCAGUCAAUUUUCUCUCUAGAUAAACCUUUAGUAAACGGAUCCGCAAGGUUAUCUUUUGACUUCACAUAAUCAAUGGAUAUGACUCCAUGUGAGAGUAACUGCCUCACGGUAUUAUGUCUACGACGUAUAUGUCGUGAUUUACCGUUAUACAUAAAGUUUUGAGCUCUUCCUAGAGCUGCUUGAUUGUCACAAUGGAUACAUAUGGUCGAUACCGGUUUCGGCCAUAAUGGGAUGUCUUCUAAGAAACCCCUAAGCCACUCAGCUUCUUCACCUGCUUUAUCUAAAGCUAUGAAUUCAGAUUCCAUUGUGGAUCUUGCUAUGCAAGUUUGUUUUGCAGAUCGCCAUGAUACUGCACCACCCCCCAAAGUAAACACAUACCCACUGGUUGCCUUGGAUUACCCUGAAUCAGAAAUCCAAUUUGCAUCAGUAUAACCUUCAACAACACUUGGAUAUCUUCCAUAGUGUAAGGUAUAAUUAGGUGUAUCUUUUAAAUACCCUAAUACUCGCAAAAGAGCAUUCCAGUGUUUUCGGCCUGGAUUACUAGUAAACCGACUUAGUUUACCAACUGCAUAGGCAAUAUCUGGUCUUGUACAGUUCUUGACGUACAUUAAACUACCAAUGAUUCGAGAGUACUCGAGUUGAUCAAUGAUAGGACCAUGAUUUUUAUGUAACACCAUAUUUGGAACAAAAGGUGUAUUUGUCUUUUUUAUUCCAUGAUGUUUGAACCUCUCUAUAAUUUUUUCAAUAUAAUGAGUUUGAGAUAGCCCAAUUUCAUUAGGUGUUCUAAUUAUCUUAAUUCCCAAGAUAACAUUUGCCACACCUAGAUCUUUCACUUCAAAGUUGUUUUUGAGCAUCUUUUUCGUAGACAUAAUAAUUUCAUUAUUAGUCCCGAAAAUGAGCAUGUCAUCGACAUAUAAACAAAUAAUGACGUAAGCCUCGCCUACUUUCUUGAAAUAGACACAUUUGUCACAUUCAUUGCUUUGGAACCCAUUCUUUAUCAUGACUCCAUCGCUGGUUAUAUGCCAUUGUUUUGGAGCCUGUUUAAGACCAUAGAGGGAUUUAACCAGUUUACACACUUUGUUUUCUUUCCCUUUGACUUGAAAACCUUCUGGUUGUUCCAAAUAAAUCUCCUUUUUUAAGUCACCAUAUAAGAAUGCAGUUUUAACAUCCAUCUGAUGUAUUUCCAUAUUAAAUAUGGCUGCAAUCGCGAUUAACAUUCUAAUUGAUGUUAUCCUCGUUACUGGUGAGUAUGUGUCAAAAUAGUCUAAACCUUCCUUUUGACGAUAUCCUUUUGCUACUAGUCUAGCUUUAUACUUAUCAACCGAACCAUCUGGUUUCAGUUUUCGUUUGAAUAUCCACUUAUACCCCAUGGUUUUACUUCCUGGUGGAAGAUCAACCAAUUCCCAGGUAUUGUUGCUUUGGAUGGAUUCAAUCUCAUUUGCAAUUGCUUCCUUCUAAAGUGGAGCAUCCGGAGAAGACAUUGCUUCUUUAUAUGUCCUAGGUUCAGUUUCUAACAUAUAAGUUAAGAAAUCCGGACCAUAUGACUUCGAAGUUCUUGCCCUUUUACUGCGUCUGGGCUCUUCCAAUUCAGGCUCAUCUGAAUUGUCAUCUGGUUCAUUUGUUCCAUUAGACACCUCAUGUGUCCGUUUUGGAGUUUUAUCUACAUGAUCUUUCCUAUGAGGAAAGACACUCUCGAAGAAUGUAGCAUCACGAGACUCAAUAAUAGUGUUAACACUUAUGUCACUAUUUUCAGAUUUAAAUACCAAAAAUCUGUAUGCACUACUGUUUUGGGCAAAACCCAAAAAAUAGCAAUCAACUGUUUUAGGCCCAAGUUUAGUUCUCUUGGGUGGAGGAACCAUUACUUUGGCCAGACACCCCCACACUUUAAGGUAUUUAUAAUUGGGUUGUCGUCCUUUCCAUAACUCAUAUGGAAUGGUUUCAGUUUUCUUGUGUGGUACUCUGUUUAAUAUGUGAUUAGACAUAUGUAGAGCUUCCCCCCACAGGUUCUCAGGUAGACCAGAAGUUAUAAGCAUGAUAUUAAUCAUAUCUUUUAACGUUCUGUUCUUCCUUUCAGCAACACCAUUUUGCUGAGGUGAGUAGGGUGCUGUGGUUUGAUGGAUUAUUCCAUUUUCAGCACAGACUUGUACGAAUGGUGAUUCGUAUUCACCCCCUCUAUCAGAUCUUAUGAUCUUGAUUUUCUUAUCUAACUGAUUCUCAACUUCAGUUUUGUACUUUAUAAAAGCACUUAUUGCCUCGUCUUUACUGUUAAGUAAAUAUACAUAACAGUAGCGAGUACAGUCAUCAAUAAAUGUGAUUAAAUACUUCUUCCCACCUCGUGUUGGAAGUGAUUUAAAAUCACAUAAAUCAGUAUGUAUUAAACCUAGUGGCUGAGUACUUCUCUCAACCGAAUGAAAAGGUUGUUUAGCAAAUUUUGCUUCCACACAAGUCUCACACUUAUGUGUUUUCUCUAUGUCAAAUUUAGGAAUUAAUCCUAAACUUGCUAGUUUCUUCAUUUUUCUGUAAUUAACAUGACCUAAUCUGUCAUGCCAUAAAUGUGGUGACUCAAGCAAGUAAGAAGAAUUAUUUUUAUUCAUAGAAUCAGAAUACACUUUUGCCUUGUUGGUUUCAACAACGGCUACAUUUGCAUUAAAAAGGCCAUCACUUAGAUACCCCUUUCCCACAUACAUCCCACCUUUGGUCAGCACAAACUUAUCUGACUCAAAGACCAUUUUGAAACCUUUCUUACUAAGGACAGAACCAGACACGAGGUUCUUCCUGAUGUCAGGUACAUGGAGAACAUCAUUGAGAGUGACUUUGUGUCCAGAAGUGAAUUUCAGAACCACUUUCCCAUAGCCUUCAACCAUUGAAACUGCAGAAUUGCCCAUAAAGAGCUUUUCUUCAUGCUCCAUCUUCUGGUAGGUAGAGAAGAGACUCUUGUCAGCACAGAUAUGACGGGUAGCCCCAGUGUCUAUCCACCAUUCCUUGGUAUUAGAUACCAAGUUCACUUCAGAAACCACCGCAGACAAGUGCAUGUUGUCAAUCUCCCUGGAUAUGUCAGUCAUGUUCGCCUCAGGAGCUUUUUCGUCUUUGCGGUGCCUGCAAUCUUUGGCCAAGUGACCUUUCUUACCACAAACAAAACAGCCCCCUUUGAACUUUUUCUGACCUUUGUCCUUGGGUGCAUUGUUGGACUGAUUCUUCUUCCUCUUCUUAGAGGAAGUCUUACUUUGCUUUGAGGUCUCCACCACAUGUGCCUUAGCCUCAAACGUACUUCGGGUUUCAGUACCCCUGUUGUCCUCUUCAAUCUUCAGUCGCACUAUCAGAUCAUCCAGACACAUUUCCUUUCGCUUAUGUUUCAGAUAAUGCUUGAAAUCUUUCCAAGAAGGAGGCAGUUUCCCAAUGAGUGCUGCCACUUGAAAAGACUCACCAAUUACAUGGCCCUCAGCAUGGACUUCAUGUAAUAUGAUCUGGAGUUCUUGGAUUUGAUCAGAAACAGACUUGGAAUCAAUCAUUUUGUAGUCCAUAAAUUUAUCGACCACAAAUUUCUUGAGACCAGCAUCUUCAGUCUUGUAUUUCUUUUCCAGAGCCUCCCACAGUAAUCUGGCAGUAACAAUAGGUUUAUAAACCUUGUACAGCACUUCAUCAAGCGAAUUCAAAACAUAAUUUCGACAAAGGAAAUCAGAAUGCUUCCAUGCUUCAAUAGCCUGGAACACUUCCUUGUCUGUUUCAGCAGUCUGACCAGGUUUGGGCUUAGGAGUAUCUUCAGUUAAAAACUUUGCCAAACCGAGAGUGGUCAGAUAGAACAACAUCUUGCUCUGCCAUGUCUUGAAAUCCACACCCUUGAAUUUCUCUGGCUUGUCUUGAGGAGUGAUGAUCUUGAUCUUAGUCAGAUCAGACACUUCAGUAGUCUUCAAAGAAGAACUGCUCGUCAUGUUUCUAUUAUUUCACACAAAAACCAACUUUUUAAUAUUGUCUUAAGUCUAUUGCUUCGGCAAGCCUCUAUUCAUCUCCUUAAUCCUUCAUACGGUGUAGUAAGUGUGUACUGUUUUGUUGAAUUCAAUUAAUAAAUAUAUUACUUGUUUUCUGUUCUAGUGUAUUUUCAUUUCUGUAAUUCGUGUAAACUGUAUUCCUGAGUUCAUAAUAUUGUCUUAAGUCUAUUGGUAUUAUGAUGUAUGAACNNNNNNNNNNNNNNNNNNNNNNNNNNNNNNNNNNNNNNNNNNNNNNNNNNNNNNNNNNNNNNNNNNNNNNNNNNNNNNNNNNNNNNNNNNNNNNNNNNNNUUGCGCUAUCGCGCGAAACUUGGUAACCCAAAGGGCUACACCCUUAGUGUUAUUAUUUUGUAUUUAUACAUCUUUACUCACUUCCCACAACUCAUGUGGGACUAAGUGUUUUACACACUUAGUUCAUUCAAUCAAUGAAAUGGUCUGACACUGUUUCUCUAACAAAAAUUACCCACAAUCCAUCAUUCAAACUAAAAUCCCACCCAAAGAAAACAUAGCAAUUCGAACUUCCACCGUCUUGAAGAGCUCUGGUAUGAAUCUAGUAAGAGAUUGGAGAAGAAUUGAAGAAGAGAAGAGCUGUUUUUGAUAUGAAUCGGUGCUGACUCAGUGCAGGUUUCUGAGUCGGCCAACACCUCUGGUUUCUGAGAAGAGCUGCUGUUGCUGAUUGCUAAUGGUGCUGAUGAUUGUUAAUUUAAUCUCCAGAGAGAUGGAAAAAAAGAAAAAAGGAAGAAAGAACUAUAAUUUCGAGUGCAACUUGCAGCUAGUGUUAACACCUCGAAUCUUUAAAAGACCAAAUUCAAUUCUUAUUUAGUUCGGCCCAAACACUAGACUAGUCCUUGGGCAGAAUUUUUAUUUGGGUAUCUCUAUUAUCAACCCUUCUUCUCAUUGUUUGUUUAAUGCAAAGACUGACAACUACUGACCACAAUGCAAUCUUUUUCAAUUUAACAAACAGUGCUGCCCCCAAAUUAUUUUAGGUGAUUAUAGUCAAUGUUACUUUGUUUGGACCUCUAGUUUUGCCAAUCAUCCAAAAUCAUCUUAUCUUAAUUAAGCAGCUGGCUCUAAUCAAUGUCAAACUUAUCCCAAAUUAGUAAGAUAAUACUAAUGUUUUGGACCACUUGCUAACUUGCCAGUAAUCAUGUUACUAUGUAGUAUGUACCAAAAUAGUCAACAAAAUCCCAGUUCUAAAUCUAUAUCAUCAAAAACAUACAGUAA
rnacentral:lncRNA from 1 species